UAGAAGAGAAGUCUUUCGUGAGAGAGAGUUCAUAAGCCAAGGAAACAGUGGGAGGAAAAUUGACCUUGAAGAGCUUCAAGAGUCAAGUGGUGAAGGAACCUCAAACACUAGCGACCAACUUGAGGAGGAAACUCCUAUUGAGCCGAUAGAUGCGUCUGUUCCUCUGAGGCGUUCCACUAGAGUUAGGAACACACCUGAUUUUUAUUAUGGUUAUCACAUCACUAUUGAAGGUGAUACAUUUAUCAGUGAUAGUACACUGAUAGAUUUGGAUGAACCUAAUAAUUACAUGAAAGCCAUGGCAGGCCCUGAGUCUGCCAAAUGGAAGGAGGUUAUGGACAACGAGAUUCAGUCCAUGUAUGACAAUCAAGUUUGGAACUUGGUUGAAAAUGUACUGGGUCGUAAGACAGUUGGGUGCAAAUGGAUCUUCAAGAAGAAGACUGACAAGGAUGGGAAGGUACACACUUACAAAGUGCGACUGUUUACGAAGGGAUUUACUCAAACUCCGGGAGUUGACUAUGAUGAGACCUUCUCACCAGUAGCGAAGUUAGGGUUAUGCUAGCCAUAGCUGCAUUUCAUAAUUAUGAGAUAUGACAAAUUGAUGUCAAAACCGCUUUCCUUAAUGUAAAGUUGGCUGAGGAUGCUUACAUGGCUCAGCCAGAGGGUUUUGUCGAUGCAAAGUACCCUAAUAGGGUGUGUAAGCUUGACAAAUCCAUUUAUGGGUUGAAACAAGCAUCUCGCAGAUGGAAUCUUUGUUUCGAUGAGAAAGUCAAAGAGUUUGGCUUUUAGAGGAGAGAGGAUGAGUCCUGUGUAUAUGUUAGGGAUAGUGGGAGUAUAGUUAGCUUUUUGGUGUUGUAUGUGGAUGACAUACUACUCAUAGGAAAUGACAUCCCAACCUUGCAGGAGGUUAAGUUCUGGCUUGGGAAGUGUUUCGCUAUGAAGGACCUUGGGGAAGCUACCUAUAUCCUAGGGAUAAGGAUAUUGAGAGACAGGAGUAAGAGACUAAUUGGACUUAGUCAGAGUACUUACUUGGAUAAGGUGCUGAAGAGGUUCAGUAUGCAGGAUUCCAAGAAAGGGGAAUUACUGAUCCAAAGUAACGCCAAACUGAGUAAGACUUAGAGUCCGAGUACAGAAGCUGAGAUAGCUGAGAUGAGUCAUGUACCAUAUGCUUCCGCUGUGGGCUCAAUCAUGUAUGCUAUGACUUGUACUCGCCCUGAUGUGGCCUUUGCUUUGAGCAUGGUCAGUAGAUAUCAAGGGAACCCUGGCAAGGCUCACUGGAUUGAGGUAAAGAACAUUCUCAAGUAUCUAUGAAGGACUAAGGACUGGGUCCUCACCCUUGGUAGCAGUGAUGACUUGAGAGUGAUAAGGUAUAGCGAUGCUAGCUUUCAAACUGAUAGGGAUAAUUUCCGCUCUCAAUCAGGCUGGGUCUUUAUCCUAAAUAGAGGAGCAAUUACUUGGAAAAGUUCCAAGCAGGAGAUGGUAGCUGAUUCAACUUACAAAUCAGAGUAUAUAGCAGCAAGCGAGGCAGCACAUGAGGCGAUAUGGCUAAAGAACUUCAUUGGAGACCUUGGAGUUGUACCAGCUAUAAAAGAGCCAAUGGAAAUUUUUUGUGACAGUGAAAGUGCGGUUGCUUUAGCUAAGGAACCAAGGGAUCACGGGAGAUCCAAACACAUUGAUAGAAAAUACUAUUUCAUUAGACAUCAAAUAGAAGAAGGACUCCUCGUGGAAAAGAGGGUAUCAUCAGAUGAGAACCCAGCAGAUCCCCUCACGAAGGGAUUGAGUAUGGUUAAGCAUUUAUAGCAUGCGAGGCGCAUCAGGCUGAAUGAUGAUAUUAGUUUUAAUAAUUAGAUAGUUUUUGAAACUUGUAAAAUGUAAUUGACAUUUGAUGAUUAAAUUAAAUUUGUUAUUUAUUUAUGAGUAAAGUGUUACUAUCUUAUGUUAAUCGUUUACUAUUGUUUCAACUUUUCAUGUUUUGACUUCCCAAAUAAUUAUAUUAUUCAAACUCUCCACAUUCAGUCAUACUUUGGAAGUAGGUAUUGAAUUAAGACUAUCAUGAAUUGGGGUUGUAGAUUGUCUAAGGUGUAUUAGACAUAGCAAUGGUUGCUGCAACAUUCAUGAGUGCUCAUAAGGUCUGAGUAUUGGACUUAACCCACGCUCACUUGUAUCACUUCAUGGAAUUUAUCUCGAGUGAUCGUGAGACGGUAAUAUCAUAUAAAUCUUCAAACCUAGCGAUAUGAGUUGUUGACUAUGAGUUGGUUAUACAUUGAUUGUACGAAAACACAUUGGUAACUCGAUGUUAUACAAUGUGCUUUUAUGCAUAAUUCACCAAGUAGUCAGUACAAGCAUAUGAUCGAAGUUUAUCUGUUCCUUCUAGGAUUAGAAGCGAUAUCUGGGCCCCUCGAUGAUUUUGUUUUGACCUAUGUACCGGGCCCGGUUAGAACCUAAUGGACAUGUUCAAUUUAGUUCUAUGUCAAACAAAUUAGAGAUCAAGAAACAAAUGCUGGACAAUAAGUAAGACCAUGUUCCAUGUAUUUGUACGACUGAUAUAUUGAGAGCAGAGGAUUAUAUGAUCACUUAUCUUAAAUGGCGUAUCAUUAUAUUCAUCUCAGUUCCGAGAGACUUUGAAAGAGCUAUGAUUGCUAGUUGGAUCCUGAAGUCAUAUAUGAAACUAUAGUUAUUAGACUUAUCCAAGUGGGAGACUGUUGGAUAUAGUGUCUAAGUCCAUAACUAUAUUUGGUAUGUACUUGACCCGACUCGGCAUGGUCCAUUUGGGUUGCAUGACAUUGCAACACUUGGAUAGACAAAAUGAGAAAAAGGACACUUAAGGUUUAUUAAUAUAUUAUAAGUUCUAAUAUAUUAAUAAUAUUAUUUAAUUAGUAUUGGUCAAGAAUUAAUUUAGAAUUAAUUUGGUGAUCAAAAGGAGACUAAUUAAAUAUAUGAGGUUGAUUGUGUAAAUCAUCCAUUCUUAUAUAGUGGGCUAAUGAUUCAUGGUUUAUGAAGUUGGUCUAAAACCCAUAAGGUGCUCCAUAGAUAGUCCAUAGGGGUUAUAAACCCAUGGAUCAUGGGAAAUGAAAAGCCAUGUCAAUUAGGGUUUACAUGUGGUAACCCUACUUGUGACACAACUACUAAAAGGACCCUAUAGGCUUCCAAAAUCGGCACUAAGUGUAAGAAGAAGAGGGAAAGCCAAUUGUGUGUCAUAGUGAACUUCUCUAAAGUUAUUCCAAGUGUUGUGGUGUUGUGUGAAGCAUUUGAGGCAUCACAUUUGGGGAGCUAGGCUCACAAAGUCAUCAAGGAAUCCAAGCUACUAAAAAGUAUGCUAUUCUACUUGAUUUUUGUAUUACAAGUUCCCCAUAACAUGCUAUUUAGGAUGUAAACCUUGGAAAAUCAAAUUUACAUGUAUAUUAGAGAAAACAUAGAUCCAAGGUUUCUAGGGUUGCAUGUACACCAUAGGAGUGUUAGAAUGCUCAAAACCCAUCAUAACAUUCAUAAAAUUUUAGAAAAUUUUGAACUUUUUAAACAACCCAAAAAUCAUCAUGUGUUUACAAAUUGUUUUCAAAAUUAGUUUCACAUCAGAGAAAUCCUAAAAAUAGUAAAACCAAAACAUGAGGAGGUGCACAAUCACACCUUCACCUUUCUGCGAUCCUCUGAAGUACCUGAAAAAGAAUCCAAAACCGUAAGCCCAAAGAUUAGUAAGUUCCCCCAAAAUACCACCACACACAUUCUCAUAAAUAUCACAGUAACAACAUGCAUACAAAACCUUCAGCAUGUCAAGACCGCCACACCGGGCCUUUAGCCUAUCUGGAUCGUUAUCCGGGCCUUCGGCUUGACUGGACCGCCUUAUAGGCCUUCGGUCUAUCCGGGCCGCCAUGGGUCCGUUGGCCUUCAGCACAAAGCAGGACCGCCUCAGCCCAACCACACACAAGCCGACAUAUAUAUAACUCAUAAACAUGUAAAUAUCAGUUAACAGACAAACACAGUUCUUAUAGAUCAAUAAGCAUAUCGUUAUCCUAUCUACUAGGAUACAUGUCUAACAGAUCACUAUAAUACUCAAUCAUGCAAUAUUUAGGAUAAUCAAUCUAAAAGGGCCGACCUUGGUGCCUUCAACCCAAUCAAGUAUAGUGAUGAACACUCACCUCAUAAGCAGUGCUGAACUGAUAAGAUCCAACUCCAAAUCUCGGCUCCUGACUAAAAUGCCUACAACUAACAUGUGACCAAUUCCAUCAAAACCCCGACAUACCCAAAAUGCCCUGAAAAGUCAAACUUGGUCAACCAAAGUCAAAGUCAAAGUCAACAGCCAAGGUCAACAGUCCAUGUUGAACCAACUAGUCAAGUUUCUACAGUAUUCAGAAAGUCGAGAAAACCCUAACCAACUCACCGAGUUGGCUGGAAAACUCGCCGAGUUUUCCCAACUUAACAUAUUCAGUCCUUUUUAUCGAGUCUAAUGAUUUAAGAUGUAGAUCUGGUACCCAAGAGCUAGAAAACCACGUAAAGUUGCCAACUUUACGUUCAUGCAUGCCACAAAGUGGCUCUAGAACUCAAGAAAGGCUUAAUAAAGAACUUAAUGCAUGAAUGAGGCCUAGAACCUAAUAAAGCUUGCAACUUUAAGCCAAAUGAGGCCACAAAUUGGCCAGAUCUAAAGUGAGAAUCCAUGAAAUGCUCAACCCCAUGAACAAACCAAAAAUAAGCCAAAUACCACAAUAAAACUUUCAAGGAAGAGAUUUAAGAAAUAAGGAAGCAAGGUGUCGACUUUAUACCUCAAAAGCCUGCAACACAUAAGGAGGUUCUGGAUCUAUAGCCUUCCUUUCAAUCUAGACACCUCAAACUUCAAGCUCUUUCAAAAGAACAUGAAAAAUCAACUCUUCAAGCUCAAACACUCAAAUUUGGAAGAUGAUGCACAAAAAUUAGGGUUUCUGGACAGAGGAGGCUGGUAAGCAGGCCAACCAAGGACUUAAGGCCUUUAAAUAAGGUGCAACACCCUAAAAAUUAGGGUUUCAUAAUCAGUUGCCAACUCGUCGAGUUGAGGUACCUUGACUCGCCGAGUUGGUCCAUUAAUAUUUGGGGCCAAAAUCACCUCAACACGACGAGUUGAGGCUUUCUAACUCGUUGAGUUGCCAAGGAAAAACAUGAUUAAAGAUUUAAAUUUCAUACCUGAGGAUUGAAAUGUUACAAAAGUAACCAAGAGUGAGAUUUUAUAAAAAGAGUUUAGUUACCUUAUAUCAUUAUACUUAUUAAUGAGAUUAUGUCGUAUCAAACCUAUUCGACUAACGACCCUCCACUAUACAAGAGAGCGAUGGACAAGAGUGAAUACCCAAUGUUGGUCAUUUUAUAGCCUGCUUCCUUUAACUCCCCUUAUAGUAUGACUUCGUGAAUGAGGCAUACUAGCGAUUUGACCGACUUGUCUUAUACAUAUGAUAUAUUAAUCUUUUAAUUAUAUAUAUAGUAUAAGGUGUAUUUUAAAACUUUUUUAAAAUACUAGAUUUAAAUUUAAAAUUUUGAAAUUAAUAAAAAAUUAAUAUAAUUUAAAAAUAAACCAACUUUGAUUUAAUCUUUAUCCUUUAGUUAAAAAAUUAAUUAAAUUAAUUAAAUCACAAGGAUGAUCCACAAAUUCAAGAUAUAAGAUAUCAGAUUACAAAGAUAAAUAUUUAGUUUCACAUAAUUAAAAAACAUUAUCUAAAGUAAUUAUCCUAAUCAAUUUUGAAUUAAGCAAAAAACGAUUUCACUAAUUAGAGGGUUAACCACGUCGUGGCAUAGGACUAAUAUAUAGUGGCAAAAUAAAGAAAAACAUAAAUUUGAAGAUCCCGAUGUCGUGGCAGAAGAGGACCACGACGUGGUGCUGCGACAUAAUGACGAUUCUGCCAAAUCUCCAAGUUGGGUUUUGUUCAAGUUCAAGCAACGUACUAUCAAUUGUUAGACAACCAUACGCUCUGAUACCACUAAUGAGUUUUACAUGUAAUAACGUGGAUAAAUUCUUAUACACUUAAGAGCACAUGCAACCAGGGGCGGACGCAGGAAUAAGUAGUAGUAGGUGCACAAAAGAAAAUCCUAUCAAAUAUAACAAAAAAAAGUUACGAGUGCAUUAAACAUAACAAAUUUUUGUAGACAAACUUCGUGAAGGGCAAACUGUUCUUUUCAUGGACAGGUUCCUGGUCUCGUGGAGCUUGUUUCCGUUUUGGUUGUGGUCGUACAAAGUUUUGAAGGCUUAUUACCAAAAUUUCAUUCCGAAUUAAUGCAUUUUUAUAAGUUCAAUUGUUCAGAGCAAUAUAUAUUAUACAAAUGCCAACUAAUAAAUGCAUUUGUAUAAGUUCGAUACAUUUUGCUUGACAAAACAAACGAAUCAAUUCAAAAUGUAGAAUGAUACGUGAAUUGAGUUAACCUAAAUUUUAAUAAUUAUGAAGAGAAGCAGUUGUUUAGUUUGAAACAUAUGUAAUGCAUCUAUAUAUAUGUGUGUAAUGUGUAUGAAACCUUACAUAUAGAACAUAUUAAAAUUACGUAGUUUCAAUCCAUGAAUAUAUCGACAAAUUAACGUUUUUUAAACAUAAAACUAUUCUCACAAAAUUUAUCAUAUUAUUGUAUUAUUGUUUUAUCGUUUUUUUUGUGAUGUAAAAGCUAUUACGUCGAAAAGAAAUUAAAUAGAAAAUUAUGAAAGGUCAAGGGUCACAAAGAAUUUGUAUGUAGCUCUAACAUAUCCAAUUGUAUGUAAAAGUAUAUAUUAAAUACAAAGAAGGUUGAAAUGAUUUUGAGUUCGUGGGAGCACAUGUUUGCUAAUGAAAAAAAAAUUGAUUUUUUACUUAAUGGUUGUCAAGUUAAUGAAAAAGCAAACGAUUAAGAUAUGAAUUUUAAACGAGGAGGAAAGUGAUUUAAUUGAGUUUUACUGAAAACGGCUUAAGCUUUAACAAACUAUAUUCACCAAGCCCUUUUUGUUGGUUAGAUAUUUUUGGGGGCUAAUAACAAAGUGUACAUAAAAGUAGAAGUAAAUUUAAAAAUAAAUAAAAAAAGUUUGUCGUAGGGCAAGGAAAAGUGAAUGUAAGAAUAAAUAAAAAAAACCUUACUUUGGGGAGGAUUCGAACUUGAGCCAUUUCCUAAAGGAUAAAUUUAAUCUGCGCCUUUGACCACCUUAACCAUCCUAACUUUUGAUACUCUAUAUGAAUUGCAAUGAUAAUAAACACGUUUCUUUAUAGGUGCAUAAUAAUAAUUUUUUUUUUUUUUUUUACAUUAAUACAAAAAAAUCUAGUAGUUGCCGGUGCAACGCCGUGCACCAUUAUAGAUCCGCCCCUGCAUGCAACCUAUUAGAUAUAGUCAUAACGCUAUUGAAGUAACAUUCUAUUGAAUAACAAGAACCCUAUAACCCCUAGCUAAUUUCAAAAUUCAUAGAAGAAGAUUACAUACCUUUUGAUUGUUGUAGUAAACAAUUAAACAAUCAUUCUUGAAAAAAAUCUUGGAAGCUAGCACUAAAAAUCUUGUGCCGCUGAUGCUUCACACUCAAACCCUAGCAACUAGGAAACUUGAAGAGAAAAGUGGAUAUGGAAAAAAUUGUGACUAUGCUCUUAGCUAUUAGAGUGAUGGCCGAAAUUUAGAGCCUAAUGAUCCCUAUUUAUAGCUGAUUGGAAAACCCGAAAUAACCCUUACUUGAUUAAAAUAAUAAUAUCUUAAAUCAAGUAAUUAUCUGACUUUCUAAUUAUCUCCAAGGGAUAUUCUAGAAGUAGAAGCCUAAGGAAGCCUCUAUUUUUCGGCUAUCCUAGGACUAUUCUAGAAUCCCUCUUUUGUUCAACUAUUGAACAAUUAUAGCUUAGGUCCUUGCAUUUUUAAUUAAUCUAAUUAAUCCUAAAAUUCAUUCCAAUUAAUUUCUGGUUAAUUCUUAAUUAAAUAAUAUUAUUUCUAAUUAAUAUAUUAUUCUCAUAACAUAUUAAAAUAAUACUAAAAGUCAUCCUAUUCAAUUACCAGGUUUGAAGGCAGCCCAAAAGGACUUUGUUAAUAAUUCAAGUAUAUACCAAUUUAAUUAUUGACUUAGACACCUAAUCCAACAAUUUAUUUCUCUAAUUCUCAAGAUUAGGGAUCCGAUGUCUCUUAAAGAUUCUAAACGAUAAAUCUUAUUUGGUGUAUGUUUAAAAUCCUUUCCAAGAUUCUCACUUUAUGUCUUAAAAAGUUAUUGGUAAAGUGAUUAUAGUUGAACAAUCUAGAUAUGUGGAAGAAAAGAGUAUUCUUGAUGGACAUAUUUCCAUUAAUGAGUUGUACACUAAGGGACAAGAAUAAGAAAGAAAGUCUUGAUAUUUAAAUUUAACUUCAUAAAGCUUUUGACUCUCUUUGUUGUGAUUUCUUGGAUUCUAUCUUAUAUCAAAUGGAGUUUGGUGUUAAAUGGAGAAAGUAUUCAUGGUUGUAUUUCUUCCGGUAAAAUGUUGAUCUUGGUUAAUUGGUCGGUUUAUAGGGAGUUUAACAUAUGGAAGGGGAGAGGUAAAGAGAUCUGCUUUAUCAUUUUCUCUUUAUCUUUGCGAUGAAAGAUCCAUAUAUGUCCAUGAAAGAAGCAUGUUCUUAACAUAUUUUCCAAAGAAUUUAUCUCUUGAAUAAUGAUCCUUUGUUGUCUAAUCUUAUGUAUGCAGAUGACACUACUUUCAUUGGUGAAUAGUCUAUGGUUAACUUUACAAAUUAAAUAGACCUAGGAGCCCAAUUGAAAGUGAAUCUUCAUAAAAGUAAAGUUUACAGGGUGUGGGUGUUGAGAACUUAGAGUUUGCUCGGCUUGCUAAUAUCUUGUGUUGUGAGCCUGUUAGUUUUCCUUUUGUAUAUCUUGGGCUUCUUAUUGAGGCCAAUAUGAAGUUUUCUAAACAUUAGAGUCAUAUUGUGGAGAAAUUUCAAUCUAGAUUGUCGAAAUGGAAGGCAAAUAAUAUCUUCGGUAGGCUUACCCUUUUAAAGUCAAUGUUUGGUAUCCUUCCACUUUAUUAUUUUUCCAUAUUUAAAGCCCUAAAGGUCCUCGACUUAUUAGAGAGUUUGAGAAAAAAGUUUCUUUGGGGAGGUAACAAAAAUAAAAAGAAGAUUUUAUGGAUGAAUUGGAAUACCAUCACCCGUUCUAAAAAUCAUGAUGGUUUUGGUAUUAUAGGUCUUAGAUCCUUGAAUUUAGUGCUUCUUGCUAUAUGUGGGUUGAUGCUAAAGAAUGUUCCGGAUAGUUUUAGGUUUCCUUGCAUCAAAUAUAUUCAUAAAAUCUAUGUGUUGAUGAUAAAUCUAUGGCUAAAUUUAGCUUAACUAGAACUUGGCUUGCGAUCUCCCAAAUAAAUGUUGAUUUUGAAGAAUGAAGUAUUUCUUUGUCUUGUUUUUUAAAAGAAGUAUUAGUGUUGUAAGUCAAACUUUCUUUUGGAAGGACAAGCAGUAUGGGAGUCAAACCCUUAAAGACAAAUAUUUGAGUCCUUAUGACAUCGAACCAAACAAGAAUUGCUUAAUCAGGGACUUGAUUAUUGAAAGGAGUAAUAGGGAUGUCGAUUUGCAUUUGGUUUGGACUUGGAAAAAUAAUAUUAGAAGGGGAAUGAAAGUUACCAAAUUGGUAGAUUUAUUGCUAUUAGGGCUAUAAACGAACUGAACGAACACAAACGGGAGUUGUUCAUGUUCGUUCGUUUAAGUUAGCCGAACAAAUAAACUAACACAAACGGAUAAACAAACAAAAUAUUUUGUUCAUGUUUGUUCGUUUAACAGAUUACAUUGUUCGUGUUCGUGAACAUACUAAACGAACAUAAACUAACGGAGAAAAAAACAUAAUUGAACAUAUAUGAACAUAAACAAAAUAAAUUAUAGUAAUGUAAUCAAUCAUAAUUGAACAUAUAUGAAUAUAAAAUGAACUUAUAUGAACAAACAUAACGUAAAACGAAAAACAUUAACGAACGAUCACGAAUAUUAUUUAUCAAUGUUUCUGUUCGCUCAUUUAACUAAACGAACCCGAAUUUAUGUUCAUGUUCGUUCAUUUAUUAAAUAAGCGAACAUAGUCAUAAACAAACUUCCUGUUGAAUGGUUCACGAACAAUUCGCUGAACGUUCAAUUCGUUUACAUCCCUAGUUGUUAGACAUAGAUGGUGUGCAACUCUCUAAUGUAUUAGACUACUGGAACUGGUUAGGCAAGCCCUGGGGACUUUCUUAGUUCAGUUCUUGGGGGAAACUGAUGAACGGGGCUGUUUUUGGACAACAACUUGUUGGUUGUAGUUGGGUUAGAUGGGUGCCUCUUAAAAUAACUUGUUCUUCUUUGCGUUUUUCCAAAACAAAAUCCCUUGGCCCGUAAUCUUUCUCAUUGAGGUGUAAAUGGUUCUUCCACUUUGCAAGUUUUGAAACUCGUAGAAGGAGGAAAUUGGUCAUUUUUCUUUGGUUGUCAUUUCUCGAUGACCAUUUGGAACUGGUUUGUUUCUUGGAGUGGGAUGUUGCAUUGGUCUCCAACAAAUAGGUUGGAUCUUCUUCUCUUGCUCGAGUCUAGAGUAGGUGGUUACAGGCAUGCGAAGCUAAGAUUUGCCUUGAUCUACUCGGUGUUGUGGAAAAUUUGAAAAGCCCACAAUUCUCAUAUUUUCAAUAUUCUAAAGCGUUUUCCUUUGAAAAAGGCGGAUAUCCCAUUACUCUCUUUUAAUAGGAUCAAACAUAAAGCUCUCUUUUAAUUGAAUCAAACAUAAAACUAGAUUAAAUGGCUUGGCUUAGAAUCAUUGUAUUGGUUCCCAAUUACUAAUUGUACUAUUAAUAUUUUUCUAGCUUCUCGCAAUAUUAUUAUUUAUAUAUUAUAUAUUUCUUUGUUGUUUGAAAUUCUUUUACAUAGUUUAAUCUUUUAAAAUAUAUAAAUUUACCGAACAAGGUCACGGUACCACUAUAAACUAAUUUCAUUUGUUGGAUGCAUAGGCUAGUCCUAGGUUAUGAAAUUAGUAUGUAUUUGUGGGAGCCGCAUCCAACUAUCGAUCCACCAACCAUAUUAUUUAUUUAUUUAUUUCUUUUUUUAAAGCGAGCAGAAUUUCGUCUUAUAUUUACAAUUCCUUAUAAACUUAUAUUCAAAUAUUCAGAAACUUUUUAGAGACUUAAAUAAAAAAUCAGAUUAUGAAAAGUAUAUUUUAGUUAAAAUAAUAGUCUUUAAUUUAGUUAUAAAUAUCGACCCACAAUAUAAGUAUUUGAACGUAAUUCUAAAAAUAUAUAAUAUGGAGUAAAACUUAACAAAAGUUUCAUAUUUUUAAUAUUUUAGAGUUUAAUCGUAUAUAAUAAUAAUGAGAGUAAUAUAAAAUAUGUUUUAAGUUGUAGAAAGUAAGAAUUGGUAAAGAAAAGGGGUGGGGAUAUUGAAUGUGGAAAGAACAUGCCUACAUUGAGUUGAGUAUAUAGACUAUAGAACAUAUUAAUAAAAUAAAAAAAAUAAUUAAAAGCUAAAUAGAACAUAUAUUAUUAAUAGUUUAAAAUAUAUUAUCAGGAUGAAAGAUCAUGUGUGGACAAAAAUAACCCUUGAAUGAUGCCAACGGAUCAAGUUUUCCUUCAAUCUUUUGAUCACUUAAGCAACUAACAAUAUAAAGAGCAUGAACCAACAUCCUAAAAAUAGUUCUUGUAAUUUUGUUUUUCUUUUAAAUAAACCUUAGGCUAUUUUUGUCAAAACACACAUCUUUUUCAUAUCUUUUUCCUAAUAAUAUAAUUUUGACCGUAAAAAUAGUUAUAACUGAAUUAUAUAUGUGUUUUGGAAACAAAGAUUUAAUUUUACAGUUUAAUUAAAAUGAAAAUAAGUCGAAUUAUGUUUAAUAUUUAAAAUCAUAUAAUAUUUUAAACUAUUGUACUAAAAAAAAUAAGAUUACUUGUUUUUAACAUAACUAGUACUCAGAUAAACUAAUCAAAAGCAAAUAAAAAGUUGUUAUUAUUAUUAUUUUUUUUAUUCUUUUUCUUUUAGUUUGUUAUGUUGAAAACAUCUUUGCAGAAAAAGGUGAGAUGUAUAUGCAAAGUAUUCCUCAUACAAAUCAUCAAAACCUUUUUCCAAAAAAUUCAACCAAAAGUUAGAGACAAAAACAAUAAUAUUGAAUAAACAAAAAGAAAAAGAAGUGCACAACAAAUCAUCAGCAGUUUUACUACUUUGAAUGCAUGUGUUUUACAAAUUACAAGCCUUUUAUAUCAUCUUUGAUUAACAAGAAAAAAAAAGGAAUUGGCUAUAUUUUUUUUAUUAUCUAAUUAAGAAAGCCUACUCCUCUUUUUGGAAUCUAAUCUUGAAUCCCCUUCAGAUGAAUUAUUAACAUCCAUGGAUUUUGUAAAAUUAGACGAAAGAUCAGAGUAAAGAUCAACCACUUUUCGUAUAUUGUUGUUGAGUUCUCUAAUCAAACCCACAUUUCUACUCAGAUUAUCAGGAAUCUUCGACUCAAGAUUCUGAUUGAUCUCAUUAAUCAACAAUCUGUUUUGAUCGAAUAUGUUUUGAACUUGAACAAAACUCUUUUGAAAUGUUUGCGACAUUUUCCCAUCUAAUUGAAUCCCCAUUCCUCCGUAUGCAUCACCUUCCUCCAUCAAUCUUGUCAUCAGAUUAAUUACAAUCCUGCCAACAUUUUGACUUCUUAAAAAUGCGUAAAAAAUGUCGAAAAUCAGAAGAGAACAAGAAAAAUGUAUGAAUUUUUACAAGAAUUUUGGUUAAAAUUAUUAUUAAUCAUUAAAUUCUUUUGGGCUAAUAUUUGAUUAUUAUUGAAGCUAUAAAUUAGGGUAUGAUGAGAUGUAAAAAAGCAGAUCCCAUUUCCAUAAAAGGGAAAAUCUUUUUUCCCAAAUGCACUCAGAAAGAAAUACCCACCAAAAGGGUUAAAGUUCAGAGUUCUUCAAAAAAGAAGAAUCUCAGGAACUAAAAAUGCACACACAAAGAAAGAUAUCAACAAAAACACCAAAUGUGUACGAUUUUAAAUACCAAAAGUUAUAAUUUUUACACAUAGUGGGUCUGAAAAUAUAUAUAAAAAUAAUAAUCUAAAUUCUGGAGAAGAAGAAGAAGACAAGGACAAAAUUUAACAAUUAAAUGUAGGGAAAAACAAUAAAAAGGGAAGAAAGAAAGAAGUCGUACAUAAUAAAAGCUUCAAUUUUGCAGAGGCAUAACUUCCUAAAAUAGCAAAUAAACUUCAGAAAGAGCCUAAUGUAAUCAUGACCCAUUCGAACCCCAGAAUAAGAAAAAGCAUUAAAAUCAAAAUCAAAGAAACACUGCUUGAAGAUCUUGAAGCGAAUUUUAGUUUUCUUUUUAAUUUAUAAAUCUUUGUAUUAUGUAAAACUCUGUAUAUACAGCUAAAACAGUGUAUAUGUGCUUGUAUAUAAAAUAUUUCCCUUUUUUUUAUCGAAAAAGACUCGAUAAGAUAAAGAUUUUGAGUAAUAUUUCGUCAACUAUUGGCGAAACGCAUCAAAGGGAAGCUCAGAAAAGUUCAAAAACAUUAAAAGUUUGUUUAAUCUGCGUCUUCACACUGUAUAUAAACAUAUAAAAUUGAAUAAAAAUAUAUUAUAAGAAUACUUCAUACCUUGAAAAUUUGAGAGCAUUAUAAUCACCAAAACAGGGGAAUUGAAUAUGGAAGAUUGAGUGAAUCUGUGAAAGAAAUUGCUUCUAAAAUUUAGAGAGAGAAAGUGAGAGAGGAGAGAGAGUGAGAGAGAAUGUAGAUUUGACAGUCACAAACCCGACCCACCCUCUGUCUAAAUCUAUAUAUCUCUCUCUCCACAUGUAUAUACUCUGUCCAAAUAUUUUAUAUUUUAUAUAUAUUAUAUCUAUCUAAUCUAAUCUUUGUAAUCAAUUUAAUUCAAGAUAAAUUAUGAAUCUUGAAUGAUAUUUAUUGAAACUCUAUAAUUUCUUUUCUAUUUAAUUAUUAGCUAGAAGGUGAUUUCGGGUUUGUACUUGGGAUUUUUUUUUUAUUUUUUACUAUUGUGUUAUAAUGGGUUUCAAAAAAUUUACUUGAAAAAAAUUAUGACCAAAUGAAAGUAAGUUGCUAUUAAACUUAAGUUCAUAAUACAUAAAAAUAUCAUACUACAAUAAACAUAUUAAUAAAAGUGCAUUGUUAUUUCUUGUUCCAUUACCUAAUUAAAAAAAAAAUGUGAAUUGUUUAAAAGGAAAUUACAUAUCAUUAAUAGUAAAAUAAUAAUAAUAAUAAACCCUUUUUUUCAUAUAUUAAAGGAUCUAUCAAUGUUUGCAGUCUAUGAUUGAUUAUAUCAUCACAAAACAAAUUUUUUGUCGAACCCUUAUAUAUGGCAAUCCUAGUUGGCAUCAUUUUUCGCUUCUUUAAGCAGAAAGGGUUAUAUGAGCUAUGUGUGAGACCCAUAUAUUACAUGAGUUUAUUUAAAAAGAAAUAUGAAAUUUUAACAAUUUGAAAAGUUUGAAUUUGUAAGGAAAAUGAGAAAAAUUUUGAAUUAUUAAAAUUAAUGAAGCUUUAAUGUAUUGAAUACAUUACAUAUAUACACCAUUUUUAAUAAAUACCUUACAUAUAUAUUACCUUACAUAUUAAAUAUGGAAUUUUAAUUUAAUAAAAUGAAAAAUACAAUAAAAUGACAAGUGGAUAAUAGAAAUUUUAAAAAUUCUACAAAAUGACAUGUGUCCAAAUAAAUGAGAAGAGGACAUGUGUCAAAAAAAACCUUCAUUUAUUAGAGUAGAUAAGAGCGUAUCCAUUGAUAAUUACAGAAAGCAUGUUGCAUUUGACAAUAUGAUUUGGCACGAUAAGGAUAGAAGGGGUAAUUAAUAAUGUAUACCUAUUACAUAUCCAAUAUGAUGUGUUUUUCCUUCUUCUUCUUCUUCUUCUAUGUAGUGAGGGCAUUUCCAUUGCUUGUUUUUUCUCGCUUCUUCCAUUUCUGCCAUAACAUUAACUAUUUUAAAAUCUUUGCAAAAAUCUCAUAAAAAAUAACCUUAUGUGCCAGAAACAUAAACGUAGGUUCAUUUAUAUCUAAUGUCGUUCCUUUCUAUUAUCGGAUCAUAUUUUGAGAAAUCUACAAAUAUUGCUAUAGUUGGUGCAUUUAAAAAACCAACUUUUUAAUAGAAAGAAAUGAAAGUAAGAUUCUAUAAUAAACAAAUCAAUAAAAGUACAUCUAAGCGAAUUUGCAAUACGCAUUUAACAACUUUCAUAUAUUCCACCUUCCUUUUAACAUACAUAAAAAUAUUGUAACCAAUCUCAGAUUUCUUACUUAAGACAUAAAGACUUACCUUCAAAACUGAUAUAUGUCAGAAAAUAAGAAGAUUUAGGGCUGGUAAUUGCAAAAGCGCAUCAACAUAGCCACCUACUACUCCGAUUGAUCAUAAGAAUAUAUGUUUCAAUUUUCAAUCCCAUUACAGCUAUGAAUUGAAGAGUUUUAAUAAAAAAUCAAAAACAAUUUAUAACAAUUAAACUCUAUGAUUCAAACAGUUCUUUAAACAGAAAAUGUUAAUGUAAUACUCGGAACACAACUGUAUAUGUAGAAUUAGACGUUCGAUCUUAUAAAUCGAAGAAUUUGACGAAGACCUGGUGACAUCAACGUUCCUCCGAAGACGUCAAUGUUCCAACUGAUCACCCUACAAUAUAGUAAGAUUGUUUACAUAACCAUUGUUUCCAAAAACAUUAUUCAAAAUCAGAGUCUCCCAAGAUCCAACAACAUCAAACCAAGGAUGUGUGGGGUUACGCCUUCGCCUUGCCACAGUCCUCAGAAGUGAAUGAAACAAAACUAAAACUGUAAACAACGCUUAGUAAGUUCCCUAAAAGUACAACCACAUAAACAUAACAAACAACAACAUGCAUAAAGAGCCUUCAACAUGACUGGACCGCCUCACCGGGCCUUCAUCCUAUUUGUUCCGCUCUCUGGGCCUUCGACCUGACUGGUCUGCCUUGCAGGCCUUCAGUCUAUUCUGACCUCUGUGGGUGUCUUGGCCUUCAGUCUCAGCCGAUUUGCCUCAACCCAGUAAACCAUCACAUAUCAACAUACAUCAUAACAAUCAAUAGCUAGCAGAUACAGGUAGUCAUACAGAUCUAACAGAUCACUAUAGCAUAGCAACAUCCUAUAUAUCAGGAUACAAAUCUAAGAGAUCACUACAUCAUAGCAACAUCCUAUAUACCAGGAUAUAAAUCUAACAUAUCAGUACAACAUAAUGACAAACGGUAAACUAGGAUAUCAGUCCAAUGGACCGGCCUUGGUGCCUUCGACCCGUAAGUAUAGUGAGGAAAACUCACCUCUCAGUCUGAAAAAAAUCUGAAUGGAUCUCUGCUCCGACAACCGGCUCUACCCAACCCCUAAUAAUCAGAACAUUUCCCAAUUUAAAUUAGUAUCAAUUUCCAAAUUACCCUUGGUCAAAAUCAUAAAAAGUAAAUGAAAUCAGCUGAGUCAGCCCAACCGAGUCAACUCAUCCGAGUCAGCUCAACCCUCGCACGCAAGGCAUACUUAGGAUGUACAUGGGGCGUACUCAUCAUCCGAGGAGUCGAGGUCCAAAUUGAAUAUGUACAUCGUACCAGUUGGUACGCCCAACAUACGCACUGAUUCUCUUCUUAAUGGAUUAAGAGCUUAAUACACCAAGGUUUCAUGUCCAAAGCCAGAUCCAAGUCUCGAAUAACGUUUUUUACCAUUAAGUUUCCAACUUUAUAGUAAAUUACAUGAAGGGUCCCUAUGGUUUAGAGUAAUUUGCGUGUUUGAUCCCUGAUUUAUUUUUUUAACUCGGAAGGCCCCUACUAUUUGUUUUUUUUACGCACUUGGUCCUUGUCUUACCUAAAAAGACUAUUUUUUCCCUUGAUUUUUUUAAUUUAUUUAAAUAAACACACUCAACCCCGCCCCACACCACCCCUUCACCUUACCUUACUUACCCUACCAUUUUUCCAUAUUUAAAUAAUAGUCUUUUUAGGUAAGACAUGGACCAAAUGCAUAACAAAAGCAAACAGUAAGGACCAAGCGCGUAACAAAAACAAAUAGUAGGGACCUUCCGAGUUAAAAAAACAAGUUAGGGACCAAGCGCACAAAUUACCCUAAACCAUAGGGACCAUUCGUGUAAUUUACACCCAACUUUAUGGUCUUGCAUGGCUAAUAAGGUCUUAAAAUCAAAAACCUCAACCUUUAACCCAUUAAGACCACAUAACACAUGCAUGGAAGGGAAGAUAUGAUCAAGACUACAUUUUUAUGCUUCUAGACACCUCAAAUAUACUGAAAGGACAAACUAAAUGGAUAGGAGUAGAUUAUAAUCAAAAUACCCAAAUAAUGGGACCAAAAGGACACAAACUCCAUGGCAAAUUUGGAUCCAAGCAUAUAUUCAUCAAGUUCAUAACUUUAUACCUCAAAAUAGAUAUUAAAGGUGAGGGUGUUCUUGGAUCUAGAAGGUCUUGAUCUUCCAAGAUGAUGCUUCUUUCUUUACCUUGCUGCAAAGGAACCACAAACACACACUUUUGAGCUCAAAGGAUCACUCACGAUAGAUUAGGGUUGCAAAGGACGAAAUGAGGGUGGGAGGCUAGAGAGGGAAUGAGAAAUGAACAGUUAAUGAUGCUUAUAUAUGGACCAAACACUAAAAAUUAGGGUUUGAGGAUCCUUCACGUACGCCCUGCGUACCCGGUGUAUGCCCAACAUACUAAGACCCACACAUGUACGCCUAUCAUACCAGGUCUUGGCCCGAAUUUACAAAAUGCCGCUAUGGGCCAUUUUGCAAGAUUUCUCACACCCAAGGGCUAAAAAUCAUAAACCUUCAUACUUAAGAGUUAAUUUUGGAAAUACCUCAUUGUUGGAAUGUUACAAUUCUCCCCCACUUGAAAUAGACUUCGUUCUCGAAGUCUGUUGCUGCAACAACUCCGGGUAAUGCUCCCGCAUCUCAGACUCGGGUUCCCAUGUCCAUUUGGAACCCUUCCGAUGUUGCCACUAAAGCUUGACCAAAGAUACCACCUUGUUGUGCAAGGCCUUCAUCUUUCGAUCUAAAAUUGCUAUUGGUCUCUCAAUGUAAUUCAGGCAAUCAUCAACUUGAACAUCAUCCAAAGGAAUAACUACUGAAUCAUUAUCCACACACUUCCGCAACUGCGAAACAUAGAAGGUACCUUGUCAACCCUGGAAAUCACCCAAAAUAGACCGAUAUACCGGGGCCCUAAUUUUCCCCUCUUCCUGAAGCGUAUUACUGUAACACCUGUAUCAAAUCAUUUCAUAAUUCGGGGUUGUGACCCAAAGAUCGGUUAUCAUAAGGCUUAGGGUCUUUGGGAAAGAGAGAUUUAGACCUAUUUGGGUGUGGGUAAUGUAGGUUAGAUGAUCUGGGAGUUCAAAUUAUGACUUAGAGCCCAAGGGUAUAACCGUAAAGAGGCAAUUCGGGCCUUUUAUUAAUUUUGGUUUUAAGUUAGGAAGUUUUAAGAAGAAUGCGAGUUGAUAGAAUUAUAGAGUGUGUUCUUACCUUUCCGUGGAUAUAAAGAACGUCGAAAUUGGACUUAGAACGAGUGAGUUAUGGCCGAUGGAAGUUAACGGUGUUUUGGGACUUAGACUAGUACGUGGGACGUACUCUUUGAGUAUGUAGUGAGUAGUGGUGAAGUUGAUCGCGAGUAACAUUUGAGUACGUCGGGCGUACUUAGGAGUACACUGGGCGUACUCCAGCCAACUUGAAACCUUAACUUUUAGGGUAUAAGCCCUAUCUAAGCAUCAUUAUGGCCUUUGGACAUUUACUUUCAUUAGCCCCCAUUGUUAAUUUCGUCCCAUUGAAACCCUAGACCAUCCUUGGUGGGUUCUUGAGCCUUGAAGUGGUUUUUAUGGCAUUUUAGUGUGUAUUGAAGAAGAAGGAACUUGGAGACCAAGCAUUUGUUGAGGUUGAGCUUCUAAAUCCAGAGUCCUCAUCAACUUUGGGAGCUAUAAAAGGUAUAAAGUCCUUACCUUGAUGACUCAUUUGAUUGUUAGAGUUUAGGGCUUCUUUAUGAGCUUUAUUUGGUCCCAUGGGUUCUCUUUGUGAGUUUGGGCAGCUCAAGGAGUUAGAGAUGUUAGAUCUUAGUCCCUUUAUUUUUAUAGAUGCAUAAAAAUGUCAUAUGAUGGUUAAUAUGAGUCCAUGCAUGAAUUUGAGUCCUUAAUAUGAGCUUUUAUGGAUAAAAAUGGAUGUUGGGUUCCAUUAAGACAUGCUAAGGGUUAAAGUUUCCAACUUUAUAUAUAAGAACCCUAAAAUAGAAGAGAUCUGAAAGUUGGAGUUAAUGGGUAUACAGAUUAAGCACUUAUUGGCUUAAAGUGGCAGCAGCGCAGUACGCUUAGCGUACCAAAGAGUACGCAGCACGUACUGGCCAAUGAUCAUAUACGCCAUGCGUACAACAUGGACGCAGAGUUUACACCUUACUGGGCUUUUGGUCUUCGAUUGGGCUUUGGACUUUUGGGCCUUAGUUAGGAUUUGGGCCUUGGACUGUUGAACAUUAAUGGGCAUCAGAAUUUUAUUAGUGGACCUUAAGUUUCAUGAGUUAGGCCUUAUUGGGCAUUUGGGUCAUUAUUUUGUUAUUGAGCCAAGUUUGGAUAGGCCCAUUAUGGGAAGGGUAAAAUAGAGUUUCAUCCUAGGAGUUUGGGUUUAGGAUUUAGACCCACGGUUAUGGUUUAUAACCUAAUUUUGAUUAGGGUUAUUUGCUUGUGUUAGUUUGGGGAUCUUCCAGUUCUAAAACCAAGCGUUUAAUUAUAUAUCAACGGACUGAGGUGAGUUUUUUCACUAUACUCGUGGGUCAAAGACACCAAUGUCGGCCCACUAGAUUUAUGUUGUAAGAUGAUGUUUGACUUGGUGAACUUUACUGACAUGCUUGCACAUGCUUGUUAUCUUCGUGACUCAUGCUUAUAUGCUUGUAUGAUUAUGUAUUGAACUAUUUAGGCUCGGAGUCAUUACAGACUCGGGGGUUGACACAGACCCAACAUAUAUACAAGUUGUUAUAUAGAGUCAUUGUGGACUUGGGGUUGAUACAGACCCACACAGCCAAGUUCUGCUUUAUUUGUAUAUGUAUGUGGUACUUUAGGGAAGUUCACGAAGCGUGAUGCUUACGGUUUUCAGUUUUUGUUUCAGGCAUUUUCGAGAGGGAAGGGCCUGACUUGAUCGCAGUGCAUCCACCCAUGUUUCCACAAUAAGAUGAUUUUGGGAUUGUACUCGGAUAACUGUUUUAUUAUGAAAUACUUUGAGUGUUUUUGAGGAAAUAUAAUUGGUGUUUCAGUUGAAUUAAAAAUGAAAUGUUCACCUCUUAAUUUUUGGGACGUUACAAGUUGGUAUCAGAGCCUUGGUUUGAGGGAUUCAGGCAUACUCUUGGGUGUGUCUAAAAUCAAAUUGAGGGUUUGAUAAAAUUUUCAUACAAUAAAUGUUUUAAUAAAUGAUUUUCUAAUAAAAGAAAGGGGUGUGCGUGCAAUCAAUCGAGCUCAAGUAACUGAUUCCCAAAAAACCCUUACAUGUUGAUAUGUUAUAUGAUAUGAAUGUUUAUGUGCUAAGAUAAGGCUACGAAUACUUUUAGGAAGUGCAUGAUAGAUUGGCAUGAUAUGUGAUGCCUUGUAGCCUAGGAAAUGUUGGAUGCUAUGAUAGAUUGGGAAUAUGUAUUGGUAUCGGUAAUUGCUAAGUGUAGGCUUUAAAAAUUGUAUACGGUUAGGAUCAUAUAGCCUUAGAAUGAUUGAUCGAGCCUUAUUUCCUGUUCCUUAUCUGGUUGUGGUCCUAGGGUAGUGUCUUUUAUUCGACAGACUAUUUGAUCUUGUAUUGUGUAUAAUUUGCAUGUAUAAGGCAACCGGCAGUGAGAGUGGAAGUUCCUAACAUGAGUUGUAGUAAGCGAGUGGUGAAGAUUCAUUUUGUUUGUUUGUUUUAUGACUCGGAGUGUUACUGCUUGAAUGUUGCUUGCUUUGUGCUUUGUGGAACUCUUUAGUGAUGUGAGUUAACUAUUAAGUGAAUGUGAUUGUAUUCACAAAGUAGUUAACUGAAAUUAUUGGGAGUGUUUCAGCAGCUAAUGGCAAGGUGAGGUCGGGAACCUACGAGGGUCGAGGGAGUGUUUUAAGUAGGUUCGGAUACGCCUCUUAGCGAGUACAUAAUGUACCAGUUUGAUAAGGUGACCUAGAGGAUUCAGGAUGAUUCUUAAGGAAAGUAUGGAUAGGUGUGGAAGACGGUAUUGGUCCCGUACCACUGAAAGCACAGGAUCCAUACUCGAAUCGAGGAGAGUCAUGGAGAGUCUAGGAAGCCAGUUGGAUGAGGACUCUUGGGUAUGUUCUGAACAUUGUAUGAUUGUUUUCAGAAUGGUGAUGAGCAUACAUGAAGAAGGUUCAGGUUUUGGUUCUGGCUCGGGUGAUGAUCCAAUUGGUGGGAGGAUUGUCAGGGUUUUGAGUUCGUAUUGGACUGAGGAGAUGGAAGGUGUCUUCCGCACUAGUCCCUAUCCCAUAAAAGCAAAGAUUCAGUUUGCCUUGGAUCUCUUGCAUCAUGCAGCAAGGAGUUGUUGUGGAUUGAUUGCAUAAUCUAUUAUGCUUACUAAGUUGGAGACUAUUUCAUGGGAGGAGUUUGUGGCCUUUAGGGCGGAUGUUGCGCCAGCUAUCGUGAUGCAACCAUUAGCGAGGGAGUUUAUGGGCAUGUCUGGGUGCGAGACCCCGAAUGAUGUGAUUGUUGGAUCCCGUGAGCGGGAGAUUGAUUUGGAGCACAUAGAGAAGAGGAAGGCAAAGCAGGUUCAGACCGUAGUGGAUUAGACGAAGAGGCCUAAGACUUAGGAUUCACUUUUGGGAGGCCAGCAGCACCGGGACCGUUAUGCCAAGUGUGGGAGGACCCACACAAGAGGCUAUUGGGAGACAUAGAGGGGAUGUUUAGUUGUGGACAAAUGCAUCAUUUUAGUAGGGAAUUCCCUUGAGAAUUGGUUUCGAUAUGUUUUCACUACAACCAAGCGGGCCACAAGAAGACCGGUUGUACGGAAUUAAAGGGAGGAGCAAUGAGGGCACCUGCUCCAACCACUUUGAAGAUUACUGAUGGAUGUGAGGGCAUGGUGGACGUUCCUAUGGCGAGGAUCCGAACACUUCAGUCACAGGUCGAGGGGAUCUAAUUUCCAUCAGUUGACAUCACAAGUAUGUGAUGUAUUCACUUCCUUCAUGCUCUUAUUAAUUGUACUUAUGAUUAUAUGUUUGUAGGUGCGACACAAUGUGUGGCCUGUCUAAGUCUCCACCUAGAAAUUAUUGUUUUCUUCAUGAGGAUCUAGACAUUUUAUAUUGAGAAGCUUCCUAUGCUAUUUUGCAUUCUGAGAGUCGUGAUUAGGUGAUGAUUGGGUGAGCUUGAUUUGGAUUGCGAUGUGGGAGGCAACAAUUAUCAUUGGAAUAAGCAUGAAAUGAGAAAAGAUUUGCAGUUGAUUCGAUCCUUGGUAGUUUCUAUAGGGAUUCAAGAGAUACGCAAGGUGGACAUGUUGGGUUCGGAUGCAUGGCAUGUGUAACACCCAUAAAAAUCAUGCCAAAUUUAAACUUUUUCAAAACAUUUCAAAACCAUUAAUCAUUACAAAACUUGUUUUAUAAAUAGUAUAAUAUCAAAGUAUCCCAGAAACAAGCCAUAAACAUGAGGAGUUGUAUGAUCAUGCCUUUGCCUUCCCGCGAUCAUCUGAUGUACCUGAAACAAAAACUAAAACUGUUAGCCCAAAGCUUAGCGAGUUUCCCCCAAAAUACCCAUACACACAACAAUACUCAUAUAAUCACAAACAACAUACUAUGGGUCUAGUCAAGCAUCGAGAUGGAAUACUGUUGGGUUUUGAGCAUUCUAACACUCCUAAGUGUACAUGCAACCCUAAAUACCUUGGAUCUAUGUUUUCUCUAUUAUACAUGCAAAUAAGAACAUCCAAGGUAUUAUCCUAAUCUAGCAUACAAAACAAUGACUAUAGCAAGAUAGAAUACAUACCUCUUUGAUGUAGAAAGUCUUCAUGAAGCUUGAGUGCCUAGUGCCCCAAGUGUGACACCUCAAAUGGAAUCACAAUCAUCAAAACACUUGGAAUGACUUGAGAGAAUUCUACACUCUUCAAAAUCGGCUAGCCCUUUCUUCACUAUCACUAGUGGCCGAUUUUUCCUCAAUAAUAAGAUGCUUAUAUAGUUACACAAUUAGGGUAAACUCUUAAUUGUCAUGGCUUUCCAUUUCCUUGGAUCCAUGGGUACAAAUACACCAUGGAGCAUCCAUGGACCAUCCUAUGGGUUUUAGCCCAACUUGAUUAUCCAUGGAGCAUUAGCCCACUAUACAAGUAUGGAUGAUUUACACAAUCAACCCAUAUAUUUAAUUAGUCUUCUUUUGAUCACUUAAUUAAUCCUAGAUUAAUUCUUGAUCAAUACUAAUUAAAUAAUCUCAUUAUUCUUAUUAUUAAUAUACUAGAACAUAUAAUAUAUUAAUAACCAUAAGUGUCUUAUUUCUCUCAUUAUAGUCUAUCCAAGUGCAUGAUGGUAUGCAACCCAAAUGGACCAUGCCGGGUCGGGUCAAGUCUUACCAAUUAUAGUUAUGGACUUAGACAUUAAUCCAACAGUCUCCCACUUGGAUAAGUCUAAAACUAUUAUUGCGUAUGACUUCAGGAACCAACUGGCAAUCGUAGCUCUCAAAAGCUUCUGUCGAACUCUGACCUUGUAGAUGAACUCUGACCUUUGUCAAUGACUUGUCCAUUAGAUAAGGGAUCAUAUAUUCCUCCAUUCUAGAUAUCAUAUGGACUGAGACAUGGAUUAUAAUCAUUCUCUCUGUCCAUUUGUUGUUUCCCGAUUUCCGAUUUAUGACGACUGACUAAUUGAACAAAUCAAAUCAGUCCUGGCCCGGCCGAGCACUUCCAUUUGUCAUCAUCAAAUCAUCGAGGGGCCCACAGAUAUCGCUUUUAUCCCGAAGGUAAAAGGAAUGGAUAAACUUCGACUCAUAUGGCUUGUUCUACUACUUGUUGAAUCAUACACAAAGGCACGUUUUAUAGCACCGAGUUACCAAAUGCGUUUUCGUGCAAUCAAUGUACUAUCAACUCAUAGUAACAACUCAUAUCUCUAGGUUUGAAGAAUAUAAGAUAUUAUCGUCUCAUGAUCACUCGUGAUAAAAUCCAUGAAGUGAUUCCAAUGAGCGCGGGUUGAAUCCAAUACUCAGAACUUAUGAGCACUCAUGAGUGUUGUAGCCCUUUGUCCAACACCUUAGACCUCUACAAGCCAACCCAUGACAGUCUUAAUUCAUAUCUACUUCCAACAUAUGACCGACUGUGGAUGGUUUGAAUAACUUAGUCAUUCCGGAAGAAUAACCUAGUUUAUUCGGGAAGUCAAAACAUGCAAAGUGAAACACAAUAAUAAUUGAAUCCAAUAUGGUAUCAACCCUUUGAACAUAAAUAAAACACCUUUUAUUUAUCACCAUAUGAUUACACAUUAUUCAUUGUAUACUGUUUCAGCUAUCAACUUUAUUCUUGAAUUUAAAACAAUAGUUGUCCCAUGCUCCAAGCAUGUACACUAUGUUUUCUUAAACACUAGUCAUGCCACACACCAAGUAUGCAUACUAUGUUUGUCUAUGAUCUUUACUUUGUGAACUAGAUCAAUUGAACAUAACUUCAAUGAUUCUCUUUUCACACUCCCAAAUCCUUACUGCAAAUGCAAGAAUUCCAAAUUCAUGCCAUUUACUGAAAUCUGUUAGAUUCUAAACUUAUAUGCAUUGAUCCUCUUGUAAUGAUUAUGCACAAAGUCAGAAAGACUUGACAACAAUCAUUACAGAGUAUUCCAAAGGAGAUCAGCUCCUUGGAAACAUCCUUCUUGCAUUAAGUUUCCUAAUCUUAAACAGAUUGAAAAUUCUAACUUUGAAACAUUUCCAGAUUCCAUUUUGACUAUCACUUCUGAACAAGAGUUGCCUCCUUACAGAUUAUGUCAAUAUGGUCCUUCCAGAAUUAUCACUAUACUUCCAACUGUCCUUGAGCAACCAAUCUUUGGUAAACCUUAGAUUGUCCUCGACAAUUGUUUAAUCCUUUUAGUCAUAUCCAGUUCUAAACCUUUUCCCUUCUUAAUGCCCCAGGCAUUUGGAAAAUUUUAGAACGGAUGAAUAUAGCACAUGUAAUCGAUCCUAUAUCCGAAGCAUAUGGGACACGAUUCAUGAUGUCUCACAUAAAGACUAAACCAGUCUUUUGCUAUAACAUUUCCAUUUCAAUUUGCCAAGUUCUCAUAAUUCAGAUUAUGAAAAGGGAUGCCGUAAUCAUAAUCGAAUUUUAGAACGCAAAUAAUGGACCCAUAUACAGAAUUUCCUUAUGUUGAGCCAUUCCAACAUGAAAUUCAUAUAUAUCCUUGACUAAAUGAUUAAAACCUCACGAUCUAAGCUUAUAGAUUUGAGAUGAAGUAUAAUUUCCUCUCCCUUAAUUAUAGCAAAACAACUUUUUCCCAAUUGAAACUUUUGUUUUCUAUAAUUAACAUUGCUAACUUGCAAUACUUAUCAUAAUUAUCAUGCUCCCACUAACAUGAUGAUUAUUAGCAUAACACUUAUGCUCCCACUAGCUUUGACAUGUACUCAGAAAUCAGCUGGACUUCUAGAAAUCAAUACUUCAUUGACUUUCUUACCAAAGUUCAGAUUUCUGAUGCUAGAUUGUUUUGAUAAAACUUUAUCAAAAUCAUACACCUUCCCUUAGAUAGCACACUUGUGUGUCUAAACAAUUAUGAAGAGGUAUGCCGUAAUCAUAAUGGUUAGACCUUUUUGCCACUUCUCACAAGUCCAGGUUAGUGUGCCGGUUAACCACACGCGCUCCACUAACGACUUUGAGAAUGCAAAUAUCACAAUUGCUAUCUAGCUAAAAUCUACUUAGUGAAAGUGUUUCCUCACCAUCAUUUUCAUGAAUCGGAGAGAAACCUUAUGACACUUAGAUUUAAUGGUGUAUGUGUUCUUAUCCAUGUGAAUUGUCAAAAUCAUAGUCACAAGACAAGGAUAAUGACAAAUCCAAACUCAUAUGGACUGAACUCAAUCUUAAUUUCUUGCCACCUGGCAGCUCAAGGGCCUACCAUUGCUUCCAAGUUGUUGUGCAACAAAUUGAGAACUCUAAGAACUCAUAUGCAAAGCCAACUUUAACUGGAAUGGGCACAGAAUAUGUCAACACGAUAGGUUAUGAACCUCAAGUCGUGUGCUAGUGAAGAACUUCAGGUUUUAUUCUUGAUUAGUUCUUGAGACUUUCAAGACCUUUAAGACUCCCACUGUCCUCUUGACAUAUAAGACUCCCUUGUCAAACAUCCAAGAGAUAGUGCGGAUUCUAAUCAAGAAAAACACUUUACCCAAUUGGCCUAAGUUGGUCUUUGUUUUAUCCAAAACAUCACAACUUACCAAUUUCAAAUGUACAAGAGUAGAAAACUUUUACUCUUACAUUUGACAAGUGUUUUAAACCUUCUUUAAGACAUGUCACUCAAAUUACAAUCUUGGAGUAUGACUCUAAGACUUGUAUUGGAACGAAGUAUGACUCAUCUUCUUGAUUUAACCAUUUCAACAAUUCAAGUUCCUCUUCUUAGUCAUAAGAAUGCACUAAGAUUUCCUUAGAGAACUAAUUUUGAUAUGGUUUCUUAAUCAUUAAGAUGAUCACAAAACUGAUACUAAAGUACUCUCCCAUCUUUUCAGAUUUGAGAAACUUUUAUCCUUCUGCCUAAUUUGAUUCUUCUUAUUCGCCCUGCCAUACAUUGGAACCUUUUCCAAUGUCUCAGAGUUACACUUAAGCUUGUAAGUAUAAUCAUAUUUACUGAGCUUUAGUAAACUAUGACGAAUAGUCUUAUCAAUCUUUUGUGGUGGACUUAAUCAGUGCACAAGAAUGUGUACUCGAUCCCUUAGUCCUUUACUUGACUCACACAUCCAUGUGGCCGAGUAAUUAGUCUUAAUUUUCCAAAACUUGAAAGUUCUCAUUCAUCAUGCUAUACAACUUGCAUGAUUCCAAGUUCCGGUCCAAUUGAAACUUGGGUGAUGAGAAUCUUUCCUUAUUUGGUAAAUCUAGACAUUACCACAAAUGAAAGAAUCAAUUUCAUAUUUCCACUCUUGCUCUUAAUGGAAUCAUAUAAGCAACAAUUUUUCCUCAAAAGCCAUUGUAAGGAUAUUUUAAAAUAAAUAAAAUCAAAAAAAUUUUCUUUUAUUUUAAAACUUUGCGGAAAAACUUAUCCUUACAAUCCAUAUGAAAACUUGUUGUUAUCUAUUCCUAAGCAAUAUCUCAUAACUCCUAAGAAGUUGCUCAAGAAUCCGAUCUUCAAACUAUGCGAUAGAAAUCCAUCUACGCCAUCAGAUUCAGCAUAUUCUUUCUUUAAGUUUCUUCACUUUUCUUUGAUUCUUAAAACAUCACCAUGUGACCCAGUCACAUCAUGUAUCAGGAAUCUCAGAAUAGAAACUUAACAGAGUUAGAUAGUGGACUUUACCUGAAGUAGAGUCAAACUUAUUGACUUUAACAUCCUUAGGUAAAUUUGGCAGCUUCGCAACCAAUGCCCCUUCCUUUGGCAAUAUAAACAUAUGGACCCUUUGAUAAUGGUACACGAGACUAUCACAGACUUAGCUUUUCUCUUUACCAUUUGGUCAACCGAGUUGACUAUGGCCGAUCCCUUUCCAUUGGGAAGAGAAUGCUUUACUGGAUAUCCAAUGUCAUCAUUGUCAAUGUCCAUAAAGUUUUAGGAAGUUGAUCUUAGCAAAUAGAUAAGAUCAUUAAGGGUCUUGUCAUAGUCUGUUUCAUAGGUGUCCCAAAGGAACUCACUAUGUGACUUAGAAAGUGAUUGAACCACCAACUUUCUCAAGACUUUGACACCCAACUCUCCCGGCUUGUCAAUAUGUGACUACAUCUCCAAGAUGUGAUCACACCUAGACCUUGCCUUGCCAAUAGGGCUUGAGUGACCUUAAACUUUUCAAGAACUUGUGGGUUAGGGAGAAUAAUUGGAGGAGGUGAAAGAAGUAUGAUUUCCAAAGGACAUCAUCUUCAUUUAGGAAACCUUGUUUCACUAGAUUUGGGAAGAUCAUAGGUGUCUAUUACAGACAUCUUUUGGGAGAUAUUCAAGAUAGUUGAUUUAAAGUCCUUAAUAUGACACCCAAUAUGAAAUAUUAAGGCUAGGACCCAACAAACUAUUUUAUAACUUAGAAGAGGUAUGCCGUAAUCCAAGCUAUAAAAUAUUUGAAGGUAGGUGAAUGACGAUUCACCAAUUUCCACCAAGAUAAACGAAAUGUAUUAUUAGGUUUUAAUUGGUUUUGAAACUCCUAGAUCUUUGAGAUUCAUUGAACUGUUCAAAGGCAUGUUUCAAUCUCGAGUGUGCCCUUCAGGUUUUGUGACUGGGAUGCCGAGGAUCACAAAACAAGGUGUGAAGUAACCAUGCAAAUCACUUGGUACCCUUAAUAAAUUACCCCUCAAUCGAUGUGCCGGUUAACCACACACGCUCCAUCGAUACUAUGAUAAAUAUUAAGUCACCCUUUACCUACCUUGUUAAGUCCAAGUUAGUGUGCCGGUUAACCACACACGCUCCACUAACGACUUAGACAAAGUGUAAAGUGUAAUUUCAUGGAUUAGCACCUUAUUCACAUUUUUCCUAAGUAACUAAGAUUGGGUAUUAUUAAGAGUUUAGUUACUUAGUAUUAUCAUUAAUACUUUUAAUGAAGGGAGAAUUCUAGUCCUGUCAAACCCGUUCGGCUAACGACCCUCCACCAGUCAAGCAAGCGGUGGGUGAGAGUGGACACCCAUUAAGUUGCCAUUUUAUAGGCAACAACCUUAUACCCACCUUAUAGACCGGCUUCGUGAAUGAGGCGUACUAGCGGUAAGACUGACUUUACUCUUAUACAUAUAUAUAUUAUUAACUUAUAAUAUUAUAAAGUAUAAGGGUUGAAUUUUAACUUUUAAAAUUCUAAGGGCUAACUUGGAAUUAAAGUAUUCAUAAGUGAAAACUUUACAAAUUCCAAAACUUGAGGGCAAGUUUUGAAACUAUUCAAAACUAAUUAAUUCCAUAACUUAUGUGUUUAAAGUAGUUUUAAUCCAAAAACUCUUCAAGUUCCAUAACUUGAGGACAAGUUAUGGAAGACUUUAAACUAAUAAAAGAAUUAACUUUUCUUUAUUUUAUAACUUAUGGAAUUAAUUAAGGUUACACUUUUUUUUUUUUUAUUUUAUUUUAUUAAAUGAAGAGACUCUUGGUCCUCCAUAACUUGAGGACAAGUUAUGGAGUCAUAAAACCAUUUAAUUAGAACUAGACUCUUCAUUUUUGUAACCUUUGCCAAUUUUUAUGAGUUUUAUGAUUCUUAAAUGUGACUUUUCAUAUAACUUGAGGACAAGUUACAAAAACACAUUUUAGAAUCAAUUCUUAGAUUAAUUUGGAUUAAAACCAACUAUCACAUAAUUUUAUUCAUUAAUCUAAAUUCACUCAUAAAACAAGGUAACACAAAAAACUUUUGGUGAUCCAUAACUUAUUCUUAAGUUAUGGAAUCCUUUAAAACAUUAACACCAAAUUUUGUAACUCCAAAAAAACUUUGAAUCAAUUUUUUUUUUAAAACCUUUUCAUAUCCAUAACUUAUGGAGGUUUCAAAAAAUAAAACUCUUUAGAUCAAACUUUUAAAACUAAUAAAAUAAUCAUAUUAUUUUAUCUUUUAUUAAAUUUGACCUAAUUCAACUCAUAAAGCAAAUUAUUCAAAUUUUACAAAUAAUUAGUUUUUCACAAGAACAAGUAAUUAUCUUAAAAUUUGACAAACUUCAUGUUUUUUUUUUUUUUUUUUUUCAACUUUGAAAAUAAAAUAUUUGCAUCAAUAUAACAGAAAACAACCCGUGGCUCUGAUACCACUGUUGGGUUUUGAGCAUUCUAACACUUCCUAAGUGUACAUGCAACCCUAAAUACCUUGGAUCUAUGUUUUCUCUAUUAUACAUGCAAAUAAGAACUUCCAAGGUAUUAUCCUAAUCUAGCAUACAAAACAAUAACUAUAGCAAGAUAGAAUACAUACCUCUUUGGUGUAGAAAGUCUUCAUGAAGCUUGAGUGCCUAGUGCCCCAAGUGUGACACCUCAAAUGGAAUCACAAUCAUCAAAACACUUAGAAUGACUUGAGAGAAUUCUACACUCAUCAAAAUCGGCUAGCCCUUUCUUCACUAUCUCUAGUGGCCGAUUUUUCCUCAAUAAUAAGAUGCUUAUAUAGUUACACAAUUAGGGUAAACUCUUAAUUGUCAUGGCUUUCCAUUUCCUUGGAUCCAUGGGUACAAAUACACCAUGGAGCAUCCAUGGACCAUCCUAUGGGUUUUAGCCCAACUUGAUUAUCCAUGGAGCAUUAGCCCACUAUACAAGUAUGGAUGAUUUACACAAUCAACCCAUAUAUUUAAUUAGUCUUCUUUUGAUCACUUAAUUAAUCCUAGAUUAAUUCUUGAUCAAUACUAAUUAAAUAAUCUUAUUAUUCUUAUUAUUAAUAUACUAGAACUUAUAAUAUAUUAAUAACCAUAAGUGUCUUAUUUCUCUCAUUAUAGUCUAUCCAAGUGCAUGAUGGUAUGCAACCCAAAUGGACCAUGCCGGGUCGGGUCAAGUCUUACCAAUUAUAGUUAUGGACUUAGACAUUAAUCCAACAGUCUCCCACUUGGAUAAGUCUAAAACUAUUAUUGCGUAUGACUUCAGGAACCAACUGGCAAUCGUAGCUCUCAAAAGCUUCUGUCGAACUCUGACCUUGUAGAUGAACUCUGACCUUUGUCAAUGACUUGUCCAUUAGAUAAGGGAUCAUAUAUUCCUCCAUUCUAGAUAUCAUAUGGACUGAGACAUGGAUUAUAAUCAUUCUCUCUGUCCAUUUGUUGUUUCCCGAUUUCCGAUUUAUGACGACUGACUAAUUGAACAAAUCAAAUCAGUCCUGGCCCGGCCGAGCACUUCCAUUUGUCAUCAUCAAAUCAUCGAGGGGCCCACAGAUAUCGCUUUUAUCCCGAAGGUAAAAGGAACGGAUAAACUUCGACUCAUAUGGCUUGUUCUACUACUUGUUGAAUCAUACACAAAGGCACGUUUUAUAGCACCGAGUUACCAAAUGCGUUUUCGUGCAAUCAAUGUACUAUCAACUCAUAGUAACAACUCAUAUCUCUAGGUUUGAAGAAUAUAAGAUAUUAUCGUCUCAUGAUCACUCGUGAUAAAAUCCAUGAAGUGAUUCCAAUGAGCGCGGGUUGAAUCCAAUACUCAGAACUUAUGAGCACUCAUGAGUGUUGUAGCCCUUUGUCCAACACCUUAGACCUCUACAAGCCAACCCAUGACAGUCUUAAUUCAUAUCUACUUCCAACAUAUGACCGACUGUGGAUGGUUUGAAUAACUUAGUCAUUCCGGAAGAAUAACCUAGUUUAUUCGGGAAGUCAAAACAUGCAAAGUGAAACACAAUAAUAAUUGAAUCCAAUAUGGUAUCAACCCUUUGAACAUAAAUAAAACACCUUUUAUUUAUCACCAUAUGAUUACACAUUAUUCAUUGUAUACUGUUUCAGCUAUCAACUUUAUUCUUGAAUUUAAAACAAUAGUUGUCCCAUGCUCCAAGCAUGUACACUAUGUUUUCUUAAACACUAGUCAUGCCACACACCAAGUAUGCAUACUAUGUUUGUCUAUGAUCUUUACUUUGUGAACUAGAUCAAUUGAACAUAACUUCAAUGAUUCUCUUUUCACACUCCCAAAUCCUUACUGCAAAUGCAAGAAUUCCAAAUUCAUGCCAUUUACUGAAAUCUGUUAGAUUCUAAACUUAUAUGCAUUGAUCCUCUUGUAAUGAUUAUGCACAAAGUCAGAAAGACUUGACAACAAUCAUUACAGAGUAUUCCAAAGGAGAUCAGCUCCUUGGAAACAUCCUUCUUGCAUUAAGUUUCCUAAUCUUAAACAGAUUGAAAAUUCUAACUUUGAAACAUUUCCAGAUUCCAUUUUGACUAUCACUUCUGAACAAGAGUUGCCUCCUUACAGAUUAUGUCAAUAUGGUCCUUCCAGAAUUAUCACUAUACUUCCAACUGUCCUUGAGCAACCAAUCUUUGGUAAACCUUAGAUUGUCCUCGACAAUUGUUUAAUCCUUUUAGUCAUAUCCAGUUCUAAACCUUUUCCCUUCUUAAUGCCCCAGGCAUUUGGAAAAUUUUAGAACGGAUGAAUAUAGCACAUGUAAUCGAUCCUAUAUCCGAAGCAUAUGGGACACGAUUCAUGAUGUCUUACAUAAAGACUAAACCAGUCUUUUGCUAUAAUAUUUCCAUUUCAAUUUGCCAAGUUCUCAUAAUUCAGAUUAUGAAAAGGGAUGCCGUAAUCAUAAUCGAAUUUUAGAACGCAAAUAAUGGACCCAUAUACAGAAUUUCCUUAUGUUGAGCCAUUCCAACAUGAAAUUCAUAUAUAUCCUUGACUAAAUGAUUAAAACCUCACGAUCUAAGCUUAUAGAUUUGAGAUGAAGUAUAAUUUCCUCUCCCUUAAUUAUAGCAAAACAACUUUUUCCCAAUUGAAACUUUUGUUUUCUAUAAUUAACAUUGCUAACUUGCAAUACUUAUCAUAAUUAUCAUGCUCCCACUAACAUGAUGAUUAUUAGCAUAACACUUAUGCUCCCACUAGCUUUGACAUGUACUCAGAAAUCAGCUGGACUUCUAGAAAUCAAUACUUCAUUGACUUUCUUACCAAAGUUCAGAUUUCUGAUGCUAGAUUGUUUUGAUAAAACUUUAUCAAAAUCAUACACCUUCCCUUAGAUAGCACACUUGUGUAUCUAAACAAUUAUGAAGAGGGAUGCCGUAAUCAUAAUGUUUAGACCUUUUUGCCACUUCUCACAAGUCCAAGUUAGUGUGCCGGUUAACCACACGCGCUCCACUAACGACUUUGAGAAUGCAAAUAUCACAAUUGCUAUCUAGCUAAAAUCUACUUAGUGAAAGUGUUUCCUCACCAUCAUUUUCAUGAAUCGGAGAGAAACCUUAUGACACUUAGAUUUAAUGGUGUAUGUGUUCUUAUCCAUGUGAAUUGUCAAAACCAUAGUCACAAGACAAGGAUAAUGACAAAUCCAAACUCAUAUGGACUGAACUCAAUCUUAAUUUCUUGCCACCUGGCAGCUCAAGGGCCUACCAUUGCUUCCAAGUUGUUGUGCAACAAAUUGAGAACUCUAAGAACUCAUAUGCAAAGCCAACUUUAACUGGAAUGGGCACAGAAUAUGUCAACACGAUAGGUUAUGAACCUCAAGUCGUGUGCUAGUGAAGAACUUCAGGUUUUAUUCUUGAUUAGUUCUUGAGACUUUCAAGACCUUUAAGACUCCCACUGUCCUCUUGACAUAUAAGACUCCCUUGUCAAACAUCCAAGAGAUAGUGCGGAUUCUAAUCAAGAAAAACACUUUACCCAAUUGGCCUAAGUUGGUCUUUGUUUUAUCCAAAACAUCACAACUUACCAAUUUCAAAUGUACAAGAGUAGAAAACUUUUACUCUUACAUUUGACAAGUGUUUUAAACCUUCUUUAAGACAUGUCACUCAAAUGACAAUCUUGGAGUAUGACUCUAAGACUUGUAUUGGAACGAAGUAUGACUCAUCUUCUUGAUUUAACCAUUUCAACAAUUCAAGUUCCUCUUCUUAGUCAUAAGAAUGCACUAAGAUUUCCUUAGAGAACUAAUUUUGAUAUGGUUUCUUAAUCAUUAAGAUGAUCACAAAACUGAUACUAAAGUACUCUCCCAUCUUUUCAGAUUUGAGAAACUUUUAUCCUUCUGCCUUAUUUGAUUCUUCUUAUCGAUCUUUAGUGGUGGACUUAAUCAGUGCACAAGAAUGUGUACUCGAUCCCUAAGUCCUUUACUUGACUCACACAUCCAUGUGAACAAGUAAUUAGUCUUAAUUUUCCAAAACUUGAAAGUUCUCAUUCAUCAUGCUAUACAACUUGCAUGAUUCCAAGUUCCGGUCCAAUUGAAACUUGGGUGAUGAGAAUCUUUCCUUAUUUGGUAAAUUUAGACAUUACCACAAAUGAAAGAAUCAAUUUCAUACUUCCACUCUUGCUACUAAUGGAAUCUUAUAAGCAACAAAAAUUUCCACAGAUGCCAUUGUAAGGAUAUUUUAAAAUAAAUAAAAUCAAAAAUUUCCUUUUAUUUUAAAACUUUGCGGAAAAACUAUCCUUACAAUCCAUAUGAAAACUUGUUGUUAUCUAUUCCUAAGCAAUAUCUCAUAACUCCUAAGAAGUAGCUCAAGAAUCCGAUUUUUCAAACUAUGCGAUAGAAAUCCAUCUAUGCGAUCAGAUUCAGCAUAUUCUUCCUUUAAGUUUCUUCACUUUCCUUUGAUUCUUAAACCAUCACCAUGCGACCCGGUCACAUCAUGUAUCAAGAAUCUCAGAAUAGAAACUUAACAGAGUUAGAUAGUGGAUUUUACCUGAAGUAGAGUCAAACUUAUUGACUUUAACAUCCUUAGGUAAAUUUGGCAGCUUCGCAACCAAUGCCCUUUCUUUGGCAAUACAAACAUAUGGACCCUUUGAUAAUGGUACACAGGACUAUCACAGACUUAGCUUUUCUCUUUACCAUUUGGUCAACCGAGUUGACUAUAGCCGAUCCCUUUCCAUUGGGAAGAGAAUGCUUUACUGGAUAUCCAAUGUCAUCAUUGUCAAUGUCCAUAAAGUUUUAGGAAGUUGAUCUUAACAAAUAGAUAAGAUCAUUAAGGGUCUUGUCAUAGUCUUUUUCAUAGGUGUUCCAAAAGAACUCACUAUGUGACUUAGAAAGUAGUUGAACCACCAACUUUCUCAAGACUUUGACACCCAACUCUCCCGGCUUGUCAAUAUGUGACUACAUCUCCAAGAUGUGACCACACCUAGACCUUGCCUUGCCAAAAGGGCCUGAGUGACCUUAAACUUUUCAAGAACUUGUGGGUUAGGGAGAAUAAUUUGAAGAGGUGAAGAAGUAUGAUAUCCAUGGGACAUCAUCUUCAUUAGGAAACCUUGUUUCAAGAGAUUUGGGAAGAUCAUAGGUGUCUAAACCAGACAUCUUUUGGGAGAUAUUCAAGAUAGUUGAUUUAAAGUCCUUAAUAUGACACCCAAUAUGAAAUAUUAAGGCUAGGACCCAACAAACUAUUUUAUAACUUAGAAGAGGUAUGCCGUAAUCCAAGCUAUAAAAUAUUUGAAGGUAGGUGAAUGACGAUUCACCAAUUUCCACCAAGAUAAACGAAAUGUAUUAUUAGGUUUUAAUUGGUUUUGAAACUCCUAGAUCUUUGAGAUUCAUUGAACUUUUCAAAGGCAUGUUUCAAUCUCGAGUGUGCCCUUCAGGUUUUGUGACUGGGAUGCCGAGGAUCACAAAACAAGGUGUGAAGUAACCAUGCAAAUCACUUGGUACCCUUAAUAAAUUACCCCUCAAUCGAUGUGCCGGUUAACCACACACGCUCCAUCGAUACUAUGAUAAAUAUUAAGUCACCCUUUACCUACCUUGUUAAGUCCAAGUUAGUGUGCCGGUUAACCACACACGCUCCACUAACGACUUAGACAAAGUGUAAAGUGUAAUUUCAUGGAUUAGCACCUUAUUCACAUUUUUCCUAAGUAACUAAGAUUGGGUAUUAUUAAGAGUUUAGUUACUUAGUAUUAUCAUUAAUACUUUUAAUGAAGGGAGAAUUCUAGUCCUGUCAAACCCGUUCGGCUAACGACCCUCCACCAGUCAAGCAAGCGGUGGGUGAGAGUGGACACCCAUUAAGUUGCCAUUUUAUAGGCAACAACCUUAUACCCACCUUAUAGACCGGCUUCGUGAAUGAGGCGUACUAGCGGUAAGACUGACUUUACUCUUAUACAUAUAUAUAUUAUUAACUUAUAAUAUUAUAAAGUAUAAGGGUUGAAUUUUAACUUUUAAAAUUCUAAGGGCUAACUUGGAAUUAAAGUAUUCAUAAGUGAAAACUUUACAAAUUCCAAAACUUGAGGGCAAGUUUUGAAACUAUUCAAAACUAAUUAAUUCCAUAACUUAUGUGUUUAAAGUAGUUUUAAUCCAAAAACUCUUCAAGUUCCAUAACUUGAGGACAAGUUAUGGAAGACUUUAAACUAAUAAAAGAAUUAACUUUUCUUUAUUUUAUAACUUAUGGAAUUAAUUAAGGUUACACUUUUUUUUUUUUUAUUUUAUUUUAUUAAAUGAAGAGACUCUUGGUCCUCCAUAACUUGAGGACAAGUUAUGGAGUCAUAAAACCAUUUAAUUAGAACUAGACUCUUCAUUUUUGUAACCUUUGCCAAUUUUUAUGAGUUUUAUGAUUCUUAAAUGUGACUUUUCAUAUAACUUGAGGACAAGUUACAAAAACACAUUUUAGAAUCAAUUCUUAGAUUAAUUUGGAUUAAAACCAACUAUCACAUAAUUUUAUUCAUUAAUCUAAAUUCACUCAUAAAACAAGGUAACACAAAAAACUUUUGGUGAUCCAUAACUUAUUCUUAAGUUAUGGAAUCCUUUAAAACAUUAACACCAAAUUUUGUAACUCCAAAAAAACUUUGAAUCAAUUUUUUUUUUAAAACCUUUUCAUAUCCAUAACUUAUGGAGGUUUCAAAAAAUAAAACUCUUUAGAUCAAACUUUUAAAACUAAUAAAAUAAUCAUAUUAUUUUAUCUUUUAUUAAAUUUGACCUAAUUCAACUCAUAAAGCAAAUUAUUCAAAUUUUACAAAUAAUUAGUUUUUCACAAGAACAAGUAAUUAUCUUAAAAUUUGACAAACUUCAUGUUUUUUUUUUUUUUUUUUUUCAACUUUGAAAAUAAAAUAUUUGCAUCAAUAUAACAGAAAACAACCCGUGGCUCUGAUACCACUGUUGGGUUUUGAGCAUUCUAACACUUCCUAAGUGUACAUGCAACCCUAAAUACCUUGGAUCUAUGUUUUCUCUAUUAUACAUGCAAAUAAGAACUUCCAAGGUAUUAUCCUAAUCUAGCAUACAAAACAAUAACUAUAGCAAGAUAGAAUACAUACCUCUUUGGUGUAGAAAGUCUUCAUGAAGCUUGAGUGCCUAGUGCCCCAAGUGUGACACCUCAAAUGGAAUCACAAUCAUCAAAACACUUAGAAUGACUUGAGAGAAUUCUACACUCAUCAAAAUCGGCUAGCCCUUUCUUCACUAUCUCUAGUGGCCGAUUUUUCCUCAAUAAUAAGAUGCUUAUAUAGUUACACAAUUAGGGUAAACUCUUAAUUGUCAUGGCUUUCCAUUUCCUGGGAUCCAUGGGUACAAAUACACCAUGGAGCAUCCAUGGACCAUCCUAUGGGUUUUAGCCCAACUUGGAUUAUCCAUGGAGCUUAGCCCACUAUACAAGUAUGGAUGAUUUACACAAUCAACCCAUAUAUUUAAUUAGUCUUCUUUUGAUCACUUAAUUAAUCCUAGAUUAAUUCUUGAUCAAUACUAAUUAAAUAAUCUCAUUAUUCUUAUUAUUAAUAUACUAGAACAUAUAAUAUAUUAAUAACUAUGAGUGUCUUAUUUCUCUCAUUUAGUCUAUCCAAGUGCAUGAUGCCAUGCAACCCAAAUGGACCAUGCCGGGUCGGGUCAAGUCUUACCAAUUAUAGUUAUGGACUUAGACAUUAAUCCAACAAAUACCCCAGGCCCUCAACCAUCUGGUUGGAAUGCUAACAUACUAUGGGUCCAAUUAUCCUCGGGGGAAUACCCCAGGCCCACAACCAACAGGUUGGAAUACCCACAUACUACAAAUCCAAUCAUCCUCGGGAUGGAUUACUCAUGGCCCACAACCAUCAGGUUGGAAUGCCUAUGUCUAUUGGAUUUAGCACAAAGUAGAGAAGCCUCAACCACUAAUCAAAUAGUGCACAUAUAACAGAUAACCACAUAACAGUCUAUAGACCAACAACCGAUCUAAGAGAUCAUACACGCAUAUAACAUCCUAUCUACUAGGAUAUUGAUCUAAUAGAUCAUAACAUCAUAUACAAUCCUAUCUACCAGGAUAUUGAUCUAACAAAUCAUACAAUACUCAACAUAUAACAUAUCAGGAUGACAAUCCAAAAGGGUCGGCCUUGGUACCUUAGACCCUUGAGUAUAGUGAGGAAAACUCACCACCUAUAUUUACCAUGGAACCAUAUUCAUAAAUUUCCAAUUUACAAAAAUACCCCAGAAGUCAACUAGUCAACCCUUGGUCAAGGUCCAAGUCAAUGGUCAAGGUCAACAGUCCAUGUUGACCAGACUCGUCGAGUGCAGUUCACCGACUCGUCGAGUCCUUCCUGAACUCGAGAAGUUGUGAAAUCCCCCAUCGAUUCGUCGAGUUUCCCUGCAACUCGUCGAGUUCAUGCAUGUACAAAAGUAGGGAAAACCCUAGCUGACUCACCAAGUCUUCCUACUGACUCGUCGAGUCCAUGCAGAAACCCUUGCACGACAAUCUUCAUCGGACUCGCUGAGUUGACCAUGCAAAUCGUCAAGUCCCUUCAGUCUUUUCUCCAUUCAGAUGCUUUUUAAGCCAUUCCAAAGCUCCAUAACAUAGAUCUAAGCUCCUAAGGCAUACUUUUUACAUAAAGUUACAAAAUUUACAUUCAUGCAAGGUGCUAAUGACUUAAAUUAAGCUAAAGAAGAGAUUCUAGGCAAGGGAAUUACACUAGCAUGCUAAAGACUGAGACUUUAUGAUUGUAAGGGCCAAGAUGUGCCUAGAUCUGAAGUUGCAACUUCAGAUCUUGGUUCAUCACUUGAAAUGAAGCACCAAUAUGCCAAAAUGGCCCCAAAACUCAAAUAUAGAAGGGUCUAGAUAGAAGAAGAUCAAGGUAAUGACUUGAUACCUUCAAAUGAUGCUAAAAUGGGGUAGACUUCAGAUCUACACACUUUCCUUGCCUCAAACUUCUUGAUCUUCAAGUUCCUCUCACCAAGAUCCACCUUCCAAUGCUUAAAACACACAAGUAUGGAGAGAAAACGACGAUUUAGGGUUUCUGGACUCACAAGGGGCUGUAUGGGAGGCUAAGGGAGGCUAUUGACCCUUUAAAUAGGGUGUAAAACCCCGGAAAUUAGGGUUUCAUCCUCCAGCUCCAACUCUUCGACUCAUGUCCUCUGACUCAGUGAGUUGGUCACUUAAGUUUGCGGUCCAAACGCGUUCCUACUCGACGAGUCAGGGCCUCCAACUCUUCGAGUAGACUUUUCAAUAUGAAAGAGUAAAGCUGAAAAUUAAUACCUGAGAGUUGGGGCGUUAUAGUAUGUAGGGGUUCCUCAUGGUUUCGAUGCAAUAAGGAAUGAGUUGAUUGUGGGCAGGAGAUCAGUAGUUCCCAAGUUCAUACCUACAUAUAAUGGUCAGUUGCAGGUUCACAUGGGGAUUUCUCUAAGUGUUGGUAUGUGUAAGCAGUGUCUUGAGUUUAGCUCUUUGUUAUUGCUUGAGCUAUAUUAUCAAGGAUUGUUAUAUGCCAUUUUUCAUACCGAGAGUUAUGAGUGGGACGCAUCUUGUUGAGCUAGAUUUAGUCUGUUAGGUUGUUUCUUUGGGUUAAUAGUGAAGACAAUUAAGGGGUAUCAUUUGGAAUAUCAGUAGACGGGUUAGCUAUAUUAGUUCAACAAUGAAAUCAGAGUUCAGAAAUGUUAGCAUUGCUUAGUAGGAAUGGCAUCUGUUUUGAAACAUCCUUAAAACAUGACCAAAUUUCAUUUUUGAUUUAAGUAAAAAUAGUAUUCCAAAACAUUGUUCAUACAACCCAAUAAAAUAAGUAUGCCAAACAUCAUAAAAAUCAGAGUAUGUCCCAUAAACUGAAUCUAUAUGGUGUGUGCGAUGCUGCAAGCCGAGCUCUUCCCCUUGGAACCGGAAGUACCUGAAACAUAAACUAAAAACCGUAAGCACAAAGCUUAGUGAGUUCCUCAAGAUACCGCAUACCAUACAUAUCAUAUAAUGUGCACCGCCUAAUGAGAUACGGGCCCCACCUACACUCACAUAACGCCCCCCCCUCCCAAUGAGAUACGGGCCCUGCCCACACUCACACAACGGGCCCCACCCAAUAAACAUGCAUAUACAAGCAAAUACAAGUAUCACAUAGACAACAAGUAUACUAACAUAACCAAUCAAGGGUCGGCUUUGGUGCCUUAGACUCGCUAAACCCAGUGAGGAAACUCACAUCGAAUGUUGAAUCUCACUGAAAUAAAUCCCUCGCUGCUGUCCUAACGACUCUUUGAGCUAACAGUACCAAAAAACANGGGAUCCAUGGGUACAAAUACACCAUGGAGCAUCCAUGGACCAUCCUAUGGGUUUUAGCCCAACUUGAUUAUCCAUGGAGCAUUAGCCCACUAUACAAGUAUGGAUGAUUUACACAAUCAACCCAUAUAUUUAAUUAGUCUUCUUUUGAUCACUUAAUUAAUCCUAGAUUAAUUCUUGAUCAAUACUAAUUAAAUAAUCUCAUUAUUCUUAUUAUUAAUAUACUAGAACUUAUAAUAUAUUAAUAACUAUGAGUGUCUUAUUUCUCUCAUUUAGUCUAUCCAAGUGCAUGAUGCCAUGCAACCCAAAUGGACCAUGCCGGGUCGGGUCAAGUCUUACCAAUUAUAGUUAUGGACUUAGACAUUAAUCCAACAAAUACCCCAGGCCCUCAACCAUCUGGUUGGAAUGCUAACAUACUAUGGGUCCAAUUAUCCUCGGGGGAAUACCCCAGGCCCACAACCAACAGGUUGGAAUACCCACAUACUACAAAUCCAAUCAUCCUCGGGAUGGAUUACUCAUGGCCCACAACCAUCAGGUUGGAAUGCCUAUGUCUAUUGGAUUUAGCACAAAGUAGAGAAGCCUCAACCACUAAUCAAAUAGUGCACAUAUAACAGAUAACCACAUAACAGUCUAUAGACCAACAACCGAUCUAAGAGAUCAUACACGCAUAUAACAUCCUAUCUACUAGGAUAUUGAUCUAAUAGAUCAUAACAUCAUAUACAAUCCUAUCUACCAGGAUAUUGAUCUAACAAAUCAUACAAUACUCAACAUAUAACAUAUCAGGAUGACAAUCCAAAAGGGUCGGCCUUGGUACCUUAGACCCUUGAGUAUAGUGAGGAAAACUCACCACCUAUAUUUACCAUGGAACCAUAUUCAUAAAUUUCCAAUUUACAAAAAUACCCCAGAAGUCAACUAGUCAACCCUUGGUCAAGGUCCAAGUCAAUGGUCAAGGUCAACAGUCCAUGUUGACCAGACUCGUCGAGUGCAGUUCACCGACUCGUCGAGUCCUUCCUGAACUCGAGAAGUUGUGAAAUCCCCCAUCGAUUCGUCGAGUUUCCCUGCAACUCGUCGAGUUCAUGCAUGUACAAAAGUAGGGAAAACCCUAGCUGACUCACCAAGUCUUCCUACUGACUCGUCGAGUCCAUGCAGAAACCCUUGCACGACAAUCUUCAUCGGACUCGCUGAGUUGACCAUGCAAAUCGUCAAGUCCCUUCAGUCUUUUCUCCAUUCAGAUGCUUUUUAAGCCAUUCCAAAGCUCCAUAACAUAGAUCUAAGCUCCUAAGGCAUACUUUUUACAUAAAGUUACAAAAUUUACAUUCAUGCAAGGUGCUAAUGACUUAAAUUAAGCUAAAGAAGAGAUUCUAGGCAAGGGAAUUACACUAGCAUGCUAAAGACUGAGACUUUAUGAUUGUAAGGGCCAAGAUGUGCCUAGAUCUGAAGUUGCAACUUCAGAUCUUGGUUCAUCACUUGAAAUGAAGCACCAAUAUGCCAAAAUGGCCCCAAAACUCAAAUAUAGAAGGGUCUAGAUAGAAGAAGAUCAAGGUAAUGACUUGAUACCUUCAAAUGAUGCUAAAAUGGGGUAGACUUCAGAUCUACACACUUUCCUUGCCUCAAACUUCUUGAUCUUCAAGUUCCUCUCACCAAGAUCCACCUUCCAAUGCUUAAAACACACAAGUAUGGAGAGAAAACGACGAUUUAGGGUUUCUGGACUCACAAGGGGCUGUAUGGGAGGCUAAGGGAGGCUAUUGACCCUUUAAAUAGGGUGUAAAACCCCGGAAAUUAGGGUUUCAUCCUCCAGCUCCAACUCUUCGACUCAUGUCCUCUGACUCAGUGAGUUGGUCACUUAAGUUUGCGGUCCAAACGCGUUCCUACUCGACGAGUCAGGGCCUCCAACUCUUCGAGUAGACUUUUCAAUAUGAAAGAGUAAAGCUGAAAAUUAAUACCUGAGAGUUGGGGCGUUAUAGUAUGUAGGGGUUCCUCAUGGUUUCGAUGCAAUAAGGAAUGAGUUGAUUGUGGGCAGGAGAUCAGUAGUUCCCAAGUUCAUACCUACAUAUAAUGGUCAGUUGCAGGUUCACAUGGGGAUUUCUCUAAGUGUUGGUAUGUGUAAGCAGUGUCUUGAGUUUAGCUCUUUGUUAUUGCUUGAGCUAUAUUAUCAAGGAUUGUUAUAUGCCAUUUUUCAUACCGAGAGUUAUGAGUGGGACGCAUCUUGUUGAGCUAGAUUUAGUCUGUUAGGUUGUUUCUUUGGGUUAAUAGUGAAGACAAUUAAGGGGUAUCAUUUGGAAUAUCAGUAGACGGGUUAGCUAUAUUAGUUCAACAAUGAAAUCAGAGUUCAGAAAUGUUAGCAUUGCUUAGUAGGAAUGGCAUCUGUUUUGAAACAUCCUUAAAACAUGACCAAAUUUCAUUUUUGAUUUAAGUAAAAAUAGUAUUCCAAAACAUUGUUCAUACAACCCAAUAAAAUAAGUAUGCCAAACAUCAUAAAAAUCAGAGUAUGUCCCAUAAACUGAAUCUAUAUGGUGUGUGCGAUGCUGCAAGCCGAGCUCUUCCCCUUGGAACCGGAAGUACCUGAAACAUAAACUAAAAACCGUAAGCACAAAGCUUAGUGAGUUCCUCAAGAUACCGCAUACCAUACAUAUCAUAUAAUGUGCACCGCCUAAUGAGAUACGGGCCCCACCUACACUCACAUAACGCCCCCCCCUCCCAAUGAGAUACGGGCCCUGCCCACACUCACACAACGGGCCCCACCCAAUAAACAUGCAUAUACAAGCAAAUACAAGUAUCACAUAGACAACAAGUAUACUAACAUAACCAAUCAAGGGUCGGCUUUGGUGCCUUAGACUCGCUAAACCCAGUGAGGAAACUCACAUCGAAUGUUGAAUCUCACUGAAAUAAAUCCCUCGCUGCUGUCCUAACGACUCUUUGAGCUAACAGUACCAAAAAACACCUAGUGAACACUUGGGUUCCAUUAUGUAUUCAAUAAUCCAUACUUGAGGUAAAAUGACCAUUUUACCCCUGACCAAAUAUGAUCCAAAACCAAGGCCCAAAACCACUUGUUCCUCUAAGGCCCAUUUAUGGCCCAAUUUUCCAAAUUGGGCCCAAACCCCCAAUAUGGGCCUUACCCCUAGGCCCAAUAAAUUUCCUUGGUCCAAAGGCUCUUUUUUAGAUGGCUCAUUAAGGCCUAAAACAGCAAAGUCCUAAGAAGUAGCCCAUCUGAGGCCCAAAAUACUCAAAGCCUAAUCACUGAGUACACGAGGCGUACUUAGUUGUACGCUAAGCGUACAUGCUGCAUGGCAUGUACGUUGUGCGUACGAGCUUCUAUGCCCAACGUACUCUCCUAUUAAGCUAGUUCUCCAUUUAGCUCUUAAUUGCUUAAGUCCAAGGGUCCCAAUCACAGAUCUGGGUCAUAUGCAACAUCUUAAACCAUAAAGUCACUAACUUGGUUGCUUUGCAUGCCCGAAAUGAAUCCAAACCCGAAAUAUAACACUUCACUUCCAUUAAAUGAACUCAAACGCAUGCAUGGGUGAGUUUCAACCCCAAAGGUGCUAACUUUAAGGCUUAUAAGUCUCAAAAAUGUCAAGAGGGCAACACAUAACUUCUGGUAUUGCAUCAAGCCACCAAAACUCACUCAUAGGACCAAAAGUUAACCAAAAUCAAGCUAGAACUAGAUCUAAGCUAAAAUGAAGAAAGUUCAAAGCUUUAUACCUCUAAUGAGUGCCAAAAGAUGAUGAUGUUCUGGAUCUUUAAGCUUAACCUCCAAUAGCUCUUCUUUACCAACUUUUUCUUCUAAUAAGGAUGCUAAGACUUCGGACUUAAUGACAUUAUAUAUGGCUUGAACCCUAGAAAUCAGGGUUUUGAGUCUGAUAACGUACGUUGUGCGUACAUCCUUGUACGCAGCAGAUAUGUGCAUACCUUCGCUUUCUAUUUGAUCCAUUUACACCCAAUGUACACCAAGCUUACGCCCAACGUACGAACUCGACUAAGCCCACACAUAAAAGGUGCAAUCCACUAAGCCCAACGCAACUUAUUUGGUUUAGACAAUUAAAUAAAUAAGUAAAUAAAUAAAUAAUACCUUAGAACCACCGGGUGUUACAUGUUCAUGAGAGGACUCUUGGAUGUGAUCGCUACUAUUGCUAGGGAAGGAGCGGUAGCAAAUGGAUAACAAUGACGGUAACGUAGACUUGUCCAAUCAUUGAGAGUGUGAAUGAAAUUUAAAAGUCGCAUGGGUUGAAGAUGGCCAGAAUGUAAAGAUCCUUCGACUAAUGGGUAGUUGGGUUGGUGUUUCGUUCAUUCCGGUCAAGGGUUAUAGUUCUUUGUCACGAGGUGAAGUGGCUUAAGGAUUUGGAGAUGUAUUAGGGGAAGUACUUGGGGCUAUCAUGCUUGUUGAGAUUCGAGAAGUGUACAUCUAGUAUGGGAUAUGUAUGAUAACUAAGAUUGAUUAGCAAUAAGAUGUUUGUUCUGGUGAGCUCAGGUUGUUGACAUUUUAAAUUGUAAGUUGUGAGAUGGAUUGGGAAUUCAUAAGUUGUUAUGGUUUAGGAGAGCACAAUUGAGUCCAAAUGGGGGAGAAUCGUUGGUCUAAGGGAUUGUACGAGGAAGGAUAUACACAUUUCAUUACACGUCAGUAGUGAUGCAUGGCGGGGUGUUCGUAGCAUUCACUAGAUUGGAAAAUAGUAUAUGAGUGUUGUAAGAAUGUGGGGUGGCUGUAGCAUUCAUUGGAUUGGCAGAUAGGAUUGGAGUGUUGUAAGACUGUAGGGUGGCCCAGAGUAUUCACCUAGUUCUUGAGUAGCUGUGAGGCAUGGUAAACACGGGGGUUAACACGGACCAAACACAACUACAAGCUGUUAUAUAGAGUCAUUAUGGACUCGGGGUUGAUAUAGACCUCGGUGUUGAUACGGACCCGACAUAGCCACAUGUUGUUUUAUUCGUAUAUGUAUCUGGUACUUUGGGGAAGCUCACUAAGAUUUAUGUUUACAAUUUCCAGUUAUUGUUUUAGGCAUUUCCAGUACGAGAUGGAAGGGCCCAACUUGAUUGCAACGUAUCCACCCAUAUUUCCUCAAUAAGAUGAUUUUGGGAUUGUACUCUUAUAACUGUUUUAUUAUGAAAUACUUUGAAUGUUUUUGUGGAAAGAUAAUUGGUGUUUUAGUUGAAUUAAAAAUGAAAUUUUGACCUCUUAAUUUUUGGGAUGUUACAAUUACACCCUUCCAGGGUGAUACCUUAAGCAAAACCAUGCCACCGACCUGAAACUCCAACUCAGAUCGACGCUUGUCGGCAUAAGUCUUCUGUCGACUAUGAGUUGUCUGCAAUCUUUGCCUAAUUUUUUGGAUGAUCUCUGACGUCUUAAGGACUAUCUCAGUACUUCCUAAUACCCCUAUGACUAGUAUCUCCCCAACAUACAGGGGUAUGAUACUUCCUCCCAUAAAGAAUCUCGAAAGGUCGAGCACCGAUAUUGGAGUGAUAGUUGUGUUUAUAAGAAAACUUAGCUAAGGGAAUGUAGGAGUCCCAGCUCCCACCGAAGUCUAUGACACAGGCUCUCAAUAUGUCCUCAAGUGUAUGAAUGGUCCACUCACUCUGACCGUCAAUAUGAGGAUGAUAAACAGUGCUAAGAUGCAACAUCGUACCUAGUUCCUCAUGGAACUUCUACAAAAAACGAGAUGUGAAGCGAACAUCUUGAUCCGAUACAAUGGACUGGAAUAUUGUGUCGAGCAACAAUCUCACACAUAUAAAAAUCGGCCAAUUUUUCGGCCGAAGAACUCUCUCAAAUGGCUCGAAAGUAGGCACUCUUGGUCAGAUGGUCCACAAUAACCCAUACCGCGUCAAAACCCUUAGCCGUCCGAGGCAACUUGAUAAUGAAAUCCAUAGUGAUAUGUUCCCAUUUCCACAUAGAAACUCCAAUGGCUGCAGCUUUCCAUGCGGCCUCUAGUGCUCGACCUUGACCAUCCGACAGGUGAAGCAACUCUUAACAUACCAGGCUAUCUCUCUCUCUUCAUGCAUGGCCACCAAUAAUUAAGCCUCAAAUCCCGAUAUAUCUUUGUGGCCAUGGGGUAAAACGAAAACCUAGACUUGUGCUCCUCCUCCAGCAUAGUCUUCCUGAACCCACCAAAAUCUGGCACCCGGACCCGUCCAUAUCGGGUCAAUAAUCCAUGACUGUCAGUGGCGAGUCUAUCAACCUCACCCCUGAGUCUCUCCUGCUUGCGAUUCUCCUUCUUGACUCCCUCGGCGUGAGCCUCCCUAAUCAGAUCAAGAAGCGGAGAAUCAAUCGAUAUCCUCAUACACAGACUCUCAAUAGAGGAACUAGCAGUCUUACAACUUAACGCGUCAGCAAACACGUUCGCUUUCUUGGGUUGAUACAUAAUCUCGCAUUCAUAAUCCUUGACCACGUCAAGCCUCCUACGCUGCCUCAUGUUCAAAUUCAAAUGAUCCAUGAGAUAUCUUAAACUCUUGUGAUUCGUGUAAAUAGUACACUGGAACCCAUACAAAUAAUGCUGCCAAAUCUUGAGAGCAAACACCACUACUCCCAACUCCAGAACAUAAGUCAGAUAAUGGACCUCAUGUGACUUUAGCUGCCGAGAAGCACAAGCAAUAACCCUCCCACGCUGCAUAAGCACCGCUCCCAGACCGGUGAUGGAUGCAUCAUAAAAUACCAUAAAGUCCUCAACACCCUCAAGGAGGGUCAACACUGGUGCCUCACAUAACUUCUUCCUUAGUGUCUCAAAUGUAACCUGCUGCUCAGCCCCUUAAUUCCAAAUAUUUCCAAUAAUUUAAAAUCAAUUAUUAACUAUUUCUAAUCAAUAUAUUAAUCAUAUAAUUUUUCUGGUUAUGAAAGCAACCCAAAAAGGACUUUACUUUUAUUCACUAAGAUUAUAUCAAUUUAGUUAAGACCUUAGAUACCUUAAUCCUACAAUGAUGAUUAGUCUUCCAGCUCCAGAAGACCUACUAAUGAUUGAAACCAUUAAACUUCGCAUGAUGGCUAUGCAUCUUGUUAUCAAGUUCCUGAGCCAUUUCGUCAUCUUUAAUUCCAAGAAACCCUAUGAUAACAUGAAAAAUAAUAGUCAGUAUUCACACUUUAAAUAUUGGAAAGGCGAUAUGAAAUUGAUAAUUGCAUUUUACAAUGUAAAGUUCCUAACCUGCAUAAAAAAUUGAGUUACAUAUGUUCCGGUGAUGGUUGAACUCUGGUCGGAGGCUAGUAGUGAAAUUCCAUAAAGAGCGGAGUUGGACUUCCCUAAAACAUUUUGUGUAGUAAAAUAGGGGGUUAUGAGUAUUCUAUGGAAGGCAUUUGAUGAUUUCAUAGCUCGUUUCCUUGGUUGUCGUUCACAAGACACAUAUGCAAAGGAGCUCAAGGACGAGCUCAUUCUGAAGGUGGGUGCAACUGAUACACAUGAUCAGCCUAACAUAUGAUUGCAUCAUUAGAGAAUAGUCAUUGACGAGUAUACACAAUAUCAAGGUGGGUCACUUGAACCGCCUNNNNNNNNNNNNNNNNNNNNNNNNNNNNNNNNNNNNNNNNNNNNNNNNNNNNNNNNNNNNNNNNNNNNNNNNNNNNNNNNNNNNNNNNNNNNNNNNNNNNNNNNNNNNNNNNNNNNNNNNNNNNNNNNNNNNNNNNNNNNNNNNNNNNNNNNNNGAGAGAGAGAGAGAGAGAGAGAGAGAGAGAGAGAGAGAGAGAGAGAGAGAGAGAGAGAGAGAGAGAGAGAGAGAGAGAGAGAGAUUAUUUUACUAAUGAUCUAUUUGGUUUGAAGUAGAAAUUAAUAUAAAUCAAGAAUUUUAAGCCUAACUUUUAUUUCUUAAUAACAUAAAUACUUAAUUACCCAUUAAGAAAUUGCCCGAUGCAACUUUUAAAUGAUAUUUGUGUCACAUAUUGAAAAAACCAAUGAUUAAUUUUUCGAUUAAUAGUUUAAUGUCAUGUAUUGAAAAUAGUCUCAAAUAGUAUUAGUAAUAAACUAAUGAGAUGAUUGCGAAAUAUUUCAUGAUAUUAGGACUCAUCGUUUACAAUCGUAAAAACUUAAUUUUUUUUAUGUUUAUAUCACCUAACCUGCUAUUAGUAAUUUUUUUUGACUAUUUUAUUUUUAUAUAUUGGUUUCAUUUAUACUGUGAGCCACAUAGGUUUUCAUUCUAGGCUCAUCACUGAGACGAGGAGGGAGAGGGAGAUCUUAAAGGCCAUCAGAUUCAAGUGGUCGGUGGAAGUUGCUUGGAAGACUUGGUCACCUUGGUGAUAGUUACCUGCAUCUAAAUAUGACCUCAUUUCCCUUAAUGCAUGUAUGUUUUCCUACAUUUGAGCUAGGUGUUUUUCCUAAGAAUGCAUAUGUAAACUUUGUUAGUUGAUUAUGAAAAAUAUCCAGAAAAUUGCUCCAAUUCUUGUGUUUCCUUCUCUAAAUUCUGCGGGGAUCGGCUAUCUCUUACUAGCCUUAUCAUGAAGCCAUAUAUAUGCGUGAGACAUGACUCCAUGGGUUAAGAAAACUUUUAUAACAAAGACGUCCAUGUCCAUCUUAUAAUUGUUAACUUACGCAAGAAUAUGAACCCGUUAAGCUCUAUUUCGGGAGGGGUUGAACCUAUGUCGUAUAACACAUUUGGGUAAAAGCCAGAUGUUUAUGGGGACACAGCUCAUAUUAAUCACAAAAUUUCUCGCCAUUGACAACCAAAAACUGUUAUUGCUGUGAUUUCGAAAAGUCUAGCGAGAACAUUAGUGUUCAGUAAUAUAAAACGGAAAGAAUGUUCUUUUAGAAACCUUUUCAAUAAUUACUCCCUAAUCUAAUCAAGUAAAUGAGUAGUUUCCUAUAAACCAAAAUUGAUAAAGAUUACUACUUUUUAUGCAUAGACUGGCCAAGAAAAAGAUUAAGAUUAAUAAGUUUGUUUUAUAAAGAAGAUACACAUAAUACACAGAGAAAUCACCAGAAGAGAAAUACACCAAUCACAAAAAUAAAAUUUUCAAAAGGAUAACAUAAACAUUAGCUCAGCCACGCUUCACAGGAUCAAAAUUGGAAACACCAAUCACAGCUCCCAAAAUGGCAACAAGCACGGCACCACCAGCCCCAAUGCUGAGCAAGAAGUUAUUCAGCGACGGAGUAACACUAGACGCCGCCUCUGCUACAUCAGGAACCACCAUCGACGCCGUUAGAGCUGCGGCGGUCAAAGCCGUCACUGCCUUCUCCUUCAAAGAGCUCUGAACCACCAAUCGUUUGGAUGGUGCAGCCACUAUCUUAGACGAAGAAACCUUGAGUGUCAAUGGGUUAAAGAAGGAGUUCGAUGGUGGGAGCGCAGUCUUGUGGGUCAAUGGCAUAGCCAUGGAAACUGCAGAUGUGGAGGCCAUUGAUGCUUCUUCUUUUUUUGCUUCUGUGUGUCGAUCGAUGAAAAAAGAAUGAUGGGUGAGUUAAAGGAAGGUUGAGAGGUGAGAAAUGGAGAUGAAGGGUAUUUGUGAUCUCCAUAUCUUGGAGUCCGAUGUGGCUGCUUUUCCACUUGGUUUUGGUGGAUAACCUUAUCCUUCCAUCCAUCCAUGCAACCUCAUUAUUUUUAAAUCAAAAUUCAAUUAAUUUGUAAAAUCAAUGUCUAUGUGCAUUGUGAUUUUGUAUAGGUUUUCAUUUUAGUAACAAUAAAGGUGUAAUUUUGGUUUUUACUUAAAACUAGGUUUUUGCAUAUCGCGAUGCAUUGACGACAAUUUGUUUGGUAAGGUGAAUUUUGAGAAUUUUAUUGAUAAAAGUUAAGUAUAUUUAUAUGUGAUCGAACUCAUACGUAGGAAACAUAUAUAAAAAUAAACAUAAAAAUGUAAACAAAAUUUUCAUCGAAAUACAAAGAAGCUCGAAUUUAUACCAAUACCUACAUAAAAUUAAGUAAUCAAUAUUAUUAUUUUUUAAGUUAACGAACAAAAAUUCAAAUAAUCACAAUUGUAUUAUAUGUGACCCGAAUCAUANNNNNNNNNNNNNNAUAUAUCGAAUUGUAGACCAACUCAAAUUUAUACCGACACACAUGGUUGUUAUGUAACAUUCUGUUUCGGAUCGUUCUGUGAUUUAAGGCUCGUGAGCCGUAAUUUGGGUAUGAGAAGGUUUUUAGGCUUUAAGAAGAAAGGUUUAGACCUUUUUGGAUGUGGGUAAGGUAGGUUGUGUGAUUAAAGAGUUCGGUUUGUGCUCUAGAGCCCAAUGGUAUCGGUAAAGGCGUUAGUUCGGGCCUUUCAUGAAUUUUGGAUCUGAGCUCGAGUGGGUUUUAGGAAAAAUAAAGUUGAUAGAAGUGUAGGGAUUCUCUUUACCUUUUCGUGGAUAUAAGGAUCAUCGGAAACGGACUUAUAACGAAGAAGUUAUGACAUUCGGAAGUUUGGUGGUUUCAGGGUUCAGCCGAGUACGCAGGGCGUACACAAAGGGUACGUGGGGUAUACUAGUGAAGUGAGCGGUAUGCGCGUACCUUGGCAUACGCUGGGCGUACUAACCAGGAUGGUCACGGGUGCUCUUAGGAGUACGUUGGGCGUACCAUAUGUACGUUAUGCGUACUCCAAUUAGAUUCAAACCCUAUUUUAGGGUCGUGGACCCUAUUUAAGCUCCUUAUCUCAUAAUCUAACCCUAAUAUAUUCAGCCUCCGUCCCUGUAAACCCUAGAAAUCGACCCUUAGCCUCCAUUUGAGUGAUUCUUGAGCUUUUUAGUGAUUUAGUGGGUUUUUUGUGUUUAUUGUGGAAGAAGGAGCUUCUUGAGGAAGCAUUGAUUGGCUUAUAUCUUGUAGAUCCAAGCCCUAUUCAUAUUGAUCUAGCUCCAGACAGUAUAAAGUUUGAAUCUUGGUAGCUUUCUCAUGUGGAUCUAGUUGGGUUAUGACUUGUUAUGUUUGGCCCUUGAAGAAGACGGAUCUUGGUGAUCAAACUAUUGUUGGAGUAAAGCUUCUAGAUCCAGAUCUUUCAUCAACUUUGCAAGCUACUAGAGGUAUAAAGUCUCUAUCUUGGUGAAUCAUGUGUUUGAUCUAGCUAGUUUUGGGUUUUAUGUACUUUUUGUCCCAAAGCUUUGGUCUUUAUGAGUAUGGGCUACUCUAGACCAUUUGAGUUGUCCUUUCUGAGGUUUUUGAGUGUUCUAAGUCAUAAAAAUGUGAUAUUAGUCCAUUCCUUCAGUUUGGGUUUUUGAGUUAAAAGUUAGGGUUUGGGUUUGAGCACAUUUAGCCAUGACAAGGCAUAAAUUUGGGAACUUUAUGUUGUAAAAUGCCUUCUUGGACGAGAUCUAAGUGUUGGGUGAAAAUACUUAACGAGUUAAGUACUUAAUGUGAGUUAUUGGCCUAUUUAUGGAGUUAGAGUGCUUGAAAUCAUGUUUGGGCCCCUUUGAGUCAUGCUAAGGCUUAAAGCCUUCGACUUUAUGGAUUAAUUCAUUAUUAUGGGAUUAUUCUGACGGAAUAAGUCAUUAGAACAAGAAUUGGAAUUUCAUCGGGAAUGCCACACGUAAUUACUGGGAAGGCAGUGUGUUCCAUCCUGAGUCCCCGUCAAGUGAUCCAGCGGCGAACGUCGUGCGUUCUGCCCAUGAACGCCAUGCGUUCGUCUGAUCAUUGGAGUUGUGGGCUUGGACUUGUUUUGAGGUUGGGAUUUGCCGUUUUGGGCCUUGUUGGGUUGCCCUAUUGGGUCUAAGGAGUUAUUAAGUUGGGCCUUAUUAGGUCUAGUAUGGGUUUGGUCCUUAGAGGGCAUGUUCAUAUUGGGCCUUGUGCUUUGGGUAUAACCCUGAAUGUUAUCUGAGAAUGAUCUUUUUUGGCUCGGUGUGUGGAGUCGUUGUGCAGCGGACACGAUGGUAGGAUUUGUUAUCCAUCGACCAAGGUGAUUAUUCUCACUAUACUUACAUGUGUGGUAAUUUAUAUGUGACCGGAGGGUCUUGUUUGUGUUAUUGACCAUAGGGACUCAUUCGUAUUAUUGACCGGAUGGUCUUAUUGGUUUAUAUUGAAAUUCAAUCUUGACAACCUGUGCAUUAAAAAAAAACAAUUUUUUUUAAUUAACGAACGAAAGUUGUAAAUUAGCAUCAAAACAUUAACCAUUUUGAAUUUAUAUCGACACAUACAUUAAAACAUUAGUUUUUUUUUUAAGUUUACGAAUGUAACUUACUAAGGAAAACCAAAUUAAAUAUAUAUUACGGGGGGAUAAAUACGAAAGUUUAGAAAAUAGAUGGGAUGAAAGUGACAUUUUAUAAAAUUCAAAGUGGAUGUGGUGAAAGUGACUUUUUAAAAAGAAAAGGGAUGGAAAUAUCAUUUUAGAAAGUAUUUUAAAAAGUAUAUGGUGAAAAAUGUCCCUUUAGGGAUAUAAAAAUGUUAUUUUACAAAGUAUUUUAACAAGCGGGAAAGAUAAUUCGUUUUGUAAUUUAAAUUUUAAUGAUUGUAUUUAUAAAUAGGUAUGCAUCGUUACAUUUGACAGUUGUUAGAAAGCUGAAAAUAGCAAAAGAAAAAAAUAUAGGUUAUAUGGAAAAAAAAACAAACAAAGUUAAAGAACUGCAAAUAACAAAAGAAACCAUAGAGGUAAAUAUUGAAAUAUAAAAGUUUGGGAUUGAAAAAAUAUUCUAAAUAACGCAUGAUUUGCCGAUAAUGUCAAGUCUCUAUCUUUUUUGAGUCGUGGCCAGCCACGUUCUUUAUAAGGCGUGACUAAAAUCGACAAUUUUNAUAUAUAUAUAUAUAUAUAUAUAUAUAUAUAUAUAUAUAUAUAUAUAUAUAUAUAUAUAUACAUUAUUCAUUUUUAUACACAUAUAUGACUUAAGACAAUAUUUUGUGAAAUUUUGGUGACAAGUACAAGUUUUGGAAUCAUGGUAUAUUAUGACUAACUUUUUAGAACUUUGGUUUGUAAUAACAAGGCAAAUUAGUUUUUAUUUUUUAUUAUCUUUAACCAUUCAAUAUCAUUAUUUUGUUACUAUUUUUUUAUCAUUGAAAAUUCUUCUAACAAAAUAUUUAUCAAUAUUACAUGAUACAUAUAAUCUUAUAUUCUUCAUAACAUUUUUUUUCUAAUAAUCAACGUUAUUAAAUAUACAAAAUGAAAAUCAAAUGCCAAAUAUUAAAAAUACAUAGAUGUUAUUAUAUUGUUUUUAACAUUUUUUAUUUUUAUAACUAUAUUAUUGAUAAAAAUAUCACAGAUAUCAAAUAUGGCACAUAUGAUAUAUGCUUAGAGAAUGAGCUUCUUUACCCUCUUUUUUUUUUUAUAUUUAUAAGUAGUCUAUACCUAUUAAAUUUAAUAUAUAUUUGGUUUAAAAAUAUAAAAUUUGGGUCCCUCGUUUUUUAAUUUUUAUACAUAUUAUACUUUCACACCCAGAAUCAAAAGUUCAAGCUCCGCGCACGGCAGGAAAAUUACAAUUUGUGAUAAUUAGUUUAUAAAAUAUUUCAAAUAGAUAAGGAUAAACGUUUGAAUAUAUAUAUAUAUAUAUAUUUGUAAUUUUUUUUUUUGAUAAAUGCUUUAAAGAAGAUUAACAUAGUUUUCUAUUGCUGCCAUAGAAAAGGUAAUCUCUAAAAAGAAGAUUAUUGUAUAUUAUCUUUAACCAAUCAAAAUAACUAAAAAGAAAUAUAGAAAACGUUUGUAGCAAUUAAUCCAGAUCUAAAUUUGGUUUCACAUAUGCUAAAACAUUGUAUAUGUUUUGUCGAGCUUUUAAAUUUGAUAUGUUUUCCAACACCCACCUUUUUCAAUUUUCCAAUUCUGGUUUUGAUUAUGCUAGAACAAAUUUAAAUCCAUUAUUAUAUAUACUUGUUAUAACUUAAUUAUUUUUUAACAUCAAACAAAUUCGUCUAAACAUAAGCCUAUUUGGUAUGGACAACAUGAUAAGACAUGUUAUUAUACCCAAAAUUUGUCAACUCACAUGCCAUGUCAUCUUUAACACCAUUUGAUUUAUAUAGGAAAUGGUAUGCAAAUGUUAUAGUAAUAUAUUAAGAGAGAGAGAGAGAGAGAGAGAGAGAGAGAGAAUGGUUUUUGAUUGGUUAAUUCUCACGUUAUUUCUCGUGGACAUGAUAACAUUUCUUAACAUAACACCAAAUAACAUGAGAGGGGCGGUGUACAAGGCACUAUAACGCCAUUUUUUAUUGUUACAUCCGAAAAAUGCAAAAGCCCGUUGCCCGCUCAUAGUAGUCUAAAUUUUAGAAAAAAGCUACACGGAAGUAAAGAUGACAAAAAAAUAUGUACCCGAUAGGAACCCGAACCCAAGUUGGCCGGGUAAAUCCCUAANNNNNNNNNNNNNNNNNNNNNNNNNNNNNNNNNNNNNNNNNNNNNNNNNNNNNNNNNNNNNNNNNNNNNNNNNNNNNNNNNNNNNNNNNNNNNNNNNNNNNNNNNNNNNNNNNNNNNNNNNNNCAAUUUUAAAUAAAUAAUGAUGGAUACUUAAACAUUUAGAUUAUAAAACUGGCAAUUUUUUAAAAUAAAACGUGAAUGGAUCGAUUUCGAUUGUGACAAGUUAACUUGUAAAAUAAAAAAAUUAUCUAAAAGGAAAUAAGUCAAAAAUGUUGAUUGUUAAAGAUAUUGUAUUUUAUAUUCACUACAACUAAUAUAUGAUUAGUAUGUGAAAUAUCUAAAUGUGUAAGAAGAAUAAAGUUAUUUCACUUUUCACGUUUAUUAUUUACGUAGAAAUAGAAAUAAUUGAGCUUUGUAAUUUGAAAGUAAAUAAAACUUUCUACUUUUUAAUGUCUAGAAACAAUAGAGAAAAAAUCAUGCUUAAAGAAAUAUAAUAAAAGUAGUAAUAUAUGGAGAUCGGGCGAAAAAAAUUCAUACUUCAAAGCAACGAUCUAUUUAUCUAUUACAAUAAAGAUCAUAUAUUUCAACUUAUUCAUUUUAAAGUCUAAAACUUUUCAAUCAUAUAUUGUGUGCAUGAAUGCACCAAUAUAAAUUUAGGAAAAAAUAAAUCAUUAAUAAUAAAUCUAAGGGUAUAAUAGUAAUCUAUACUAUAAUUAAUUAUGGUAAAUUGAUAAAAUUAAAUAAUAUCCCCUUUUAAAUUAGGAUAUCAGUUUUAAAACCUCACCCCCACCAGAUUAGGGUUUUACGCUCCCUCUUCAUCUCAUACAGUACCCACACACAGAUAGAGACCCAAUAGAUCUACUCUUCUUCUUCAAUAGAGACCCGGUAGAAGUACUCCACACGCAUAACAGGUGAUGAUCCACUUUCCGUCUUAGGCCUCCACACACAAAAAGUUCCAGAAGGUAGAGCUUCCAAUUCGUCGGCUUCUGAUGAUGAACAUGAAGAAGAUUCUUCUAGUUCAUCAAUGAACAGCUUCCAUAAUGAACUGGUGAUAGAAUCAGAAGCAUGAAUCUCAUUAUCCUUUGAUUUGACUUCAUCCUUGAUGAGAAGAUCGCGAUUGAAAAGAGGAAAAACAGUCCAACCUCGCGAAUCGAUCCCUUUUGUUGAAACCCCUUCUUCAAUUAAAUCCAACGAGAAUCUAAAAUCGUCUUCAUCAAAAUCCCCAAAUUCGUGAAAUCGACCGGCCUGUUCUUUACAUAUGACUUUGGCGAUAGCCAUGGAUGUGUUCUUCGAUCUAUGAGAGAUUCUGGAAUCGGCUUCCAGGUAUGCACUCUAUUAUCUUUUUUAUUGUAAAUUUAGUCACAUUCAUGUAUUUAUUAAUUACAUAUGUUGUAUGUUUAAUCAAAUGGAGUAUAAAGAUUUGUGCAUCUGAUUUUUCCCGCCAAAUGUUUGUUAAAAUGCUUGAAUCAAAUAUUUUAGCCAAUUUUUUUUUAAUAUUUGAACUAUCACAUGUCUCUCAUACUAGCUUGUAAUGAUAUGAAAUUUGUUUCUACAUAUUCUCCUUUGUGUUAGAUACAAGUUAGGUUCAGAAGUCAUUUAAAUUUGAUUAAUAUUGGUUGAGUUAUAGUCCUUCGAACAUACGAUGUUACAGCUGUAUUUUUAGCACUCUUUGUUCAGAAACAUUUGUGAUCUUUGAACUGUCAUAUUUACCACAUUCUAGCUUGUAAUAAGCUAACAUUUUUCCAAAGUAUUGUCCUCUGUGUUAGCUACAACAUAGUCAUUGUAAUUAGAUUAAGUCGAUAAUUUGGACCAGGUGACUCGGGGAAUACUUGAUCAAGUGACUCGAGUACAUUCUGUUAGAAUAAAUUAAAAGUGUUUAAUGUCUAACACAUUAUGUUAGAAUUAUAGUUUUAUUCUGUUAGAAUAUACUAAAAGUUAUACUAUUUCAAAAUUGAUUAUGUUUUUUUUUUGGAUUUAAGUUUUGAAGGGGCUGCCAUUGAAGUGGAAAAUGAAGAAAACAUGGAGAACGUGAGUAUUCUAGCAUAAUGUUGUUAUUUUUUAAAAAUGUUAUUCAUUUUUGUUGAUGUUCUUUUAAAAUAUUUUAUAACUAUAUUAAAAUGUAUAAGACUUUUAGUUUGUAAGAAUAUGUAUGAAUUUGUAUUUAAGUUCGGAUGUAUAAGAAUAUAUUAAAAUGUUUGUUAUUUUUGAACAUCUCAUUUAAGAAUUUUGUUUUUAUUCAAUAAUAUUCUAUUAUAAUAAAAUCCUGAAAGAGUAUCAUUCUAACAAAAAAUAUUCUGAUAGAAUAAAAUCGGUAAAAAUUGAAAUUGAAUUAAUUAAAAAAUUCAGAUUUUUUUAAAUUAGGAGAAUUAAUCAUCCCUAAAAAUCCAAAAAUUACCUUUUAUAAAUGUAGUUAAUUGUCCAAAAUACCAUUUUGCUAAAAAUUGUGUGAUUAUAUGGUACAUGUUACCCAUUAUAAUAUCAUACACUCUCAAAUCAUAUCCAUUGAUUAAUUUCAUUCGUUGGUCCAAAUCUGUCCCGAAAAAAAUUUCUCUAAAAAUGAUAAAAAUUUAAGUAAUACUUUUACCCACUGUUCUAAUGACUUUGUAAAAAAAAUUAAAAAUAAGGUGUUUUAGAUACCAAAUUUGAUUUUAAAAGAUUAAAAGUGUAAAAGAAAAAUGUUGAACAUAAUUGAUCCAAAUAUAGGUGAUUCAAAAAUAUUAUGAUCUCUAACUUAUUAUGAUCUAAAAAUAUUUUGAUUCAAAUAUUUUAUGAUCAUAAAUUAUUAUAUCUUUUAUGAUUCAAAAUUAAAUGAUUCAAAAAAUAUAAUGAUGCAAAUAUUGCAUUGAACAAAAACUAUAUAUAAUUCAAUAUAUUAUGAUCCAAAAUCAUAUAAUUCACAAAUAUUAUGAUCCAAAUUACUAUGAUUCAAAAUGAUAUGUGUCACACNUAUAUAUAUAUAUAUAUAUAUAAAGAACAUUGCACAAAUUUAUAUCACAAACGAUACUUUUAUUUAUUAUAAUUUAUUUUAGAUUACAUUAUUUAAAAAGGUCAAACGUACAUCUUAAAACAUAACUAGAAAUGACAAACAGACGAAACUAAACUCCAACAAGCUUCCUCAAAAACCUCCUCCUCGACACGAUUAUCUUCCACAUUCAUCUCCUUAAGAAUACAUGUAUUUUUUAAAAAUUCAACAUAAUGUUGAUGAUUGCACAGGUUUUUAUAGUUCUCAACUUUUAUUUAGUUGUAUUAAUUUAAAAAUCCUUCUUUUUAGAAAAAGCUUUGUUAAAAAUAUUUUAUCAACCCUAACUUACUAUCAUUUCAGGAUAUCUAAAAAUCUUAUCUUAUUAUCUUUUAAGAUAUUAUAUUAAUCCUAAUUUACUAUCUUUGUAAGUUAACUAAUUCUAACGUAUUUUAUCUAUCACUCUAAGGCGUUCCUAAUAGUAGUUGGAUCUCUAAGGUGGUUGUAAUGUAACGUUCGCAAAUUCGGGCUAGUCAAUUUAGAGACAAUAAACAUCAAAAUGACAUUUUAUGGAAGAUUAUUUAGAAUGAAUAAUAUUAACCAACAUUGGAAUCUGAGUUACAACGAAGAAGUUAUGGGUCGUCGAAGUUUUACGGCUAAACCGGCACGGAACCGCGUAACGUAAAAAGUGAAUUUUUGAUAAAUUACUUUUUAGCCUUAUGGUUCUAAACAAAAGUAGUAGUAUACGUUAAACUGAGAGCGUGCAUAAAAAGAAUGUCCAAAUCUGACUUCGUAUGAGGAAGUUAUGAUUUUUCUAAGAUUUGGCAAAACAGUAUGCAGCUCAGAAUUCGAAUAUUAGAUCGACCGAUUUUUAGCCGACACAACCUAAAUGAGAACCAAAGAUCUUGUUAAUAGGAGCUCAACAAUAAAAAGACGGACGAAAACGGAUGUUGAAUGACAAAAUUAUGAAUUUUUAACGAACUUUACCUGUCCCGGCCUGUUAAAAAUAUAACUUUAAAAAUAAAUUCAAAAAUAGCCAAAGGAGUCUAAACGAAAGUUCUAAAGUACGUCUCCACCUACAUGUUGAUAUAAAGAACGUCAAAACGGAGCUCGUAUGCGAAACUUAUAGAAUUUAGAAAUUUAACAUGGUGGUUGCGAGGGUACAGUGUACGCCCCGCGUACAUAACCUGUACGCCCCGCAGUCUCGCAACUCAUGGAUCUGGAUCAAAAUGUCGCCCCACCUGAAGCUCGCCACUCGUCCCUUCUUACGCAUAGCGUCACUUCAUACGCAAGGCGUAGUGAGUACGCCCAGCGUAAUGCGCAACUAAGGCCUAUAAAAGGGAUACGAGGGUCUCCAUUGUUUUCCACACCAAAGCCAUUUCUUUCUCUCUCUAACUUCUCUCUAAGCCCUCCCAACCCCUAGUAACUUCUAAGUGCUAAAGGAAAGCCUCCGGGGUGCCAGAAGGCUCCGAGAAAAAGAGUUUUUCGGCUCGAAAGGUUCUGCCCCCGCAUAGUCUGGUUUCUAGCAAACCUUCCGGUAAGUGAUUUAUGCUUACCAUACUUUAAGUAUAGCUUAGGUUUAAAUUUAUUAUCGUUAUUAUGAACUUAUAAAAAAUACACACACACACACACACUCACACACACACACACACACAUAUAUAUAUAUAUAUAUAUANAAGUGUUAUGAUAAUAUCUUUUAACUACUCGCGGUACGGGGAAUCUGGUUUGAAGGGCCGCAUAGGGUUGUUGGAUUUCAGAAGUACUAUAAUGCCAAAAUGGUCCUGCCCUCCGGUGUUUCAUGACUGGCCCCUGUUUGUACAUAGUGGUUGAAAAGUAUUGUUUAACACUUAUAAAACAAUGUCGCUCGUAAAUAGUCUCUAUACAUCUUAGACUAAAAUAUAGUGGUAAUAAUACUAGGUUUCGUUGAAGGAAACGAUUGUUAGAAGCGAAGUGUUUUCCGAAUUUCGAGUCAUCACUUUAACAAGUGAGUGCAUAGUUAUUUUCAUCUUACACAUAGAUAUGAAGUAUUUAAUAUAAAUUACGUGUUAUGUGUGCAUAUUAUAUGUGUUCUUGAUAUCUAUGUUGGAUGAACGAUUUAUAUAUGUUUUAAAUGAUUUAAAUUGUAUAUGUAUUUUAUAUCUACGAAUAUGUUGGGUAAAACAUGGGUAGAUGAAUAACAAGGGAUGAAAGCUAAUAUAGAUGAACAUUGGCAGCUAUGGACUUAGUGCCCUAUGGAUGAACAUUGGCAGCUAGGGACUUAGUGCCCUAUAGGUGAACAUUGGCAGGUGCGCCACAACCUGUAGAUGUUUUUAAACUAUGAUGUACUCUAAACAUCGUAGCAGCUGCACCUAUAGGAUAGUAUUGGCAGUUACGACUAAUAGAGAACAUCAUAAUCCUGACAGUUGUGCUUACAUGAUAAUAUUGGAAAUUGUGCCUAAUAGAUAACAUUGGCAAUGAUGGAUUGCAUGUCUAUUCCUUAGGAAAAUCCUUAGGAAUGAAUGAGUAAAUGAUAGAUUAUUCUUAGGGUAAAUCCUUAAGAAAUAAAGAAGAUAAUGGGGAUGGGUAAUUGGGUGAAUUGUUUGAUGAUGAAACGUAACAACUUUAUUAUUAUGGGUUCAAAACCCUAUGUACUCACCAGCUUUCCCAACCUAACCCACUCGGUUUAUUUGUAUAAUAGGUGUCGAUACAAAGCUACAAUACACUAAGAGAUAAAAGGAGUCGUAAAUCACUAGUGUAAAUGAAUGUAAGGUCUGUGUAUGCUUAUGUUUCUGUAUUGACGAUGACAUCCCAAAGUUUUAAUAUAAACAAAAUACAUUUAUUCGGAAAUGCUUUGAUAAUAUAUUUAUCAUGUUCUCUGAGAACAAAUUCCGCAAUAUUAUUCUUAGAAAUGAAUACUCUAAUUUUCAAAUAACAAUAAAUAAAAUUUUUAAAAUGACUGUGAAUUUGGGGAUAUCACAUGUAAUGUAUUACCAUGAGCCCCCAUAAUCGACGUUGUUUGACUAAUGAUUACUCCGCUACGACGCUUCAUCAGACGUCGAAUAAUGAUUAAUAAGAAAGAUAUCCUAUCGGGAUUGUAGCUAGCAAUCGUAGGUCGGAGUGUCAAUCCCCGUAGGUCGGAGUGUCAAUCCCCGUAUAAAUCUAUACAUAUCUUUCUAGCUCUCGCAAAAUUAACGAUUACAGGUAUCAGGUAGCCGACUGUAAUCAGGCUAAGGAUGAAUAUUAACAACUCACUAAUGCAUUAACCUUAUGUAUUUAUCUUUUAUCGUUUAUCUAUUAUCUUUCUUAGGGAUUUCCUAUAAAUAUCAUAGUAUAAGCCCCUUUAAUUUUAUAUUUGAUGAUUAUAUCUUUUAGAUCUCAUAAUUAUUUUGUGUAUAUAUAUAUAUAUAUAUAUAUAUAUAUAUAUAUUUGUGAUACAUUUAUAGAAACUNAUAAACCCUAAUUAUAGUUAUUUGAAAACAUGAUAUUUGGGCAGAGUAACAAUUAGCUACAGUGCAUAUCCAUAUAUUUGACCAACAUAACUUCUAGAUACUAUGUUAUCCUAGGGAUUUGGCCAUUAUAACAUCUAGGUAUUAAUAUCAUAGCUUACAACUAUACAUAGUAUCUAUAGGUACAUUAUCCUAAGGUUUCUAGCUUUAUAAAACGAUUGAUAUUUAUGGAUAUAAAUAUAUUUUGAUAAAACAAUUUCAUAAGCAUGUAUCCGCCCCCCAAAAAAAAUUAAAAUAGUGCAAUAGGGGUCAUGAACUUACCGUAGUCACGUAAGACUAUUGAUGUAGGGUUAAAUCAGGCUCGACUCCGGGGACCGCUCUAAGGGCAGCAACUUCGAUAUUUUCAGAGUGAAUGAUGAUUGAAGUUGUGAAGAAGUGAUCUACAUAGCCUUCUAUUUAUAGUCAUGAAUUUGGGGUGCGUGCGCCGCAAAUAUUUGUGCGCGUCACGCGUGAUCAUCAUGGCUCCAUCCAGAGAAAGCCACGUGGCACAUCCCAAAUUGGCCAUGUUACUCGCAAUCCGAUCGAAUCCAAUGUCUGGCGCGCGAUGGACAUAGAAUCACACCUCACACGCACGAAAAGAUUUUUCAAAAAUCAUAACUUCUUCUUGCGAGCUCCGAUCUAAGCCAUCUCUAUAUCUAUGUGAUGAUCUCAACGGGUACUACAACUCUCCUUUAGGUUAUUUUGGCUAGUUUUGACUUUCAUUUUUGUAAGUCCCUAAUCUGCCUGUGUAUCAAUCAGAUCCGUUUGAUGGUGCGAAAUCCCAAUCAAACGGAUGAUGUAAGAUCAAAAAUAAAAGAGAAGGAGAAGAAGAGUUAAUAUGAAUCUUGUAUGUAUUGAUAUGAAUUAAUGUUCCAGAUACAAAAGAUUCACACACAUAUGCUUCUUAUUAUCUCUGGCCGUAAACUCCUUCUACUGUUUCAUCAAUCAUUAUUCCUCACCCUAACACCUCUAUUUAUACUUGAAUAUGGGUCGGACACACGUGGGCCGUAAAUGAGUUUACGGCCGUAAGGUGUUUACGGCCGUAAACUCAGCCGUAAACUAGGCCAUAAAAUCAUAAAAUAUUAUACAAAAAUACAAUUGCCCAGAAAAGUAAAGUAUAAACCAUAUUUUGACCCAACAAUCUUCCCCUUGGUUUAUAGCUUUCUUUUCUUAAUGACCCAACAAGCUCCCCCUAAAAAGUAGUUGGCUUUGCUUGUUAAUCUUCAUUGGGAACUUGGCUUCAGCAUUAAUCUUCAAAUUCUUCACAGCGUCAGGAUGAACAUAUGAAUCUUCCAUGAAUGACUUCAUCUUGAGCAGUUGGGCUUUUCUUCAGAGUUUGGCAUUGAUCGCACAUUGGGUGAGGAGGCUUGACGUACUGAUUCUUGAAAGAUAACGCUUUCAGCUUGAGAAUCUUCAGAGAGAACAUCAGAGAGAACAAAUCUUCUAGAUCACUUCAGCAGGUACAACAAUAGCAGCAGACUGAUUGAGGAGGCUUCAAUGCAAUCCGUCACAUAAUCUUCAAUUGCAGCUUCACCUUGCUUCUGGGGUUGAAGGAUUGAAUGUUGAAAGAAUAAUUUUCAUUUCUUGCUCCUUCGAAUGCGAAUUCUUCGAUGCUCAUGGAUGCAGCCUUUGGCUCAGAAAUCUUCAACACAAACUCCAUGAGUCUUAUCUAUACCUGAAAUCACUUUUCAAGACAAAACAAAACUAAAAGAAAACUUAGCACACAAAUUAAAACAAAAAUAUUUUUGGAUUUUUCAUAUUUUCUGAAAAAGAAAUAAAACAGAAAUAACACUAUUUUUUUAAUUUUUAUUUUAUUAUUAUUAUAUUUUUUUGUUUUUUUUUAAUUCUCCCAUUUUAUUUAAAUUAGAAGAAUACUAUGAACAAACUUAACAAAAACAAAAAUAAUAGCUAACUUUAAGAGUGAUUUGGGAUCAAAGUUGUUNNNNNNNNNNNNNNNNNNNNNNNNNNNNNNNNNNNNNNNNNNNNNNNNNNNNNNNNNNNNNNNNNNNNNNNNNNNNNNNNNNNNNNNNNNNNNNNNNNNNNNNNNNNNNNNNNNNNNNNNNNNNNNNNNNNNNNNNNNNNNNNNNNNNNNNNNNNNNNNNNNNNNNNNNNNAGGGCGCGUAGUGAUUUUAGGGGGUGCCGGGAUUCGAACCCGGAUCUCCCGCAUAGAAGACCAACGUCUUACCAGUUGAACUAGCUUGAAUCUUGUUUUAUUACUCCGAAAUAUGAAACUUAAACACUACCUGUCGCUACCUUCUUUCGAAAUUUUGACACUUUUAACCCAAAAACUCGAUUUCUUUUAACUUUAAAUUCCUUUUUUCAUCCAAAAUUAAAAUAAUAAUAAUAAAUAAAUAAAAAUAUAUAAAUUAAAUUAAAAUUAAUAAAUAAAAAUUGAGAGAAAAAUAUUUUAACUAAAAUAAUUUUUACACACCAAAUUUAACCACUUUAACCUUUGUGAUGCUUGGAUCAAAGUUGUUGGACGGCCUUAUUCCGCUUGUCGGUACCCUUAUCUUCACAUCUUCGUCUGACCGAUUGCCAGUAUUGUGGUCCACUUAAGCACGAAAGAUUUGUGACACUUUUUGGACAUUUUACCAAUGACAUAAUUCAGGCAUAUACCUAAUUGUAAAUUUCUGUAAUUAUGAUAACUCCUAAAUCUUAAAUAAAUUCACCUUAUGACCAUUUAACUGACUACAACCAGGGAUAUUGUUGUCCACCUAAAUCGAGCAGCGAGAUCUACAGACAAUCUGUAUGAGUUCAAUUUUAAGUGUACUGGAACGUGUUUCCCGCUUCCUGAUAUGCCCCAGCCAUCAAGAACUUCCAGAGUACUCCUUACACCGGGUGAGCAGACAACCAUUCAGAGAGAGAAGAGAUUCAGAAUUCUAUUGCUAACUACUUCAGAGGGGUUGAGAAGAAGAAGGUUGCAUAUGCUGUGUACCAGGUCGGAUUAGAAGUCGCGCAAAGGAGACAGCAUAUGGCUAACAGAUGAGAAGUAUUUCACACAUGUAUAUAUAUAUAUAUAUCCUGCAGAGAAAUAGAGUCGCAUAUGUUGUGUACCAGGUCGGAUUAGAAGUCGCGCAAAGGAGACAACAUAUGACUAACAGACGGAAAGAAAGAAAAUGGUAUUCUACAGACCUAAUUUAUCGGAAUUUACCAGUCGCCCCAUCCAACCGGAAUUAAUGACAAAAUCCGCACAUCGAGGAAAAGUUAAGCCAUGGUUCAAAGUACGGGUUCAAUUAAUGUGACGAGUAGAUUCAUGUUUAUNCUCAACCUAUCCAAGCGUCGUGACAUCAGGUUAAACGGAUCUAACUAGGUCAAAGUUUGUCGAGUCCUCAAAUUCAUUAGGUUCAACUUUCCUAGUCAAGUCCAUUUUAAAAUCUUUCGUGCCUACCAGCACAUCGAGUACAGAGCGUAGACGAUUCAACUUAAGUACGUUACGCCGAUUCAGGUUGCCCUUUAUCACUUGUUAAUAUCAUUUCCCAUCACAGUACUUACAACCGAGGUUGUCAACAACAGUUUUUUUUUUAAAAAAAAUAUUGAACAGAAAUGAGACUAUUUUUGGAUUUUUGUAAUUUUUGUUAUUUCUCCCCCUAAAUUUGUGCAUGGGUGAGAAUACGUUAAUGCGCAAAUUUUAAACCAUCCUGAAACAGAAAUUAAAAAAAUAAACUAAGACGACCAAAAAUAAAUUGAGAAGAAAAAGAAGAAGAAAAAGAAAAAAAAACUUAAAAAAAACUUAAUCCUCAAAACGUAUCAUUUUCAGAAAUCCAACAAGCACAUCGAAACGAGCUUUGUUAAAAGGCUUUGUGAACAAGUCUGCCACAUUGUUAUCAGCGUGGACUUGUUCGAUUCGAAUUAAAGAUCGUUCAUAACCGUCUCUGAUAAAGUGAAUUUCGAUGUGCUUGGUUUUAGAGUGUUGGACUGGGUUUUUAGCUAUUUGAAUUGCCGCUUCAUUAUCACAAUAGAUAGGGGUUUCAAUGUAAUUCAAACCGUAGUCCAACAGCUGAUGUUGGAUCCAGAUAACUUGAGAGCAGCAAGCUGAUGCAGCAACAUAUUCUACCUCUACCGUUGAAGUCGAGACAGUGUGUUGUUUCUUGCAUUGCCAUGAAACUAAUCUGUCACCUAGGUAUUGACAUCCUCCUGAAGUUGAUUUCCUGUCAAGCUCACAACCUCCAUAAUUACUGUCAGUAAAAGCAUAAAGAUUAAAUUCAGAAUUCUUCGGAUACCAAAGACCCAAUUUAGGGCUUCCUUUGAUGUACCGAAAAAUUCUUUUAACAGCAAUAAGAUGAGAGAGUUUAGGAUUAGCCUGAUAUCGAGCGCAUUGACAAACUGCAAACAUAAUGUCAGGUCGACUUGCAGUAAGAUACAUCAGCGAUCCGAUCAUCGAUCGAUAGAGAGUUUGAUCUACGGGUUCGCCUUCUGGAUCUGGAGUCAGGAGAGGUCGUUCAGCCAUCGGUGUAGAAGCAGAUUUAGCAUCGUGAAGUGCGAACUUCUCAAGAAUAUCCUCCACAUACUUGGCCUGAUGUAGCAAGAUUCCGGUUGAAUUCUGUUUAACCUGAAGCCCCAGAAACAUGGUCAUUUCUCCCAACGAACUCAUUUCAAAUCUUUUCUUCAUUACACUUUCGAACUCUUUGCAAAGCUUUUGGCUUGUUGAUCCAAAGAUUAUGUCAUCGACGUAUAUUUGUACGAGUAUCUGGUCUUUGUCGACAUGCUUUAUGAACAAUGUUUGAUCAAUAAUGCCGCGAGUGUAACCGUGUUCGAGCACAUGCUCUGUUAGGGUUGCAUACCAUGCUCUAGGAGCUUGAUGCAACCCAUAUAACGCUUUGUCCAACUUGUAGCCAUGAUUAGGAUACUUUGAGUCGACAAACCCUGGAGGUUGAUCAACGUAGAUUUCUUCCUUCACCUUGCCAUACAAGAAGGCAGUCUUGACAUCCAUUUGAAAGACAGUAAAGUUCAUAUACGAAGCAUACGCUAGGAAGAUACGAAUGGCCUCCAAGCGAGCUACUGGAGCAUAAACCUCAGUGUAGUCAAGACCCUCGACUUGUCGAAACCCACGUACUACCAGUCUGGCUUUGUUUCGCACAAUAACCCCUGAAUCGUCCUGUUUGUUGCGAUAGACCCAUCGUGUAUCAAGAGACUUCUUGCCCUUCGGUAACCCAACCAAUUUCCAAACACCGAUUUUUUCAAAUUGAUGCAAUUCUUCAUGCAUUGCAUCCACCCAGCUAGGUUCAUUUAGAGCCAUUUAUAUAUUCUUGGGCUCAAUUUGAGAGAUAAAGCAAGAAUACAGACAUGUAUUCACGUCUCCACUUUGAGUUCUAGUUUUAACACCACCAUCUAGCUGGCCGAUAACGUUUUCGAUCGGAUGAUCCCGUUGAACCCUAGAAGGUAUCUCUUGGCUAAUGUCAUUGAUAGAGACAAGUAGAGUGUGAAUGUUAAGACCUUCAUUUGGUUGUUGAGUAGUACCAGAUGGUUCUGCAACAUACUCAUCUACAAUAAGGUCAGGAAAGAGUAAUUCCAUCAGGGUUGAAGAGACAGCGGAAGCAUCAUUUGGAACGAACUCUUUCUCUGAAGAUAUGUGAGGUCUCGAUUCAGCAUCAGAAGAAUCAGUGUGGUCUGAUUGAGGACUGUCAUGUCCCAUGAACGGCCUCCCCUGAGGAGUAGCAGAGGACUUUUCCGAAGAUGUUGCAGAAGAAUCCCCCUCAAUUGCAGCAGAAGGCUCCCCCUCAGAUGAAGCAGAAGAUUCUCCCUUGCGCGAGUCAGAGGACUCCCAUUCGGGUGAAGCUUUAGACUUUCCUUUUGAUGAAUUAGAAGGUUUAGAUACAGGCUUGUAUACGACUUCUUCGUCUUCAUCUUCAGAGAUACUCUUCCAAUGCGAAUCAGUUCUAGAUACAUCAUUUGAAUACACGUUUAAGGAUUUGAAAAGUGACGUAUAAUCAAACAACCAGUCUGGACCCACUCUUGCGUCUGUCUCAUUCUCUUCCAACCAACGCACGUCAUAGGAUUCCACAAUCUGUUUGGUUUUCUUGUUAUAGACUCUAUAAGCGGUACGUGCAGCAUACCCAACAAAAUAGCAGUCAUCGGCUUUGGCAUUAAACUUCGGAUUGGCAUCUAGGUGAAGUAGGGUGCAAGGACAGCCAAAUACUCGAAAAUGACUGACCGAUGGCUUGUGACCAUAGUAAAUUUCAUACGGGGUUUUCAUUUGAGCUUUGUUGAUGAGCACUCGAUUCUGAACAUAACAAGCAGUAUUUAUCGCCUCCGCCCAAAAGAAAACAGGUAGCUUGGAGUCACACAACAUCGUUCUUGCAGCGUCUUUGAGUGUUCUGUUUCGCCUUUCAGCAACACCAUUUUGUUGAGGUGUAUGAGCUGAACUAAAUUGACGCAGGAUACCCUUUUCAGCACAGAAGUGAUUGAGAACAUAAUUCUUAAACUCUGUUCCAUUGUCGGUACGAAGCGCCUUCACCCUUUGAUUGGUCUGAUUCUCAACAAGUAUGAUGAACCUUUUGAUCAAUUCAGUGACGCCAGCUUUGUUGAAUAGAAAGAAAACCCACGUGACUCGAGAAAAAUCAUCAAUCACAACUAAACAGUAAGAACUUUUGUUGAUACUUAGCACGUUCACUGGACCAAAUAAAUCCAUGUGAAGUAAUUGGAGAACCUGACUGAUUGAGUUAACCUGUUUUGGCAGGUGCGGCUUUCGAUGGUGCNUGACACACAUUUUUCAAAAGUAAUAAAGUCCUUGACGGGCAAUCCACGGACCAUCUCAUUUUUCUCAAGACGAUUUAGAUUCUUGGCGUUAGCAUGACCUAAUUUUCGGUGCCACAGCAUUGCAGUUUGCUUGGAGAUCUUGGAGAAUAGACAAGUAACUUGUUCUGGGAGAUUGCUAUUCAUAUCAAUAAUAUAGGCGUUCCCAUCCCUUUUUGAUCUUACGAGAAUCCAUUCUUCAGGGAUGACAAAGCCUGGCUUUAAGACCAUGCAUUCCUUGUCAGUGAAAUGCGUAGAAUAGCCCUUGUCACAGAUCUGAGAAACACUUAACAGACUGUGUUUCAACUCGGGAGCGAAAUUCACGUUUUCGAAACUUAGAACUCCAUUUGACACGGUUCCCCUUUGAGUGAUUUUCCCUCCAUCUCCACCCGCAAAAGAGACAUACCCCCCAUUAAAUGAUUGAAUGCUGCGCAGUUGGGUGAUAUCUCCCGUCAUAUGCCGGGAACAGCCACUGUCGACAAACCAGGGUCUGACGACAUUUCCCCGCAACUGUCCCUGCAAAAUGUGCGGGUUUAAUUAGAUUUGGGCACCCAGGUCAUGAUCUUCCUGGGUGAUCCCGAUGCCUUUUCACAUUUAUUGCACUUAAACUUCUCUGAGGACACAGAGGAUGUAUUGGGAGCAGAUUUGGUCCUCCAUUUAUAAUUAGGUUUUCUGAAAAAUUCAGUCAACUUUGUCAUUUUAUGUUUAACAAUCUGCUUAAAGCAUGUGUUACUUCUACCAGAAUUGGUUGAAGAUCCACUAUUGCUUUGGGAUGAGCUUGACCUUGGCGUGGCUAUGCUCCUUUUUGGCAGACUGCUCGGGACAAGGUGAUUAAAAACCUUUUUAUGUCUGUGAAAAAUAUCCCUUUUUCUAUUUCGUUCAUCUGCCCAAUCAUCAUUUCGAGAGCGACUUCUAGAGGAAUUUCUAUUUAAAGACCUUCCUCUGAACUCGUUCUCCCCUCUUGGAAGAUUAUGACUCACAAACAUUCGAUUAAGACAAUUUCUAGCAAUAUGACCACUAGUACCACAAUUAAAACAAAUCUGCUUGUUAUUGUUAGAACUUGUGCUGCAUUUAUCAGAUUCGUUUUCCCUAUAAACACCCUUGCUUGUCUCACAGAAACAUGCAACAUUAUUAGGUUGUGAGGCAAGUGAGGGUGCUAUACUUAUUGAGGGUUGUGAAACUAGUGGUGUCUCAACAUUUUUAUCACAAACAUUCAAAUUGUCAACCAAAUUGUUCAAAAAUUUAUCAGACAUAUUAGAAGCACUCAAAACUGUAUCAGAGGUAGCAGCUACUGUAUCAGAAUAAUUAAAAACACCACAAGAAAUAUUGUCACUUAAAACAUUUGAAAAAGAAUUGUCUUUAUUUAAAAUGAAAGCUUCAGGUUUGGACUCGAUUUUAUUUUCAGAAACACAUCCUUCAACUUUGUGCUUUGACUGAUUCAAGGAUUGAUCUGCAGGAGAAGUAGAAAUGUUAGUACUUUCAACAUUAAUAAAUCCUCCCGAAACAAAACCGGAGGGCUUGCCAUAAAUCAUAAAUGAUUCAUUGACAAUCUCUUCUUUGGACAAAGGCUUGGACACAUAUGAAUGAUUGAAAGGAGGGGGUACAUGAUUAUACCCUAGACCUUUUGAUUGAUUCCUUUUAAACUGCAUACUUUGGUCUAUCAUAUUUGCAACCACCUCACUUGAGAAAUCAUAUUUUCUAACAUCAAGUUUGGCGGUCUCAAAUUUUCCUUUCAAAGAUUCAACUUCAGCCACUAGCUCAGCAUUUUGUUUGACUACAUAAUCAUAGUUUUCACAUUUGUUGCUGUAGUCUUCCUGGAGUCUCCUAAAGUCUUUAAUUUUUUAUUCUAGUUGAGCUUUAAGUGGUUUUUGUCCUUUUCGAAGUCGGUACCCUUCAUAUCUAAGGUCUUCUACGUCUCUUAUUAAUUUGUCAUUGAGUUCACGAAGAAUCCUAAGAUUUUCUACUUCAUUGCCUAAUGUCUCAAUUUUAUCCUGUAAAGUUUUCACAUAAUCUAUACAAGCCUUAGAGCAUGAUGGGAGACUUACCUUGGACGAAUUAGGUUCAUGGGAAGAGGAUACCAUCAAACCAAAUUGUAGCUUCAUCACACUGUCUUCAGCUGCUACAAUCCCUGCUGGAGAGUCAUCCCUUACUUGUGCUAGAUGAGCAUUUUCUGGUCCAGACAAAUUGAGAGCUUGUAUUUGAUCAUCCCAGUCGAAAGAUUGUGCAACCAUAGCCUUUUCAUUGUUUGCUUGACCACUGCUUCGGUUGUUCCCAACUGCAACCAUUGUUCUGUCAUUAUUAACCCUUCUAUCAGGGUGUGGGCAAUCACGAGCAAAAUGCCCUGGCUCGUGGCAAUUGAAACACCGAAGCUUUCCUUUGUUGAAUCCAACCUUCUUGUCAGCGCUCAUUCCCCAAUUGUUCUUUCCUGUCUUUUUGGCAAACUGUUUUGCCCUAAAUACAGCCAUGGCAAUUUGCCAUGUGAUGUCCAUUUCCUCAACGUCCUCCGGAUGGAUUUGAUCAAGAUCUGCAAAUGACAAUUGAGGUGGAAGUUCCCCAGCUACAAGAGCAUUGUAGCAAUUCACAAGCCCUGCUGCAAAGACAAGGUUUUCAUCACCCUCCUUUCCUUUUGAAGAGGAAGCCACAUUUGAGGAUGGAGCAGUUUGGGUAGACACGAGAGGUUGACUUUGUGGGUAGGGAAUGACCGGUGCAGGAUAAGAUGAACCUGCAGGGGUAUAAGAGAAGGAAGAAAGAGCAUUAUUAGUUGAAAUGCCAAGAUUGGCAGCUGAGUAGGAGUUCACAUGAUUGAUCUCUCGCUGCUUGUCAUCAAUAUCACACGCUUUGAUGACAGCCAUCACUUCAGCUAGAGAAAGGCGAUUGAGAUCCUUAGUCUUCUUAAUCACAGCUACAUUCAUGUCCCAAGAUUUUGGGAGAGCAUUUAGUAGCUUCUUAUUAAUUUCUGACUUUGUAUAGAAGAUCCCUGCCACAGUCAUCUCUGUGUUGAGAGUUGUGAAUCGCUGCAGUUGAGCUUCGAGAGUCUCUCCGGGAACAUAAUUAAACAUGUUGAAGCAUUGCCUCAGCAUAUCUUGGCGGCUUUCUCGCAUGUCUUCAUUUCCCUCAUAUACUUCAAUAAGGGCUUCCCACCAUGCUUUAGCAGAAGUAUACUCUCUGAAUCCUUGAGCAAUGUCUGGAGAUAAGGCCAUAGUCAAAAUGGCCAAUGCCUUUUCUUGUUCUUCUACACUCUCAAAGUCUUCAUCAGUGUAGUUUUCAAUUUUCUUGUCAACCACCUGCCCCCCAACUGUAGUGGUGAUUCUGACUGGAUCCUUUAUAACACAUUUCCAAAUCUUGAAGUCCUUCAUCUUUAUAUAUUUCUCAAUUCUAUAUUUCUACUCGGGGAAACCAUCAGCGGACAUGAGUCUUGGAAUCCGCGUGGUUGUUCCCAUCACAGCAUCGAGUUCUUGAUAUUGAUUAGGACUUUGUGAUUCCAUAUUUAAAGUUAAUUAUUUAUUUAAUAAGACAAAAAAAAUUAAUUAAUUAAUUUACUGUUAUGAACUCCGAAAAUUAAUUAAUUAAGAUUUUAAAACCGAGUUUACUGCCGAGAAAAGGUUUACUGUCAAGAACUGUUUACGGCCAUAAACUCCUUGUUUACGGCCCGCGAAAAAUUUGAAUUCUGGAACAAAGAAAUUGAUGAUGCAAUUUUUAAAAUCGAUUAUCCGAUAAUCGAUUUACGGCCAAAGUUUUUCAAAGAUCUCCGAGUUUACGGCCAAUGAUUACGGCUAAUUAUCUAUUAAAAAUUUAUUUUAUUUGAAAAUUUUAAUGCAAUGAAGUAUUAUUCUGAAAGCCUUAAGUCAGGAACUCGAUGUGCUGUAGAAUAGAUUCGAUUGCGGUGUAUGAAUCUUGAAUAGCUUGCGGCCGUGCUUGGGGUUUNUGAACCUUGAAUAGCUUGCGGCCGUGAACUUGGAGUUUACGGCCGUAAGCUCGGACCGUGAACUCUUAAACACACGAAAAUCGACUGGAAUAAAACCCUUCUUUCGCUACGAAUAUCGUUUUGAGCAAAAACACAACUGUAGGACGUCUUUGACACUGGUCUUGCUCUGAUACCAAUUGUAAAUCCCUAAUCUGCCCGUGUAUUAGUCAGAUCCGUUUGAUGGUGUGGAAUCCCAAUCAAACGGAUGAUGUAAGAUCAAAAAUAAAAGAGAAGGAGAAGAAGAAUUAAUAUGAAUCUUGUAUGUAUUGAUAUGAAUUGAUGUUCCAGAUACAAAAGAUUCAUACACAUACGCUCCUUAUUCUCUCUGGCCGUAAACUCCUUUUACUGUUUCAUCAAUCAUUAUUCCUCACCCUAAAACCUCUAUUUAUACUUGAAUAUGGGCCGGACACACAUGGGCCCUAAAUGAGUUUACGGCCGUAAACUAGGCCAUAAAAUCAUAAAAUAUUAUACAAAAAUACAAUUGCCCAGAAAAGUAAAGUAUAAACUAUAUUUUGACCCAACAAUUUUUGUGCCUAAUGGGGGUAAAAAUAAAUGAUUUUAUAAAAAUCAUAUAUCUCUCAUAUGGAUCCCGUUUUCGACACUCUUUGUCCUAAAGUUUAUAUUUUAAGGAGUACUACGAAACUCCUUUCGGCACUCUUUGUCCUAAGAGUUAUUAAUUUUAAUCAGUUAACAAAUAUUCUCCAAGUGUGUUAACAAACUUAGAAGAUUGUACAACUUUUUAGACGUUAAUUUUUUAGCCUAAUAGUCAUCUUAACAAAUAAAUGUAAUGGCACAUUUGAUUUUUAUUAUCUCGAAAUCAAAUAUUACAAUACUAAGCAAUUAGAUUUUUUUUUCCUAUUUUUUCCUAAUGGUGAUCAGUAACGGAAACCUCUCCGUUGUCACAAUAUAAUCCAAAAUUUUAUGAUUCAAAAUGAUAUGAUCCAAAUUUUUGUGAUCCAAAUUAAUAUUAUCCAAAAUGUAUGAUGUAUAAUAUCGUUAUGAUUCGAAAAUUUUUAUAAUGGUUAAAUAUCACAAACUCGAACCAAUAUUUAAUUCAAAAAAUAAAAAGAAAAAAAAUGAAAAGAAAAAAAAAUGAAAAAAGAAACGAAAAGGAAAACUGAAAAAUCGUGUAUAUAUUGAUCAAAAAAUGUAAAAAAGAAAACAUUUUAUAAAUAAAUAAAUAAAUAAAUAACUUAAAACCAAAUAUACUAUUACCUAAAAAAGUUUUUUUUUUAAAUUAAAAACAAAAAGUAAUAAAUAAAUAAAAUAAUAAAAAAUGCAAAAAACAAAAAAAAAAACUCAUUUAAAUGAUGUUCAAUAGACGUUCGUCGCACAUGAUUAUUCCCUCGAGUUCGUAUUAUGUUCCAUGAAAGUGCAUUGCGUGCAAAUGCAUCACGACCAAGUAAAUGGGUUUGACGUUUGUGUCGUUGACGAAAUGAUUGGUGGAGAAUAGUCAUCGUGGUUCCUACCAAUUUUUGGGUUCCUAUAGNNNNNNNNNNNNNNNNNNNNNNNNNNNNNNNNNNNNNNNNNNNNNNNNNNNNNNNNNNNNNNNNNNNNNNNNNNNNNNNNNNNNNNNNNNNNNNNNNNNNNNNNNNNNNNNNNNNNNNNNNNNNNNNNNNNNNNNNNNNNNNNNNNNNNNNNNNNNNNNNNNNNNNNNNNNNNNNNNNNNNNNNNNNNNNNNNNNNNNNNNNNNNNNNNNNNNNNNNNNNNNNNNNNNNNNNNNNNNNNNNNNNNNNNNNNNNNNNNNNNNNNNNNNNNNNNNNNNNNNNNNNNNNNNNNNNNNNNNNNNNNNNNNNNNNNNNNNNNNNNNNNNNNNNNNNNNNNNNNNNNNNNNNNNNNNNNNNNNNNNNNNNNNNNNNNNNNNNNNNNNNNNNNNNNNNNNNNNNNNNNNNNNNNNNNNNNNNNNNNNNNNNNNNNNNNNNNNNNNNNNNNNNNNNNNNNNNNNNNNNNNNNNNNNNNNNNNNNNNNNNNNNNNNNNNNNNNNNNNNNNNNNNNNNNNNNNNNNNNNNNNNNNNNNNNNNNNNNNNNNNNNNNNNNNNNNNNNNNNNNNNNNNNNNNNNNNNNNNNNNNNNNNNNNNNNNNNNNNNNNNNNNNNNNNNNNNNNNNNNNNNNNNNNNNNNNNNNNNNNNNNNNNNNNNNNNNNNNNCACCAUGCAUUGUACAUGAAUGUAUUUAUAUAGUUAAAACAAUAAAAAAAAUUCAUUAAUAGUAUCUUAAUUAUUGUUGUUAACUAUGACAUAACAAUUUUUGUAUUCUAAAUCAAAAGACUGAGAUAAGGAGGUUUCUACUAAAAGUUAUUAAACAUUAAACUAUUACUAUUUAAAAUACUCUAAUGUCUUUGUAGAAAGAAAAAAAAAAAUUCAACCACAUAAUUCCUCACGAACUUUUUUUAAUAUGGAUUAUAACAAUUAAUCAACACUACAAAAAAUACUACAAUUUUUAAUAACAAAAAAAAACACUAAGAUAUAUUUUAACAUUUUUAUUGGAAUAACACAUCUAAAUACCACUAAAUCAUAGAAAAAAAAACUUUAAAACAAUUUCAAUAUUAUAUAGAAAUAAAUAUAUGAAUCUCUUGCGUAAUAAAAAUUGAUGCGCCUAAAGGGAUUUCUUCGAAUCUUCAUAUUUGAAUUAUAAACACUUUUAAAUACACGGAUGUUUCUGCGACAAAGUCUUACUUAUAUACUACUAAAUAACUACAAUAUAUUUUAAUGAGGGGAAUAUGAAAGGUCAUUACUAAAUACCAUUAAUUUAAGAAAUAUGAAAUGUAUUUAGGUUUCAAAGAUACUUAUAACAUAUGUAUAUAUCAACAAAUAGAAAAAAUAAUUAGUAAAUUCUAUUGAUAUAAGGAACAUAAAAGGUCAUUUAGUUUCAAAUGAAUGUGGUUUGAGAAUACAUAUUAUCUUGCACCACAUCAUUUUGGAUGACCUCUUUUAUAGUAUAGAACUAGGCGAAUAGACGCANUAUAUAUAUAUAUUAAUAUAUCAAUGAAGUUAUUGUUAGAUUUUAUAUAAUAAUUAUUAUAAUAAGUUGAUAUAAACAAUUUUUUGUUUUGAAUUAUAUCAUGAUAUAGACAUCUUUUAAAAUUCUAUAAUAUCAAUUGUUUCAAUGGUUUCUAUUUCAGGUUACCCAUGAAUAAAACUAAAUAUAAUAUAUGGUUUAAUGAUAUUUAUAGUUAUUAUGAUUAAUUAAUUUAAAAUUUUUAUUUGAUUAAGAUUUUCUAAUUUAUACCAUUGUAGUUAACUAAUUAUUUAAAACAUCAAACAUUGUUUUUAUUUUUAAAGUUAACAAUGUAAUUUUUGUAUAUAAUGUUACUUUUAACUAUUCUUGUUGUAAGUUAUUUAAAAUAACGUAUUUGGAAACUCUUAAUUAUUUUAAUUUCGUUUCAAAAUUUUAAUUUUUAAAAAAUUUAUUUCAUGAAUAGUAUUCAUUUGUUUUAUUGUAACUAUUUGAAACAAUUACCAUUGUUUUUGUUUUUAAAGAUAACAAUAUAAUUUCUUAUAUAAUACUAAUUUUAACUAUUUUUAUUAUAAGUUACUUUUAAGCUAUUUAUUUGAAAUUUUUUAAUGAUUAUAAAAAAUAGUUUCAUUUUUUUUAUUAAUUUAGGAUUACAAUUUAAAUAUUUAACAUUAUAACUUAUAGCUUUUAACUAUUUAUAAAAUAGUCUUUCGAUUUUUUUCAAGUUUAACUGAAAUUUAGAUUUAAGUUAACCAUUUAACAAUAUAUUGAAAUUAAUAAUUAGCUAUUUUGCAUAAAAUCAUAAAUUAUACAAAAUGUGUGCCUUUAAAAUAACAGUUGCUUACAUACGACAACAUAUCUAAACUAAUAAGUUAAAUAUAAUAUGUUAAGAAGUUAAAGUCAUAAUUUUAUAAAUAAAAGUAAAAAAUAUGAUAUUGUAAUAUUGUAAUUUAGUUAGUUUAUGAUAAGAACUUAGUUUUUACAUUAAUUUAACAUUAUUAACCAAUUUAUAAUAAUUCUUAGAAAGAAAUUGAAAAGUCGUGGAGGUUUCAAAUGCAUGUGGUGCAAGUAAAAAUGAUUUUUUUAUAAGUAUACUAGGUGUAACCUCGCGCGUUGCGCAAUAAUGCAUUUAAGUGGUUAAAAUAAUUAUGGGAAAAAUAAAAAUAUGUUGAAAUUUACGUUUUUAGUCAUGUUUUGGGCAUUAACCGAAUGACCAAAUAACAUAAAAAUCCAUCAACUUAUAUUUUUAUACUAUCUAAUAUAGUCCAUACCUUAUAAACUUUACUUUUACUUUUAUAAUAUCCAAUAUAUAUUAUAAGUUUUUGUAUAACAUUAAUAUAAUCUACUUUUCUUAUGUCCGAGAAUAUUUUUUGGAUAAAAUAAGAAAUAAGUUGUUUUGAAUGAUCUAUUAAUAAACAAUAUUAAACUAAUAAACUUUGUAUUAAACUAUUUAUAUUACACCAAAACAUCCAAGGUUUCAUAUAUAAACUUUCAAAUAUUAAACAUUAAAAUUAAGAAUGAAGUCAUACAAAAUAUAUCAUUAUACAUAAAUGUCAUCAAGAGUUUUAAAAUAAGUCGAUUAGUAAAUAUGAUAUUUAAUUUUAAUUACAUAUUUUGUAAGGCGUACGUUUGAUUUUAUGUUGGUGCGCUGAAAAUCUUCUUCCUUAAUUUGUACCUAAAAAAUUAAGGUGAAUAGGAAUAUAAAAUAGAUAUUACUAAGCAUUAGUAUAACUAAUUAAAAAGGAUAUGUGGAUCUCCUACCACUAGUUAAAGACAACAUACAUCUCUAGUGGUAUCGAUUAUUAUAUGAAAUUGAAGAAGUCAUUCUAUGUACAUCUUGUUUUCUAAUUACAUAAACAAAUAUGAGUAACCAAACAUAAAAAUAUUAUCUUUGUGUAGGAAAAAUAUUUUAGUUAACUAACAAAUUAAAUAAUAUAAGUUUAAGAGUUAGGAGUUUCAAAACAUUAAUAUUUUUUUUAAUCAAUCAAUUAAGUAACACAUGUUGAAAUUUUUACAAUCAUUAUUAAAAAGCAUUUGAAAUAUUAGAUUUUAAAUGAAUUUUGGUUGAAGUGUUUUGACUNUAUAUAUAUAUAUAUAUAUAUAUACAGAGAGAGAGAGAGAGAGAUUGGAGAGAGAGAGAGAGAGAGAUGGAAAGUAUAACAUACGUAUAAAUUUUAGUUAAUUAUUUUUUUGAAGCGGUACAAUUACAAAACAAAAAAAACAUAUUUAAAAUAUUUCGACAUCACCCAAUAUAACAUAUGAUCAAUAUAUUAACGAUUAAACCACAAUAUACAAUGAUUGUAUUACAAUAAUCCAAAAAUGAAGAAAAUAUAAAAACGAAGUAGUAUAACAAACUUACAAAUUAAAAGCUCUAAUAUAAUAGCAUAUCUCCAAAAGUGGUCAUAAGACCUCAACCCAACACAAAAACAUUUAAGUUUGUUUUCUUUCUGAAAUUUGUAUAUGAUUUGUGUGCAUGUCUUCCCAAAAGAUUGACAUUUUUAUUGUAAAUUUUUCACUAAAUGCUAAUUAAACAUAAUAUAAGUUAUAAAACUUUUAAGUGUUAAAUCAUAAUUAAGAAAACUUUUGAGUUGCAUUAGUUAAAAAAUGGGGUUUCAAAUGAAUGUGGUUUGAGGAAGUUAAAAAAAGAGGUUUCAAAUGCAUGAGAUUCAAGAAAAAAUGCUAACUUAAAAAACAUAUUUAAAAUAUUUAAUUAAAUAUUUUCGACAUCACCCUAUAUAACAUAUGAUCAAUAUAUUAACGAUUAAACCACAAUAUACAACGACUGUAUUAUAAUAAUAAAAAAACGAAGAAAAUAUAAAAACGAAUUAGUAUAACAAACUUACAAAUUAAAAGUUCUAAUAUAAUAACGUAUCUCCAAAGUGGUCAUAAGACCUCAACCCAACACAAAACCUUUAAGUUUGUAUUCUUUCUGAAAUUUGUAUAUAAUUUGUAUGCAUGUCUUCCCAAGAGAUUGACCUUUUUAUAUGAAACUUUUCACUAAAUGUUAAUUAAACAUAAUAUAAGUUAUAAAACUUUUGAAUGUUCAAUCAUAAUUAAGAAAACUUUUGAGUCGCAUUAGUUAGAAAAGGGGGUUUAAAAUGAAUGUGGUUUGAGGAAGUUAAAAAAUGAGGUUUCAAAUGCAUGAGAUUCAAGAAAAAAUACUAGAUUUAUAAGUAUGUAUGAUAUAGAUAUAUAGAUAUAGAUAUAGAUAUAGAUAGACUAAGCGAACACAUGCGCAACUAUAUUGUUAAAAUAUGUUAGAAUUUACAAUCCACCUAUGUUUUCUUUGUCAUUUUUCAUAACGUUAUCAAAGACUUUUAUAAACACAUCUUUGUUAAUGAAACUGACUAACCUAUAGUUUAAUUAGUUUUUUAUGAUGUGAUAUCUUGUGUAAUGUGUCCGAUCAUAAAUGACGACGUUAAUAUUAUAGUGACGUUCAUAAAAUCGGUAUAUUUUAUCAAGAUGUCCCUGAAAGUUAGUUUAUAAUGAAUUAAAGAAGAUAACAUUAUAAGAAAAAAAUAUUGAAUAUGUCGUUUGCUUAUGUUAGAUUGCAAUAGAAGGUUGAUAAAAAUUAAAUGGUCUUAGUAGUAUAUUCUAAUAUACCAAACUUUGUAUAUUAAAACCUAUGAUAUAAUAAUGAGUUAAGUUAUUAAAUUAUUAAAGGAUAAUUAUAAACUAAAUAAUAAAAAGUAAAAUAAAAUAAACAAAGAUUAUCAAAAUAGGUGUUUCUGAUGGGUUUUGAGCAUAACAACAUUCAUAUGUCUUCAUACAACCCUAAUUACUUUGGAUUUAAGUUUUUCUCUAGUUAUACAUGCAAAUAGAAGUUCCAAAGCAAUAACCCUAAUACUAGCAUACAAUUGUUUGAAAUCAAUAUGAAAACUAGAGUUAGAAUGUUACCUUGCUUUAUAUCUCGUAAUAACAAGUAUUCCACGGAUGAUCCUGACUCUUAAAAUCUUUAGUGUCUCACGUGUUGCACCACUAACGGAAUCACAAACACCAAAAGCAAAGGAUGAGUGAGAGAAGGGCGGAAAAUUAGCUAGGGUUUCUGCUUAGGAAGAAGUCGCCGAUUUUAGGAGGUCUAGGGGCCUUUAUAUAGCUGUGGAUGCUAGGGUUUUUAAGGAAAAGCCUAAUUCCUUGCUUAGGCUCCAAGCAGCCCAUGGACAUCCCUUCUGGAAGGCCUUGGACGAUUUCUAUAGGGCCUCCCUAUAGAAAUUCGUCCACCCCAUUCCAAGGGACUCCAGUAGCCCGAUGUGCAACUAUCAAUGAUUUGCAAAACCAGUCCCCUUACUUUUAACCAGUUCCUUUAAUCCCAAAAUUAAUACCAAAUUAAUUUCUGAUUAAAUAAUAAUUAAAUAAUAUGAUUUCUAACUAAUAUAGUAUUCUUAUAAUAUAUUAAUAAAUCAUUAAAUAACCUCUCUCUCUCUCUCUCUAAAAGUCAUCAUGUCAAGUUGCUAUGGUGAAGGCAACCCAAAAGAACUACGCUCCUAUCAGAUCAAGUACAUACUAAUUAUAGUUAUGGGCUUAGACACCUAAUCCAACAGUCUCCCAUUUGGAUAAUUCUAAUAAUUAUAAUUUCAAGUAUGAAUUCAAAAUCUGAUUAGCAAUGGUAGCUUUCAAAAGCCGAUGUCGAACUCUGACGUAGUCAAUGACAUGUCCUUUAGAUAAAGGAUCAUAUAAUCCUCCGUUCUACAAGAUAUCAUGUGGACAAAGACAUGGAACAUAAUCAUUCUCAAUGUCUAAUAGUUUGUUUCUCGAUUUUUGAUUUGUUUGACAACGAACUUAAUUGAACACAUCAAUUCAGUACUGACCGGGGCCGACACAUAAGUCAACACAAAAUCAUCGAUGGACCCAACAUAUCGAUUUUCCCGUUAGGGAAAAAGGAACAAAUAAAUUUACUCAUCAAAUCAUACACAACAACACGUUUUAUAACAUCAUGUUACUGACGCGUUUACGCAUUAUCAAUGCACAACCAACUCAUAAACAACAACUCAUAUAUCUUGGUUUAAAGAUUAUACAAUAUUAUCCUCUCACAAUUACUUGUGAUAAAUUUCAUGAAGUAAUUCAAAUGAGUGUGGGUUUAAUCCAAUACUUAAAUCCUAUUUCAGGAGUACUCAUGAACGUUGCAGCAAACCUUUGCUAUGUCUAAGCACUUAGACAAUCUACAAGCCAAUUCAUGACAGUCUUGCCUCAUUUCUUACUUCCAAAUUAUGAACGACUGUGGAUAAUUUGAAUAAUUCAUUUAUUCUGGAAGUAAAAGAUGUAAAAGUGAAACAAUAGUAAACAAUUGACACAAGAUAGUAUACCUUACUCAUAAAUAAAUCUCAAUUACUUAAUCAUCAAAUGUCAAUUACAUUUAUCUAUUACAAGUUUCUAAACAACUAUCAAAUCACUAAAACUAAUAUCGUCCUUCAGACCAAUGCUCCUCGCAUACUGAACGUGCUUAAUCCAACUCAGACCCUUUGUGAGGGGAUCUGCAGGAUUCUCUUCUGGCGAUACCCUCUUGACCAUGAGGAGUCCCUCUUCUACCUGACGUCUGAUGAAGUGGUAUUUUAUGUCGAUAUGUCUAGAUCUGCCAAGAUCCCUUGGUUCCUUGGUUAAGGCAACCGCUCCUUCAUUAUUGCAAAAAAUUUCCAUGGGCUCCUUUAUGGCCAGUAUAACUCCAAGGUCUCCAAUGAAGUUCUCCAACCAUAUAGCCUCCUUCGACGCUUCACUCACAGCUAUGUACUCUGAUUCGCACUUUGAAUCAGCCACGGUCUCCUACUUGGAACUUUUCCAAGUCACUGCUCUUCCAUUUAGGGUAAACACCCAAACCGAAUGAGAGCGGAAGUUAUCUAUGUCGGUCUGAAACCUGGCAUCACUAUAUCCUGUCACUCUCAAGUCAUCAUUGCCACCAAGUACAAGGACCCAGUCCUUAGUCCUUCGCAGAUACUUAUGAAUCUUCUUAACUGUUGUCUAGUGAGCUCUACCCGGGUUCCCUUGAUAUCAACUUACCAUGCUCAACGCAAAAGCCACAUCAGGGCGAGUACAUGUCAUAGUGUACAUGAUUGAGCCAACGGAGGAAGCAUAUGGUACUCGACUCAUUUCCGAUAUCUCUGCAUUGGUACUCGGACUCUGAGUCUUACUUAGUUUGGUAUUGCUCUGGAUAGGUAACUCCCCUUUCUUGGAAUUUUCCAUGCUAAAAUGUUUCGGCACCUUUUCCAAGCAAGUACUCUGACUAAGUCCAAUUAGUCUUUUAAUCCUAUUUCUCAAAAUCCUUAUCCCCGGAAUAUAAUCAGCUUCCCUUAGAUCCUUCACAUCGAAACACAUCCAAAGCCAGGACUUAACCUCCUGCUAGGUUGGAACGUCGUUUCCUAUGAGCAGUAUGUCAUCAGCAUACAAUACUAGAAAGCGAACUAUACUCCCACAAGCUUUGACAUACAUACAUGACCCAUCCUUACUUCUAGAGAAACCAAACUCUUUGAAUUUCUCAUCGAAGCAAAGAUUCCAUCUACGAGACACUUGCUUCAAUCCAUAUAUGGAUUUCUCAAUGGUGCACACUCUAUUAGGGUAUUUAGCAUCCACAAAACCCUUUGGAUGACACAUGUAAACAUCUUCUGCCAACUUUCCAUUAAGGAAAUCGUUUUGACAUCCAUCUGACAGAUUUCAUAAUCAUGAAAUGCAACGAUGGCUAACAUAACCCUAAUAGACUUGAUCUUGCCCACUGGUGAGAAGGACUCAUCAUAGUCAACCCCCAGGGUUUGAGUAAAGCCCUUCGCAACCAGUCGUGCCUUGAACGUAUGCACCUUUCCAUCCAUGUCGAUCUUCUUCUUGAAGAUCCAUUUACACCCAACUGUCUUUCGACCUAGUACAUUGUCAACCAAGUUCCAAACUUGAUUGUCAUACAUGGACUGGAUCUCAUUGUCCAUUGCCUCUUUCCACUUGGAAGACUCUGGGCCCACCAUGGCUUCUUUGUAGCUAGAAGGCUCAUCCAAAUUUACCAGUGUACUAUCACUGAUAAACGUAUCACCGUUCGUAGUAAUAUGAAAACCAUAAAACUCUGGUGCCAUUCUAACUCAAGUGUAAUGUCUAAGAGGUAAUGACUCGUCAAUGGGGUCAACAGGAACCUCUUCCUCACGUUGAGCACUAGUGUUAGAGGUUCCUUCACCGCUUGAUUCUUGAUUCUUUUCAAGAUCAAUUGUCCUCACACUGUCCUCUUGGCAUAUGAGUUCCCUCUCAUGGAAAACUCCUCUCCUUGCUACAAAGACCACAUUAUCACUAGGUCUGUAGAAAAGAUAUCCAAAGGCGUUAUGUGGGUAGCCGAUGAAAAUGCACUGCUCACUUCGAUGUUCAAGCUUGUCGUGAGUCUCUCUUCUUACGAAAGCGUUGCAACCCCAAACCUUGAUAUGUGCCAACGAGGGAACCUUCCCUAUCCACAUCUCGUGAGGUGUUUUGGCAACCUUCUUUGUUGGGACUAGAUUAAGAAUAUGGGCGGCAAUCUCUAAGGCAUACCCACAUAAUGAGAUUGGUAGCGAAUAUCGACUCAUCAUGGAACGAACCAUGUCCAACAAGGUUCGAUUGUGCCUGCCAGCCACACCAUUAAGUUGCGGCAUCUUAGGAGGUGUCAAUUGUGAAACAAUUCCACAUUCCUUAAGAUAGUCGUGGAACUCGAUACUAAGAUACUCACCACCUCUAUCAGAUAUGAGCAUAUUUAUCUUCCUGCCUAAUUGAUUCUCCACUUCUAGCUUAUACUCUUUGAACUUUUCAAAAGUUUCUGACUUACACUUGAUUAAGUAGAUAUAUCCAUAUCCAUUAUAAUCAUCAGUAAAAGUCAUAUAGAAAUGGUUUACAUCCCUUGUGGUGGAUCUGAAGGGCCCACUCACAUAUGUGUGUAUGAGAUCCCACAAUCCCUCACCUCUUUCACAAGUACCAGUGAAAGGUGAUUUAGUCAUCUUUCCAAGUAAACAAGAUUCGUAUGUGUCAUCUGACUUUAGGUCAAUAGACUCCAACACUCCAUCCUUUUGUAGUUGGGCUAUGCGCUUCUUGUUGACAUGUCAAAGACGAAAAUGCUACAAUCAUGCCUUUUCUAUACCAUUAGACGAAUCAAUAUGCAACACAUUAUUUCCUAAGUUGUCUACAACCAUCACCGUUUCAUAUACACCAUUACAAGGAAAUUCUUCAAAAUAAAAAAGCACCAUUAUAAUAAACAUUUAUAAAACCACUUUUAGUAUUGAAUGAAUAUCUAAACCAUUGUCUGUACAAACCGUGAAAAGUAAUAAUAUUCCUUGUCAUUUCUGACGAGUAGCAACAAUCAUUCAAAUCUAACCCUAACCCACUACUAAGCACUAAAGAGUAAACUCUGAUCUUGGUAACAGGAGACGACUUCCUAUUGCCCAUUAACAAGUUCAUCUUCCCAUGCUCCACAUCUCUACUUCUUCUUAGCCCCUGCAAAUCAGAACAAAUGUGAAAACCACAUCUUGUAUCAAGGACCCAAAAACUAGCAUGUGAUGAGUUAUUAGAUAGAAUAGCGUAAAUACCUAUGAAGGUGGGCUUUAUCUUCUCAUCUUUGAUGUUCUACAAGUAUUUCGUGCAACUUCUAUUCCAAUGCCCCUUAACAUGGAAGUAGAAGCACAUUGCUUCUUUAAGAUCGAAGUAGGGAGGGGCAUAUGCGGUUUUAGCUUUAGAUCCACUAGAAGAAGAUCCAUCAUGAGACUUUCCCUUCCAGUUCUUCGAGGGAGCUUUCCUCUUUUUCCCUUUUCCAUGUCCAAUAGCCAGGACUGAAGCAGCAGUAGGAGUAGGAGUGGAUUCGACAUUUUUCCAUUUAUCCACUUUCAGCAGUUCUUAGCAGGCCUUGAAGCUUGCUCAAUGUGACUUCCUCAUUUCUCAUAUGAUAAGUCAUUUUGAACUGAUCAUAGAAACGAGGCAAAGAGUGUAAGACUAUAUCUAUAGCUUGCUCUUCGUCAAUGUUGACAUUCAACUUGAGCAAACGAUCCACAUACCUCUGCAUUCUUUGCAGGUGGGUCGUGAUGGACUCUCCAUCCCUCAUCUUGGUGGCGAUGAACGAGGUGACUAUCUCAUACCUCUCUUGACAUGCUCUUUGAUGGUACUUUUCCAUCAUGUCCUUGAACAUCUCGUAAGGCCAAUAGUGUUCUUAGAACCUUUGCAGUUCAGGAGCCAUGGUGGCUACCAUAACACAUGACACCUUAGUAGUAUCCUUGUAGUGAGCCCCAUACUCAGCAAUUUCUUUGGGAGUAGCUUUGGACUCAUCAAUCUCGUUCAAUGGUUUGUCAAGGACAUAUUCUUUGUCCUCAUAGAAGGCCAUUCGAAUGUUCUGGAUCCAAUCAUUGAAAUUGGAACCAUCAAACGUGAUCCUUGCACAAAAGUUCAAGAGCGAGAAGGAGUUGUUGGAGGGACCGAAAGUGUUGUUUGAGGUAGACAUCUGCAAAAGAAGAAGGACAAAGUUAUGAUCAGUAAUCCUUAAUAUAACACCCAAAAUGAAAUAUUAAGGCUAGGACCCAACACAAUAAUUCACAAUUCGGAAAAGGGAUGUCAUAAUCCAAUUGUAAAUUAUUUGAAUGUAGGUAAAUGAUGAUUUAUCAAUUUCACCACAAAAAACGAAAUUAAAAGAAUUAGGUUUUAAAUGAAAUGAAACUCCUACAUUCUUUUAGAUUCAUUGAACUAUUCAAUGCCAUGUUUAAUCUCAACUACGCUCUUCAAGUUUGUGACUAGGAUACCAUGGAUCACACACGCUCCUCUAACAACUUGACAAAGUGCAAUGUGCAAUUUCAUCGAUUAGCAUCAAAUUCACAUUUUCCUAAAGUAACUAAGAUUGAGAAUUUAUAAAACCAUUUAGUUACUUUAUAUUUAUCAUUAUACUUAUUAAUGAGAGAAUUAAUGUCCUAUCCUACCCGUUCGGUUAACGAACCUCCACCAAUCAAGGAAGCGAUGGGUGAGAGUGGUCACCCAUUUAACCGCUAUUUUAUAGGCAAUUUCCUUAUACCCCCUUAUAGAUUAGCUUUGUGAAUGAGGCCUACUAACGUUAAGACUGACUUAUCUUUUAUAUAUAUAUAUAUAUAUAUAUAUAUAUAUAUAUACACACACACACACACAUACACACACAUACACACACACACACACACACANNNNNNNNAUCUUAUACAUAUAUAUAUAUAUUAAUCCUUUAAUAUUAUAAUAGUAUAAGGGUUGUAUUUUAAACUUUUAAAAUUCUAGGGUUUUAAAAUUUAAUAUUUCAAAAAUAAACUUUUUAAUUAAUUUUAAAUUCCAAAACUUGAAGGGUGCAAUUUGAAACUUUUCAAAAUUACUAGAUCAAAUUUUAAAUAAUUAAUUAAUCACAUAAUUUGUCACUAUCUUAAAAUUUGACCAAAUCCAUCUAUUUUGAUAAGAAAAUCAGAUUAUCAUUCAGCAAAUUCAAUUUAUGGUGAUAAAAACGAAUUAUGGUAAUUAUCCUAACCCAAAAUAGAUCAAAAGUUCGAUAAACCAGCUAACAGACGAAUCAACUCGUCGAGUUAAGGAAUGGACUCGUCGAGUUCAUCAUUGAACUCAUCGAGUUUGUCAAGCAGAAAACGAUUUAUGCUUUGCAUUCAAUUUGGACAGUUCAUUAUUGCAUCAAAUAUAAUAGAAAAACAUCUUAGGCUCUGAUACCACUGAUGGGUUUUGAGCAUAACAUUUAUAUGUGUUCAUGCAACCGUAAUUGCUUUGGAUCUAAGUUUUUCUCUAGUUAUACAUGCAAAUAGAAGUUCCAAAGUAAUAACCCUAAUACUAGCAUACAAUUGUUCGAAAUCAAUAAGAAAACUAGGGUUAGAAUGUUACCUUGCUUGCUAUUUCGUAAUAACAAGUAUUCCACAGAUGAUCUUGACUCCUGAAAGCUUUAGUGCCUCACGUGUUGCACCUCUAAUGGAAUCACAAACACCAAAAUCAAAGUAUGAGUGAGAGAGGGGCAGAAAAUCGGCUAGGGUUUCUCCUUGGGAAGCAGUUGCCGAUUUUAGGAGGUCUAGGGACCUUUAUAUAACUGUGGUUACUAGGGUUUUCAGGGAAAACCCUAGUUCCUUGCUUAGGCUCCAAGCAGCCAAUGGACAUCCCUUCUGGAAGGCCUUGGACGAUUGCUAUAGGGUCUCCCUAUAGAAAUUCGUCCACCCCAUUCCAAGGGAGUCCACCAGCCUAGUUUGCAACUAUCAAUGAUUUGCAAAACCAGUCCCCUUACUUUUAAUCAGUUCAUUUAUCCCAAAAUUAAUACCAAAUUAAUUUCUAAUUAAAUACUAAUUAAAUAAUAUAAUUUCUAAUUAAUAUAUUAUUCUUAUAAUAUAUUAAUAAAUCAUUAAAUAACCUCUCUCUCUCUCUCUAAAAGUCAUCUUGUCAGGUUGCUAUGGUGAAGGCAACCCAAAAGGACUAUGCUACUAUCAGAUCAAGUACAUACAAAUUAUAGUUAUGGGCUUAGACACUUAAUCCUACAGUUUCAUGUUGGUUAAACCUAAUUUGAGAAGUAAAAAAGAAAAUUCAAAUUAUGAAAAUUUUGAACAUAAUUGAAAGAUUUUUAAAAUUUCUUAUUUAUACCAUUCGAUACAUUUGAUUUAAUUAACAAUCCCAAAUACAUAAAUACUCCUUAAAUCAAUCAAGUACACUCUUCUUAUUUUUAAAUCUUAGUUCCUUAAUGCAAUCGAUGCCUAAGCGCGCACUCCUUAUUUUGAACUCUGAUUUUGUUUCGAUGAGCAAGACGACGGAAGAACAAUGUCAACAAAAACCAUCAACAAACAUUUUUUGUUUAUCUACAGAUGCCAUGAAAAAGACAUUAAAUGACAAUUCUUGUUCAUAUCUAAAUACCAAAAAUGGUUGGCUCAAUACUUAUAACAAUUAGUUAAAUAAUAUUGAAACUGUGUUUCGUUAAUUAAAAGAAUAAUAUGAUCAUCUAAUGUGUAUAUAAAAUAUUCUACCAAAAACAUGCUAACCUUUUAUUAAAUAAUUAAUUAUAUGCGUCCAAUAUUCUAUGUGUAUUGUUUAUAUAAAACUAUUUGUAUAAGGGUCAUAUAAAUUAUGAUUACUUAAGUGAGUAUUGGUAAGAGUAAUUGAAAUAUAUAUAUAUAUAUAUAUAAUAUACAAGAAUCAGUUUACAGAAAACAUACUUNAAAUAAGCCAUGACAUUAUGAACAAAAACAUACAUUAUGUUGAUCUGACAUCAAUGUCUGACCAAACCCACCUUCAAGAUGCAUAUCUUCUUGAAAGUUUUCUAAGAACCAUUUCUAGUUGUCUUUAUUUUCAACACAAACUACAACCCAAUCUAUUGGGUAUAUAUGAUUGUUACCAUCCCUACCAACAACACAUAAUAAUUGAAUAGUACACAUUCCUUUUAGAAAAUACCCAUCUAAGUUUAUUAUCCCUCUACAACCACUUUUCUAACCCUCCUUUAGUGCAUGAAAACACACACACACACAUAUAUAUAUAUAUAUAUAUAUAUAUAUAUACUGAUAUUGAUGUGAUAAAAAAAAUUAUUAAUUGAUUUGAAGUUUAUUUUAAUAUUCAAACUUUUCGAAUUCCAAUUAAAGUUAGAAAUAAACCAUUAUAACUAAAAAGUCUUUUUCAUUCAUUACACUUAAUUGAUACUUUUGAGACUUAAUUAAAUAAGAUUAAAAUAUUUAAAUAGUAUUUUGUAAAUUAAAUGACUAAAAUAAUCAUAUCAUGUCUAGACCAAAUAUUAUAAGAAAAACCUUCAAACUAAUUAUUAGAAACUAAAUUAUAUGCAUCUAUUGUUUUGUGUUAAUGACAUUAUAUAUGUGCAUUAAAUUACAACAACACAAUUAUUGAAAAACAAAGAAAUAAUGUUUUUCUUUCCAGAGAAUGAAAUUCAAAUGAUGAUAACCAAUUUUCAUAUAAGUGUCUAAAUCUGAUUCAGUUAAUGUGCCCCAAAAUAAUAAUUGUUCUUUGUAUUGUAUUUAGUUAUAAUAUCUAUUAGGGGAAAAAGAGUUAAAUCAAGUCUCAAUAAGUGAUAUUACCCUCAACAUGAAUUUACACACAAUGCAUCGUAACCAUUUACACACAAAUGAAUAAAUACAUAGAAGAAAUUAAAUGCAAAAGGAUUACCUUUACGAGAUUAUACCUUUUUGGUUGUUGGUCACAACAUGUUCACUAAAUCCAUUCACAACUUAAUUAACGGAUAACCUUACAAAUCCACAAUUUUAAAAAUAUCUUCGAUAUACACAAACUUUUCAAACUACAAUUCUUAAAAAGAUAUGAAUGAUUUAUGAGUAUUUUCAUAAGCACGUUUUGGGAUGGGAAGAAGUGUAAUAUUUUUUAAGUUGAUUGAAGAUUCAUGUCUUUGGAUAGAUGAGAAAAAUCAAAAAAUUUGUUGAUAUCAUUUUUUUCUCUCAAAAACACACUUCGAACACAUUAAUAUUCAUAGUUUCUUCUUGUACUUAGUUCAUCAAUGUGAAUGGAACUUAUAAAAACAUAAUUCUUGUUUAAACACACUUCAAAAAGAUAAAAAAUUCUCAAUACUUUUUUUAUAUUUAAUGUUAUGUUCUUGAGUUUAAAUUUUAAAGAGUUNNNNNNNNNNNNNNNNNNNNGGGGGAAGAAAGGGAAGAAGAUAGAUGGAGAAAGAGGAGGGGAUGGAUGCGUUCUCGAUUUCAAGGGGAAGGAAAGAAAGUUUACUGUCAAAUGACGCUUUUAUCACCGUUUAGGGUUCACCAGCUUUAAUGCUUUUUCGAGGAAGAAGGGGAAAGGAUGAGGGUAAAAUCAAUCAUUUUUUCUUUUCCUUCUUAAUCCGCCCAAAUUUGAGUGGAAAGAGAGCUUACCUUAUUUCUUAUUCCCUCCCCCUCACAAUCCUUUCCUCCAUUUCCUUUCUCUCCUUAAAAAAAAUCAAGAACACCUUUCUCCCUCUCAAUCAUCUCCUUUCCUUCCUUUCUCUCCUAAAAAAACUCAAGAACAUAGUGUAAAUGUACAACAUUCAACUACAAAUUUAUUUUUGUUUUUAUCUUAUUUUUUCUUUCAUAAACACACAUUUUGAACACAUAAUACAUCAAAAUCCACAACAUUUUUUGGCUCUAAAUGUACAACUUUGACAUGAUUCUUCAUCGUCUCUAAAGUCUAAACACAUAACACAUCAAAAUUGACAACAUUUUUGGUUUGACUUUAAAUAUAAAACCUUGACACAAUUCUUCAUCAUCUCUAAAUAUCAAAAAUUGUUCCAUUGGCAGGUAGACAAUAAACUUUGCAUGGAAUUUAAACAGAAUAGAAGAAAAAAUAUAUUGAAAGAAGAAACCAAACCUAUUUGAAACUUCUCCAUGCUCAUGUACUCUAGAUAACCAAAAUAUAUAAGGAAAAAAGUUGUGGAAAAAAGAAAACAACUCUAUUUGAAACUUCUUCAUGCUCACGCACUAUAGAUAACGAAAAUGAAAUGAAAAGAUAAAGCAAAAUGAAAAGAGGAGAAAAUGACAUAUUUUGAACCAUAAUCAUUUGAAUGACCUCCUUUAUAAGAUAUAUAAUAUAUAUAUAUAUNNNNNNNNNNNNNNNNNNNNNNNNNNNNNNNNNNNNNNNNNNNNNNNNNNNNNNNNNNNNNNNNNNNNNNNNNNNNNNNNNNNNNNNNNNNNNNNNNNNNNNNNNNNNNNNNNNNNNNNNNNNNNNNNNNNNNNNNNNNNNNNNNNNNNNNNNNNNNNNNNNNNNNNNNNNNNNNNNNNNNNNNNNNNNNNNNNNNNNNNNNNNNNNNNNNNNNNNNNNNNNNNNNNNNNNNNNNNNNNNNNNNNNNNNNNNNNNNNNNNNNNNNNNNNNNNNNNNNNNNNNNNNNNNNNNNNNNGUCCGACUCCGCUGCAGAUUCAAAAAAUGAUGAGGACUGCGAGGUCAAUUUUCCACCAUCCAUUUGACACAAAUGUCAAACCCAAUACUUGGACAUGGUGCAUUCACAUGCAACCCACAUCCAUGAUAAUUAAUACGGACUCGAUGAUUUAAUCACGUACGACGAAAGUCCAUGAAACGUUAUUUAAGUGGGUUUUUACUAUUUAUUUUUGUUUUUUAUUUAAAAAAAAUCAAAAAACAAAAGUUAAACAUAUAUAUACUCAUUUUUCAGGUUUUUAUUUUUUUAUUUUUUCGGUUUUUUAUAAAUUUCAUUUGUUAUAUAUAUAUANNNNNNNNNNNNNNNNNNNNNNUUUCUUUUCUUUUAUUUUCUUUUUCUUUUUUUAAUGUCUCUACUACAUACUUGAAGAUACUAGUGUUUUUGUUUAUUUUUGUUUUUGUUUUUUGAUUUUUGAUUUUUUUUUAUUUUUUAAACUAAAUAUCGGUUCAAGUUUUUAAUGUUUAACAAUUAUAACAUUUUAAAUAUGAAAAAUCUAAAGGAUCAUAAUAUUUUCUGUUAAUAAUAUUUUUAAAUCAUAUUAUUUUUGGAUCAUAAAAUUUUGAAUAAAAUUAUUUUGAAUUAUAGUAUUUUGAAUCAAAUCAUUUUUUAAUCAUAUGAUUUAGAUCAAUAAUCUAUUCAAUUAAACAAAGUUUUUGGGCAAAAAAAUUGUGGAUCACUAUAUAUUUUGAAUCAUUUAAUUUUGAAUCAUAAAAGAUAUAAUUAAAAAUUAUAAAAUAUUUGAAUCUAAAUAUUUUUAGAUCAUAACAAAUUAAGGAUCAUAAACAAGUUGAAUCUAAAGUUUUUUUUGAAUCAUAAAUAUUUUGAAUCAUCACAUUUUGAAUGUUAAAAAAAAUUAAAAUUAAAAUUUCUUAAAAUUACAAAUAAACACUUAAUAAAACUUAUUUUUGAAAAAUUAUUUUUACCAAGUCACUAGUAUAUUGAGUAGAAGUAUCCCUUAAAUAUAAUGUCUUGAGUUUCAAGGCAAUUUUUUCAUUUUUGUUUAUUCAAAAUAUAAGUCUUACACACGUUAUAUUACAUAUUUAAUUAUUAAAGAGAGUUUUAGCAGAAGUCUAAAAAUAUUUCAUUAAUGUCUUCCAUGCAGGUACCAUCAUGCGUGAACCUUUCCUCGAUCCAAAAAGCAACCUGAAAAGCAAUGAUUCAAUAAAUGUAAGCCGACGCUUAGUAAAUUCCCUCAAAAUAUCAUAUACCACAAUGCAUAUACAAUACAUACGCAUAAUGGCCUUCAACUUAUAGUUGGUCCGCACUUUGGCCUUCAGCGUAAUGUUGGUUCACUCGAGCAUACUGGCCUUUAACGUAAAACUCAUUCACCCUCAACUUCCACACACACACGCACACACACACACACACACACACACACAUAUAUAUAUAUAUAUAUAUAUAACCACUCAUCUAAUAGGCAAACAAUUCAACAUGAUAGACAACUAAGUUAGUCUAGUGGUCUGACUUCAUACUAUAGGGUAACUAUAUCCUAACAUAAAAACGAUACAUAUUGGAGUAUACAAUAUAGUGAGGAGAACUCACAUGGACAGCUUCUCAUAGGUUUAACAGUUAACCAGACAAUUCAACUGCCAUGCAACACGCCAAUGGGGAUUUACCUAUAAUAUUAUGGUUUAUUAGUUCAUAUGAGAAUCUGGUAAUGAAAGGCUAGAUCUUUCACUAAUCCCAACGAAUACUAAUAGUUCUAUCAAAUAAGGAUCGGCAGGUUGGAUAGUUGGAAGGCAUGACUAUUUUAGCGUAUAAUUGUAACACCCCAAAAAUGUGAAGGUAAAAGUUUCAUUUUUAAAACAACCAAAACAUUAAUUUAUUAUUUACUAAAACAUUUAAAGGUUUUUCAACCAAAACAUUAAUUUAUUAUUUACUAAAACACUUAAAGGUUUUUCAUAUUAAAAUAUUUAUCAAAGUGCAAUCCCAAAAUCUCGAGUGGCGGAAAAUAUGGGUGUAUGCGCUGCGAUCAAGCGAUGCCCUUCCCUUUCGAACCAGAAGUACCUGAAACCGUAAACAACAACUUUAAGCACAAAUCUUAGUGAGUUUCCCCAAAUACCACACACCAUACAUAACAUACGUGUCAUACAUAUCAAACAUGCAAUAAGAGGUGUUAUGUGCCAACCAUAGUCUUGCCAUUAUGCCACGAGCCGUAUCAUGGUCUUUCCUUGAGAGGCCGGGGACCAAAAGCCUGGAUCUUACAGACAAGUGCAAAGAGCCACCUCUUAGUCUUCCAUGCAAGUAUCAACAAGACAACUAGCAUACAAUCUACCACUACUUAUCUACUUAACUGACAGAGUCCAAACUCUAGUCUUGCAUACAAAUUUCCAGGAGCCACCUCUUGGUCUUUUAUAUAAAUGCCAAGGGCCGCCCCUGGUCUUCCUAUAAUACAUAAACCAAUAGGGUCGACAGUGGCACCUUCGACCCAUAGAAUAGUACGGAGACUCACCUCAAACCAAGAUAACCGAACACUCGAACUGCUGCUACUGGAAACCUCGCACUGAUAUCAACAAAUAAUAUUCCAUCAACGAUUGAUUUCGAUUCAAUCGAGAAUUCUAGCCAAAUGACUAACCUUUCAGGGUAAAAGUCCAUUUUUAUCCUUUUUCUUACUUGCCAAAAUCCAAAGAUCAAUCCACUAGCAUCAUAAGCCCAAAUCCCUUAAAUAGCACCACCAGGCCCAAAAUAUCCCAUGGUCAAACUUUUGGUUAAAGUCAAAGUCAACACUCCAUGUUGACCAAACAUGCUGUGUUACCCCUUGGCCACGCCGUGUUCCAACAACAUCCAAGCAGUCGGGAAAACCCCAACCAACACGUCGUGUUGAUUUAAAAACAUGUCGUGUUUGCCGAAGUUCUAACAACUUAAUACAUUAAGUCGUUUUCUUCGAUUCCAAGAGCUCCAAAGCUCAUAUCUAGUCCAUAAUGUGGUCCAUAAGGAUAAAGUUUCCAACUUUAUUCAUUGGGACUAUCCAAAAGGUUUAAAACUCAAUCCAUGAAGUUUAUUAAUGUAAGUGCUUAACCAACAAGCACUUAACCCUUAAAGGCCGAAGUCCAUCCUUUCCAUAAGUGAUUUAAACACCAAAACCAUACCAAAGGUUGGUUCUUUAUAUACAUACAUGUCCAAUGCAUGUCUUUAAUCCAUAUUAGGUCAAAAUGGGGAUUUAUGAUCUAGUCUCUAUGCAUGACAUCAAAACUUGAUUAUAAUCUAGAUCCAAAACACUACAAGGUCACCUUGACCUGGAGAUUCAUAAAGUUGCAAACUUUAUGAGAUCUAACCAUUCCAUUAUUCAAGAACAAGAAGUUAAAGGGAAAAAAACUCAAGAUCUAACAACUUGGAAUGAUAAAAAUCAAGUCUUGGACACUUAUAAAGGUCCAGAAAAGUGCCAAGGUAGAGAAUGGGGACUUGCUUGCUUGAUCUUUUCUUCCUUCCUCCUCCUUCUCCCUUCUUGAGCUUCAAAAAGCACCAAACUAGCUCUAAAAUGGAGGAAGAUUAUUAAGGUUUCUUUCAACGCUUGAGGGGGCUGAGGAUGAACAAACCCUAGCCUCCUUAUUCCUUUAAAUAGGGUGUGAAGCCCAAAAGAUUAGGGUUUUCAUUCCAGCAGUCAACACGACGUGUUCCAAGAGGCAACACGUCGUGUUGACCUUUGUGAAAGUUGCACAUCUUCUUAUCUAGACACGCCGUGUUGGUUCCUCCAAUCCUCAAAAGGUGAUUGAUUCCCAAAAAUUGUUCCUCGAGAUUUCGGGUGUUACAAUAACCUUUAUGAAAUCCAACAACCAAGCCAACAUGACCAUUCUAGACAUCUCUCCCAUAAGUAGAUUAAUUAGUAUUAUAACUAGAAUUACUGAUAAAUNNNNNNNNNNAUAUAUAUAUAUAUAUAUAAACACAUUCAUAACAAUGAUUCUUAAUAUAAAUACAUGUUACACUUAAAACGUAGUAAGUGUAGCCUAACUUAAAAAGAGUUUCUAGAAAAAACCGGUUUUGUGAUGGCAACACUUUGAUACCAAGCACUUCUGUUAGCCGAGCCUAGAUACCCAGAGCUGUGUUAAAUCAAAAUUCUUCAAAACCCCGAGAAUACUUAGAAAAAUCAAAGCUAGAGAGAGACAGAGAGAGAGAGAGAUAGAGAUAUGAAAACUUUGAGUUAGAAACAAAUGAAACCUAACACCCUUAUUUAUAGUCAAAAGGUGCACUGCACGAUCGGUGUUCGUAGUUGGAUGGAGGCACGUGUCAGGUGUCAGGUGUAGAAUCUUCCACGUCCCAAGCUUCUAGAAUAACUGUGCGUCGCGCCUAUCUCCCACAUGCGUGCAUUUUUCCGUUUUGAAAAUUGCAUAACUUCUUCGUUCAGGCUACGUCUCGAUGUUCUUUAUAUCCAUGCGUAGCUAUUGCUAAGAUAUACUAUUUAGACUCCGUCGACAAAUUUUCACUUUAUUUUUAAGGCUAUAUUUUUAACAGGCUUAGACUCUUAAAGCCCAUAUUAAAAUCAUAACUCUCUCAUACGACAUCUAUUCUUGGUUGUCUUUAUUUUGACAGAAUUCUGUUAACGAUAUCUUCAAAUCUCGUUUAGAUUGUUUUUCCAAACAAUCAACCGAUCUUGAUUUCGGUUUCUAUGUCGCACACUACUGUGUUGAAACUUGGAAAAAUCAUUACUUCCUCAUACGCAGUCAUAUUUUGACGUUCUCUAUAUGUAUGUUCUCAUUUUUACGAAUACUACGACUUUCAUUUAAAUUUCAUAGGCUAAUAAGAAACCUAUAUGAAAUUCCUUUUUUACGAUACGUAGAGCUGUGUCGGUUAAUCACGAAACUUCGAAGGAGCAUAACAUUUUCUUACAAUGUCGGAUUUAAGCGUUCUAUAUAUCUACGAAAAUCUAUUGACAUUUUAUGCAUGUUUAUGAUGAUUAUUUUGGCUCAAAAGUAAUAUAUUUAUACUUCGUAUUUCAUAAUAAUUUAUUAAAAUUAUAAUCUACGAAAGUAGUAAAAAUGGGGUGUUACAACUCUCCCCCAUUUACAAGGAUUGUGUCCUCGAAAUCUAACUAAAUAAUUCUGGAUAGUUGCUCCUAAUAUCUUCUUCUGGUUUCGAAGUCCAUUUUGAUCCUUUUUGGUGUUGUCACUGCACUUUCACUAGACUGAUCUCCUUGUUGCAUAAGGUUUUUGUCUUCUUAUCUAGGAUCGCCACUAGUUUCUCCACGUAUUUCACAUGUUCAUCAAUGUGAAUAUCCUCCACAAGUACAAUUGUAGAUUCAUACGUAAUGCAUUUCCUUAAUUGGGAGACGUGGAAGGUGUUGUGGAUCUGACUAAGUUCUUCUGGUAGAUCCAAACAAUAGACAACCUUGCCUACCCGAUCAAUAACUCAAAAGGGUCCGAUAUGCCUUAUGGGUUUUCUAGGUUAUAAAAUAUUUCACAUGGUGGAAAAACACUUAAACCCUUAAGUUCACAUGAAACCUAGAUGGAUAUAUGUUUUCUCUAUUGAUAGUUAUAACCUAUGAACAUCACGAAAUCCUAGAGAGAGGCUAUGAAAAUCAAAAUUAACAUAAAGAUUAGGAUUACAUACCUUUUGAUUAUUAUAGCAAAUAAUCAAAUCAAAUCCUCUUGAAGUUCUUGGAAAGAAAACACCAAAAGGAUGAUGCCUCUAAUGGCUUACACCUAAAACUAGAAACCCUAGAAUGAGGAGGAGUGAGGAGAUAUGAGAUAAAUUUUGUUCCUAUGCUUAUUGGUAAUGCCAUGAACGAAAUAUACAAACCAAUGGGUCCUAUUUAUAUUUUAGAUAACUUGCAGGAAAAUCAUGAUUUAAAUUGAUUAAAUAGUAUAUUUAAUCCUAAUUCAAAUCCUUUCCUUUUAUGCAACCAGGAGGCUUCCAGAUUAAUUCUGAUUAAUAAUUAAUCAAUUUUAAUUGAUUUCACAUUAAUUUAUUAAUCAUAUAAAUUAACAAAUCAAUUAUUUAACAAUUGACCUCAUAUCAAGUUAUUAAUCACGUAAUAAAUCAACAAAUCCACUGUCUAUUUCCAAUUAAUAUAUUAAUCACAUAAUAUAUUAAAAAAAAUCAUUUUUCCAUAAUUUCCAAUUACUUUAUUAAUCAUAUAAUAAUCUAAUAAAUUAUAUUUCUCUAUUCUAAUAUCAAUUCUAGCUAUUUCUGUUCAUGAGGGCAACCAAAAAAGGACUUUGCUUCUAACUACAAGAAUAUACCAAUUUAAUUAGUGGCUUAGACACUUUAAUCCAUGAAUCUCCCACUGGGAUAAGCCUGUAGCUACAAUUGCAAGUAUAGACCUUGAACUAAAUAGGAAAGAGUGCUUUCCCUAGCCACUAACAAACUCUAAUUCAAAUCAAACGUUGGUCGUAAGAUAAAUGAUCAGCUAUUCCUUCGUUCUAUAAAAUAUUCUAUGAACAGAUUCAUAGAUUAAAUGUUCAAUCUCAUGUUCAUUUAUUUGUUUCCCGAUUUCCCGAUUUGUGAUCAAUUUACACUACAAAAUCGAACGUACAAAUUUAGUCCUGACCAGGCGCCUCGUUUUCAUAGAUCAACUCAAAUUAUUGAGGGGCUCACAGAUAUCGCUUUUCCUUAUUCAGGUAAAAGGAACAAAUUACAUUGGCUAUAUAGUCAUACAAUUUACAUAUCAAAUCAUGCAUGGAAUAACCCUUUAUAACAUCCAGUUACAAGAUGCGUUUGAGCAAACCAAUGUAUAACUGAUCUGUAAACUAUGAAGUAUAUAUCUCUGCUUUGAGAAUAGAUGAUAUUAUCAUCUUAGAAUUAUUUGUGAUUGAAUCCAUGAAGUAAUCUUUAAGCAUAGGUUUAUCCAAUAAUUAAAAUCUCAAUUUUUAAAGUAAUCAUGAAUAUUGUAGCAAUCCCAAUUGCAAUGUCUUAACCUAUCGAUUCAUGACAGUCUUAAUUCACUACUUAUUUCCAAAAGUAUGAACAACUGUGGAAUUUUGAAUAAUAUUAAAAUUAUUGAAGGAAGUAAAACAUGCAAAGCGAAACAAAAAAAAUAAAUCAAUUAACUAUGACAUCAUACCUAUUGAUCAUAAAUAAAUCCUUAUUAUUUAAUCACCAUAAAAAUUAUGAAUUUAUUAAUUGGAUGAUGUUUUAAGUAAUCAACUAACCACUUGAAUUAGAUAACAUCAGUCAUGCCAUAUUGUGAACAUGCAUACUAUGCCUCUCGAUGGUCCUUCCUUUAUGAAUAGAUUGACUGGACAUUACUCCAAUGAUGCUCAUUUCAUAAUUCCAAAUUCUUGUCCUUAAGCAAAAACAGCAAGAAAUCCCGAAGAUUACUCCAUCUGACGAGUUGACUUGUCGAGUCAAGCAUGGACUCGUCGAGUCAGCAUGGACUCGGCGAGUCCAGCCUCCAGAACACCAAAAAUCGAAUUUUUUAAUCAUACAAUGCAUCAAUACAAUAGAAACCAGUCUAGGCUCUGAUACCACUGUUGGGUUUUGGUCCUAAGAACAUCCUAUGUGCUCAUACAAACCCUAAUGCUUGGAUCUAGGUUUCUCUAUUGUACAUGCAAGUUAUCCAAGACUAUAAACCCUAAUUCUAGCAUUCAAGUAAUCAUAUUAACAUGAGAAUAGGUUUAAGAUGUUACCUUGAUUGUUAUGUAGCAAUAACAAUCCCAAAUCUCCUUGUAUUGACUUUAGAAAGCUUAGAGUCACAAUUGUCACUCCUCUAAUGGUUCACAAACACCAUAAGCAAGAGGAUGAAGAGGAGAGAGGAUGGAGGCUGCCCAAAAACGUGUUAUAACCCUAGAAUAAGUCUUAGCCACGUUUUUGGGUCAUAAGGGGGUCUUUAUAUAGUGAGGCCAUUAGGGUUAUCUAACAAGGAAACCCUAAUUUGGAUGCUUAAGCCCUAAGCAACCCAUAGACUCCUUUAAUUAAGGCCUUGGACGAUUUCCUUAUGGGCUUCCCCAUAGAAUUCGUCCACUCCUUAAUUUAAGACAAUCCAUAGCCCAAAUUGCAAUUAUCUUAUAAUUACAAUUCCAGUCCCUUAAGUUUAAUUAAUCUCUUUUAGUCACAAAACUAAUUACCAAUUAAUUAUUGACUAAUAUUAAUUAAACAAUAUGAUUUCUCCUUUAAUAUAUUAUUCUCAUAAUAUAUUAAUAAAUCAUAUUUAAUCCUUUCUCUCCAUAAUUCAUCCUAUCAAGUUGCUUUGGUGAAGGCAACCCAAAAGGACCAUGCACCAUCGGGUCAAGUACANUUCCAUGCUAGUAUUGUGUUUGAUGAUUUUAUGAGGACCCAAAUGUUUAUUUGAGCCUAUAUACGUUCUAGUGCAUUUGUGGCCCCCUUUAUUCUAGUGAAAUCAUGGGACAAAAACACAACCUUGCUUAGUUUGAGGAUCGCAAUAUGUUUAGCAUCAUGUACCAGAAAUGUAUCCAGGAAAGCUUAAGUAGUCAUUGCACACUAGACUAAUGCCUUUAACCAAUAAAGGAUGAAGUUAAAUUCCCUUGCUUAAGGAUAUGUUUUUCUAGGUUUUAGUUUUGAAUGGAAAAAGUGUGUUGAAAAAAAAAAGAAAAAAAAGAGAAAAGAAAAAAAGAAAAAAAAAGUUGAAAAAAAAGAGUGAUGAAAUAUUUGAAUAAAAAAUCUACAAAGCUAUGAAGACAAAGAAGAAUAUCAUGAAGAAAGCUACAAAGUAUAAAAGAUUCAAUCAAAAGUUGUAUUUGUAAUUUUCUUUUCUAGGUUAUUUUAUCGUAUGUAUGCUUGGGGAUUUAACCAAAAAUGACUUGAGGUUAAGAAAGUUUUCUGGGGAUGGAUUCGGAGGGAUGCAUAAAAUGAGCGUUGUUCAAAAGAAGUGGGCGAGUGUUUAUGAGGAUUGUAAGUAUUUAGAAUUGAGGGGGGUCCUUAGGAAAAAUUUUAGACACAAAUGCAUGCAUUGCGGUCUUGGCAUAAUGGCUAGGUUCGAUUGGGAUUGUCUUAUGUAAUAUUAGUGUACUAAAAUUCAGUUUUGCUUGGGGGCAAGCAAAAGUCAAGUGUGGGGUAUUUUGAUAUGGGCAUAUUUAGUUAUAAAAUUCAUGCAUUAUCUUAAUACUUUAUGUUGAUUUUAUCUCAUUUAAUGAACAAAAGGUACUUAAUUAGUUUAUAAUUUCAUUUUUCAGCAACAAUUACAUGCUCGGAUGGAAAAGGAAGCGGAAUUGGCGAUUGGACGCUUGGAUCUUGGAUUUUGAAGAAAGAAGGAUGUUGCUGGACAGCUUGACCCCUCGUCAGUGUUUUGGCCAUAUCUCAUGAACCGUAACUCCGAUUGACGAGAUUCAAAAUGUUCUGAAAACUAGACACAAUUUCGGACGACUUUCGUGUUUUGAGAAAAUGCUGAUUCCAAACGGACUCGACGAGUAGGCCAUCAACUCGACGAGUUGGUCAGAAGUUUCGCGAUUCUUGACUUUGCCUUGCCGUACACGGGAUUUUAAGUGAUGAACUCGGCGAGUAGGUCACUGGACUCGCCGAGUAGCCCCUGUUUUCAUAAAAUAUAUAUAGAAACGCUUCUCAUUCGAACCCUAACGAAUGGGGGAAGUUUAGGACGAUUUUUGGAGGCCAGAAGGGUUCUUAGAAGCUGUGGUUUUCGAGAUUUCAACCUAGAUAUCAACUUGGAAGAAGAUCAAAGGCAAUAACACACUACUUUUAUCUUAAUCUUUUGCAUAAACCAUGUUUCAAUCAUUAGAUUAUGUUUUUAGUUUGUUAUUUGCUGUAGAUACGAGCUAAAAACUCCUAACUUCUGUUUAGGAUAGAUGAUUUUGUGAUUAUGGUUUGAUUUAUGGUAAGAUUGAUUUAAUAUUGGUGAUUUUGUUGAUUCUAGCUUAUUAAAGAACCUUAUGUGUGAAUGAUAACUAUUUUUCUGUUAAUAGGAAGAUAAUUAAGCUGCAUGAACAUCUCUUAGUUGUUAACCUCAUAUGUUUAUGUGACCACUUUAUCAUAUGUCUAGGAUUAAUGAACAUGAAACUAGAAUUAAUAAGAAAAAUAGGUAAAUUCAUGUGUGAGCUUGUGUGAUGACCAUCAACAAGAGGUUAACUAAAGGACCAAAUUAGUUAACUAUUACAAGUCUAAAUUAACCCGAAUAAAUAACCUAGUGAAUUAAAUUAAAUUAGACAAUUGGCCACUGUUUGAGUUAGUUUGUUCUCUAAGGAUUAGUGCAACGAACGUGAAUCUAAUCACUUGAAUCAGUAACCAAUAGAAGAAUUAAUCCAUUGCACUAUUACCAUAAUAUCAACCAUAGGAUCAAUUGAGUUGAACUAAACAGAAGUUCCCUUCGUCAUUGAAUUUAGUUGAAUCGUUGCUUUUCUAGUUCUUAGUCUAAGUAAUAGUUAGUAAGUUUCUAGUCUUGUAAAACUAGAGAAAACCCAUUUUAUAUUACUUGUUUUAUUUAGAUAAUAUUAGCAUUUAUUUUAAUUGUUUAUCGUUCCCUGUGUUCGAUACUCUACUUACCUGAACUAAACUGCUAAUCGAUAGGUACACUGCCUUUCGUGUGUUUGUCUUUGUGUUUAAGUUAGUAGGAUUAAAACUAGUUGGUUUUACACACAUCAACAUGAUAAACAUAUCUCCUGAAAGUUUAAAAAAUUCCUUGAUGUUCCUCACAAUUCAAAAUAUAAAGAGGGAUGUUGUAUCAUAUUGUGAAUUUGAGAAUGCAAUUAAUACAACCGAUAUCCGUAUUGAUCUUUAGUAGAUCCUUAAAAUCUACUAGUGAAAGUAUUUUCUCUUAACCAUUAGAGUGAAACCCUUUUUUCACCUAGAUUCGAAGGUGCACACAUUCCCAUCCAUGUAGAACUCUCAUUUUCAACCUACAAUAAUAAGACAAGGUUUAAGACAAACCAAAAUCACAUUUAGUUCUCCAUCACGAACUGAACUUCACUUAAUCUAAAUUUCUUGCCUUGUGGCAGCCCAAAAGGCCCACCAGUGCUUCCAUGUUGUUAGUAGCUCACUCAUGUUGAUCAGUGUACUUUCACUGACCAACGUGCUUAGCCUUUUGUAGUUAAAUGAAGAACAAAGAACUCAUAGGCGUUGCCAAACUCAACUGGAAGUGCACAUAAAUUAGAAUGUGUCAAUCAACACAACAUGUUAACCUCAGGUCGUGUGCAAGUGAUAAAUAAAAGGAUCAUUUUCAGUUAACUCUUGAAACUAUCAAGAUAAGUACGACUCUCACUGACUUCUUGACAUACACGUUUUCUCUCAAGAAAAAUUCAUUGAUGAGCUAAAACCAAUAUUCAAAAGUUCGUGCGGAUUUCCAACAAGAAAAUGCUCCAUAGAAUAGAAAACAGUUUAUCUUUUGUUUCUUGAUCAACAAAAACAUCAAAACUCCAAUUCUAAAUGUGCUGAAGUAAGAAAACUUUAUUACUCCACAUAUUAUGAGGUGUUGUUAUCCUUCAUAGUUUUGAAUUGAGUUUCAAGAUAUGAUUCACAGUUACUAGAGCAUGGCUCUAAAACUUGAUUGGAACAAAGUAUGACUCAUCUAUGAUCAAACCAUUUCCUACAAUGUUCGAUUCCUCUUCUUAGUCAUAUAAUUGUACUAAGAUGUCCUUGGAGGAUUAAUUGUGAUACAAUUCCACAAUUACUAUGAUGAUCAUAAAACAUGAAACUAAAGCACUCUCCAUACUUUUCCAGAUUGGAGAAUCAUUUAUCUUUCUGCCUAAUAAAUUCUUCUAUUCGUUCUGCUACUCAUUGAAUCUUUUCAAAGUAUCAAAAUUUUGUUUAAUCUUAUAAACACAAUCACUUUUACUGAAACAUCAGUAAAUCAUGACUAAUAGAGUUAUCGUCCCUUGUGGUGGAUCUAAGGAGUCCAUAUAAACAUGUACUAGAUCCAUUAGUCCUUCAAUUGACUCACAUAAGCAUGUGAACAAAGAAUUAAGUCAUAAUUUUCCAAUGAACAAGAUUCUUAUAUAUUAUACAGUUCGAAUUGUAUGACACCAAGUAUUUAUCCAGUUGGUUAUGAGAUUUCUUUUCACUUGAUCAAUUAUGACAAUACCACAAGUGAUAUCACAAGAAUCAAAUCCACAAUUAAUAUUGCUAUUAUUAGAAACAUAACUGUGACAUCCCCAUUUUCACGGCCAGAAAAGACCGAUUUGUUUAUGCUUUGUUUUAUAAAAUCAGAGUAAUCUUUUAAAGAAAACGGUUGCGGAAUUUGUUCCCAAAACAAGAUAUGAUAAUAACUUAUCAAAACAUUUCUCAAAGAGAAUGUAUUUUCAUUUAAUAAUAAAACAUCGGGAUAUCAUGUUCCGAUACAGACAUAUAAGCAUAAACAGAACUUACAUUCAAUUACACUAAUGAUUUAUAUCUCCUUUAAAUCUCUCUGUGAAAUAUGUCUUCGUAUCGAUACCUGUGAUACAAAGAAAACUGAGUGGGUUAGGCUUGGGAGCCUGGUGAGCAUAUAGGGUUUUCAUCCCACAAUGUUAUAUCAUAUAUUUAUAAAUAUAGAAUUCAAACUUGUAUAGUUUCACCAUAUAAAGGCAACUCUUAUCCCACCCCAUCGAUCCUCACAACGACACGAUCUAAACUCUCGUAUCUAAAAUUUACCUCUUUACCUGAUCCCUAUUCACGGAUCUAAAACUAUCCUCUUCACCCGAUCCAUACUCACGGAUCUAAAACUAACCUUUUCACCUGAUCCAUACUCACGGAUCUAAAACUAACCUUUUCCCCUGAUCCAUACUCACGGAUCUAAAACUANNNNNNNNNNNNNNNNNNNNNNNNNNNNNNNNNNNNNNNNNNNNNNNNNNNNNNNNNNNNNNNNNNNNNNNNNNNNNNNNNNNNNNNNNNNNNNNNNNNNNNNNNNNNNNNNNNNNNNNNNNNNNNNNNNNNNNNNNNNNNNNNNNNNNNNNNNNNNNNNNNNNNNNNNNNNNNNNNNNNNNNNNNNNNNNNNNNNNNNNNNNNNNNNNNNNNNNNNNNNNNNNNNNNNNNNNNNNNNNNNNNNNNNNNNNNNNNNNNNNNNNNNNNNNNNNNNNNNNNNNNNNNNNNNNNNNNNNNNNNNNNNNNNNNNNNNNNNNNNNNNNNNNNNNNNNNNNNNNNNNNNNNNNNNNNNNNNNNNNNNNNNNNNNNNNNNNNNNNNNNNNNNNNNNNNNNNNNNNNNNNNNNNNNNNNNNNNNNNNNNNNNNNNNNNNNNNNNNNNNNNNNNNNNNNNNNNNNNNNNNNNNNNNNNNNNNNNNNNNNNNNNNNNNNNNNNNNNNNNNNNNNNNNNNNNNNNNNNNNNNNNNNNNNNNNNNNNNNNNNNNNNNNNNNNNNNNNNNNNNNNNNNNNNNNNNNNNNNNNNNNNNNNNNNNNNNNNNNNNNNNNNNNNNNNNNNNNNNNNNNNNNNNNNNNNCUUCGGCUCGGGAAUCUUACUUCUCGGGAUCUUCAGGACCUCGGGACUUGCUUCGGGGCUCGGGAAUGAUAUCGGGGCUUUGGGAUACUUCUAGCACGCAAAACGAUACAAAACGGGAGAAAGAGGAGAGAAUUUGGCAAAUGGAGUCGGCUGCCCUUGCAACCCUUUUAUAGGAGGUUGAGGCCUCGCAGUACGUUGGGCGUACUGCCUUACGCGAGACGUACUCCUCCGAAAUCAUCAUUGCAUGCGUCAUCCGAAGAACUCGAGUGCGAGGGCCGUCAUGCUUCGCUGUACGCUGGGCGUACUUCGGAUAAGUCCGAUGACUCCCUUCGGAUAAUGUCGGAUUUAAUAAUUAAAUUUAUAUAUUAAUUAUUUAAUAAACUUCAAAAUUUCAUAUCUUCUUCAUACGAACUCCGUUUUCAACGUUCUUUAUAUCCACGCGUAGGUGAGACUACGCUCUACAACUUUCGUUUAGACACCGUCGGCUAAUUUUGAUUUUAUUUUUAUUAUUUAUUUUUAGUAGGCCGGGACAGGAAAACUUCGUUAUAAAUUCAUAACUUCUUCGUCCAACGUCCGUUCUCGCCUAACUUUUUAUCGUUUAACUACAAUUAAUGAGAUCUUCGAUUCUCAUUUAGAUUGUUUCGGCUAAAAACUGCUCGGUCUCAAAUCGAGUAUUCGGGCUGCACACCGCUAAGUCGAAACUUAGAAAAAUCAUAACUUCCACAUACGAAGUCAGAUUUGGACGUUCUUUUUAUGCACGCUCAUGGUUUAACGAACUCUACGAAUUUUGUUUAGAUCGCUAAGGCUAAAUAUCGCUCUAACGCAAAUUCACCUUUUUACGUCGCGUUGUGUCGUGCCGGUUCUGUCGCGAAACUUCGACAGGUCAUAACUCCUUCGUUAUAACUCGGAUUUCGGCGUUCUCUAUAUGUACGGAAUCCUUGUAACAUAUACUACAACUUGGUUAAGAUUAUUCAUCCUAAAUAAUCUUCUAUAAAAAAGUCAUUUUUGACGUUUAUCGUCUCUAAUUGACUAGCCCGGAUCUACGGGCGUUACAAUAACCAGCACUUUCAUUGAUGUCUUUGCAAGGAAAUAAGAUAAGGCAACUAAGUAAACCAAAACUUUGCCUUUAUUGAAAUAAAUGAAAUUUUGGAACUUGUCCUUACAAUGCAUGAAAUGGAAACUAUAUUUUUAAACAUCUUUGAAAGGAGUAAUAUCAAUAUAUUAAAUUAUCCUAACUCCCUAGCAAUAGCUCCAAAUUCUGACCAUUGAACCAUGUGACCAAAGUUCAUUUCCCACGAUCAGAUUUAGCUCACUACGCUUAAGCUUCCUUCUUUCUUUUAGAUCCUGAAAUGCCAUCAAAACGUGAUCAUCACAUUAUGUAUUAAGAGUCUAAGAAUAGGAACUUAUGGAGUUAGAUAAUGGAUGUACCUGAAGUAGAGUCACACGACUUGACUUUACUCUCUUUAAGAUCUUUAAGGUAGUUUGGAAAACUUUGCUUCUAAUAUGCCUUCAAUUAACGGUAGAAACAAAUCGACUCAUUGGGGCCAACAUGUGGAAUGAUCUUAGAAUGAGACUUUCUCUUUACCAUACGAUCAAACACUUUGACCUUGGUUGAUCCCUUUCGAGUGGGAAGAGAAAUAUUUUCUAGAUCACUAAUGUUACCAUUGUCAAUUUCCAUAUAAUUCUUGGAAUUAGACCCUAUAAGCAAUUCUGCUUUAGUUGUGUUCUUAAGAAUUUACGCUUCAAAAACCAUCAACAUAUAGGUCAAAUCAAUUAGGGUUACAUCGAGAUUCCUCAUGUGAAAGUUUUUAACAAACUGACCAUAUGACUUAGAAAGAGAAAGAAGAACCAAAUCAUUGGCUUGCUCCUUUGGAAAUACGACACCCAUCCUUUCCAACUUGUCAAUGUACGACUUCAUUUUCAGAACGUGUGCACACAUAAUUUUCAUAUUCAUGCUUACAUGUGAUAUUGCCAUAUUUAUACACGUUUUUAGAUAUUAUUUUACACUUUAAGCUCUAAUUUGGUUAAAUGUAAAGAUAUUUGGUACUUAUUGAGUUUAAGUACAUUUUGCAACAAAAAAGGACAUUCUUGAAGAAAAGGGCAAAACUGAACAAAAGUUAGAAUUUAGAGGACUGAAGCUGAAAAAUAGAAAAGAAAUCGUAUCCAUCAUGUGCGAACGUAUGAUUGGAUGCGAUUAGCCACGAGUCGUUAGGAAUGGAAAGUCAAUGCGAAUGGAUGCGAUCCUAUACAAGCGUCGUUGCGACCAAACGAGAGGAGAUCUGAACCAAAGUGAAAGUCAAUGUGACUUGAUGCGAAAAUGAAAGCCAGUGUGAUUGGAUGUGAAAGUGAGAGUCGUUGCGAAAGGAUCAGAUGCGAACGAGUUUUCACUGCGAAAGGGCUAUAAAUUGCUUUCAGUUGUGAUUGGAAACUUCCAAAUGGGGGCGUUGUAAUAGGGAUCACGAAUUAAGAUCUAUAAGCUGUCGACGUGAGCAUGAUUAUUUUAGAAGCUAACAACGUGGAAUGCAAGUUUCCUUGUCAAACACAAAUUAUAUUGAUCUCACAACAUGAGACCCUAAUUAUCAUGACGUGAGAUGUGUUAUAAGGAAACUGUAAAUGCCCCUUUACAUAUUCGAUUUUAAGGAGGUUGGAUUGAUAUUCUGGAAAUUAUAGUCGAUUUUCAGAAGCUAGAGACCUAGGAAAAUAAUCCCUUUGAAGAAGAAUUCAAUUGGAGAUUGAAUAUUUGAAGAAUCAAAGCAAGAAUUCACACUACACAUUUGGUUUGCAUUAGAUUUAUCAUGUCUAGUUUGAAUUCUAUAAUGUUUAUGUGUUUAUUUUCUACCAUGAGUAGCUAAAUCAUUAGGCUUUCGUUUAGAGUAGAUGAACCUUAAUACUAUGUGUUAGUUUCUAGCUUUUCAUGGAUUUUAUAAAGUUGGUUUGAGCUUGUGUUUGGUUAUCAUAACCUAGCAUGUUAAAGUUCUAAUAUUUGUUGCUUUAGUUCAAGUUAGGUCUAGUUGAACGACCAUUUUAAUUGCAUGAACUUUAUUAUUUGUUAGUUUAUGAUCAUUAAAUUGCUAGAGGUAGGAUUAACCAGAUCUUACAUUGAGUAAUAAAGGUAACAACUUUAGCUGUGUUAGAGAACAUAAUUUGAACAUAAUUGUGUGUUAGUUUAUGAUCAUUAAAAUAAUAAUGAACGACCAUUUUAUAUUUAAGUUGAUCCUAUAAUAUUAUAUAGGAUCAAGUUAGGUCUAGUUGAACGACCAUUUUAUAUUUAAGUUGAUCCUAUAAUAUUAUAUUUAAAUUUAUAAUUUAAGUAUUUUUUACAAAUUGUUCAAAAGUUGUCGCUUUAAAAUAAUAAUGGUUUAUAUCCAACAAUAUAUUAAAACUAAUAAAUUAGGUAUAAUAUGUUAAAAGUUAAAAAAAAAUAACUUAAGAAAUAGAAGUAAAUAUAUUAUUUUACUAUUGAAAUUUAGUGUAUAUAUGAUUACACUCUAGGUUUAAUAUUUAUCUAACCUUAUUAACCAAAUUAUAAUUAUUAUUAGAAAGAAACUGAAAAGUCAUGGGAGUUUCAAAUGAAUGUGGUGAAAGGAAAAAUACAUGGGAGUUUAAAAUGAAUGUGGUGAAAGGAAAAAUGUUUCCUUUAUAAUAUAGUAUGAUAUGAUAUGAUAUAAUAUGAUCAGUAAACAACUAAAUAAGGGGGUGUUUGGCUAAGCUUUUUAACAACUUAUUAGGUUCCACACCACUAUAAGUUAAAAAAGUGUUUGGAUGAAAAUAACUUAUUCCGGUGGGGAACCUCUAAUAAGUCAUAUUUUUCAUAACUUACCCUACACUUACUUAUUAACUUAUAAGCUAAUAAGCUAAUAAGCAAUAAGUUUUUUUUGCCAAACACCCCCUAAAUCCAUAUUCAAAAACUAUCCAUAGGAAAAAGGGGGAUUCAUAGCUAAACGGAAGUGUUCUCAUAAUCUUGAUUACAAUCAUUCUUAGUUGAGAGUUUGAUUAGUUUUUAGUUAAGCAAUUAGUUAAGUUAAUCUGAACCUGCAAAAUCAGAUAAAAAACCCCCCUUUUUAGUUAUUGUUUUUAGAUUAAUUUUUAGUAAGUAUUUUAUUAGCUAAAUCAUGUUCCCUAUAUUCAAUAUCCUACUUAUUUUACUAUACUACAAAUUGGCUAGGUACACUACCUAUAGGUGUAUUAGUAGAUAAGUAGUUAGGUUUAUAAAAUUAAAAGUUGAUAGGUAUACUUAUUACAUAUCAUGUUUUUUGGCGCCGUUGCCGAAGAACGACUAUUUUAGUUUUUAAUUUAAUUGAUUUAGGUUAAUUGAUCAUUUUUGUAGGGUAAAAACCACAACAAGUUAAUUUUCUACAAAAGUUAUUUUUCUGAUUAUACAGUUCUCACGAUGUGAGUUCGGUACUUUUUAUUUUUUCAAUUAUUUUCUUUCUAGUUCGUUUUUAUGCGUUUUUGUUUUUUUUAUCACAGUGAUUUAUGACCCAAGGAUCCAUAACUCCAAUAAUUCCACCACUUAAAAAUCCAAAUUCAGCUUUCCACAAAAAAGAAGGACAAGAAGGUCGACAAGUCAAGUAGCACUUUCCAAUUUGACACAUUCGAGCUCUUUGAGAAGACUUUAGGUUAGAAUGGAACCGGGUACGAGCCAAAAAUAAGGAAGAUUCAUGAGAAGAAAUAAAAAGCAAGGGAACAAAAAAUGGCAGACAUUACGACCGUGACAAUGGAGGAGUACAAGAAGAGAUUGCGAAAUGACAAUGGUCUAGGUUAAGUUCCACCAUAAAUUUCAGCUGCAACGGGUUUUGAGGUAAAAGGACAUAUCCUUUCGAUGCUAAAAGACAUACCAUUUUAUGGGAAAUAGUACGAAGAUGCAUUCAAACAUAUUGAUGAAGUCUUGGACAUUGCUAAUUAUUUCAAUGUUCCAAAUGUUACAAGAGAUGCACUUUUACUAAGGAUGCUUCCAGUAACCCUUACUAGAGAUGCAAAAAUUUGGCUGAAGUCUUUCACACCUAGAAUUAUAAGAACCUGGCAAAACCUUCAUGAAGCGUUUAUCUAGAAAUUUAUUCCUCCUUCAAAAAUUGUCAAACUCAAGAAAAAGAUUUGCUAAUUCUCAACAAGAAGAUGGAGAAUCCAUAUACGAAGCUUGGGAAAGAUACAAAGGCCUUUUGAGAAAUUGUCCUCAACAGAUGGGGUGAAUGUUACAACAAGGAAACUCCUUGAUUCGCAAGGCACAAUAACAAAGAAAGAUCUAGACACCAUUAAAAAAUGAAGAUAAAUCCCAAGGAGUUAAAAGAAAGCAUGAAGCUUGCGACCACCAAACGAAGAAAGAAAAUUCAAAGAAAGUGUACAUAAGACGAGUUCAAGCUUACAAGAGGAGGUGGAAGAAAGAAAAGGAUAAUAAGGAGAUUCUGCUUUCAACUAACGCAACGUAGAGCGGGAAGGAGUCCGACUCACAACUCCUCAAAAAGAAGCACUUCUCGGGUGGCAACACGAACUCGAUUUGCAUUUUCAUUUCCUUUCUUUUAGUUAGUUAUGCACUUCUUUUAUUUGAUUUUUAGGAUAGUCAUCUUAGUCAUCUUCUAUUUAAAAUAAAAAUCAAGUGUGGGAUUCAAUUUAUGAGUGGUGAAAAAUUUUAAAAGAAAAAUUGAAUGGUGUUUGCAAUUAAUCAGAACCACGAUGUGGAAUUAAGAACCUGUAGAGUGGGGAAUAAAAGAAUGACCUUUUUUUUCAACUUUUUAGAACUCAUGACAUGAGGGCAAAAAACUCACGAUGUGAGUUUCGGAGGGAACCAUAUACUUUUUAUUUCCCAAACAUAACCAUUUGACUAACUUAUUACUACCACUUACAGCUUGAGUUCAACGAAAUCAUCUCCUCGUCCCGACUUGACUUUUGCGGCUGAACUUAGCAUUUUCCUUCUAGAUUUUGUGUUCCAACUUUAACUAAGGUAUGCGAUACUUGUUUAAAAACUCUUUAUUUUGCUGAUUUUGAACAUUUAGAGUCAAGGGUUUGUUCUUAGGUUGCAUAUGUCGAAAUUGGUCUGAUUUCUUCCGAAAUUGUUGGUGCAUGUUUGAUUUUUGGUCUUAGAAUCACUCCUUAAGCAAGACUUUAGUGAUAUUUGGGUGCGAUUUUUCCUCGAUGUUAAAGCCAUCGCCGAACCUAGCUCAUGACAUCAACUAUAAUACUCACGACAUGAGAAUUGAGUUAACAACAUACUCGUUUUCUGUUUAGUAUUAACUGUCGUGGUGUUUGGUUUGGGUUUGGUUUGUUGUUUAUUUUGAAGGUGUAAUGGGUCCGAAAAGUACCUCAAUAGCCUCAAGGAGAUGUAUCGAGCUUUCAUCCCUUUUAUGAGUUUCUGGAUGAUCUUCCACGAGAUAUCUUGAAUAAUUACACAAACAAACUGGGACGGCUUUAUAAAUGGGAAUUUGCCAUUUCACCAACUAUUGACUAGGCCAAACUUAAUGAGAUCGGGAUUUUGUAGAGGUUACAGUUGUACCUCACAAAGGUGUUUGUAGAAAAUGGGGUUUCUUUUACAUGCUACGGAUGGAAGAAUUUAUUCUCGAUCAAAGAACCGGUUUUCAAAGAGUUGUGUGUUGAUUUUUCUCAACGGUUUCCUUUAAAGCGAAUAUAGUGGAUCCUCAAUAUGCAAGUGCUUUAGUAUUCCAUCUUGGUGGAGAAUAUUGAGAUUGUAGUUUGGCCGAAUUAUCUUGGAGAAUGGGAUUAUAUGAGAAACACGAAGCGAUGUCUCCUAUUUUUGAUAUAUUUUUAGGGCGGCUGCAAGCGACUAUUAUGCCGAGGUAAAUGGGUAUGUUUUUGGUCAACUAUCGCUAAUGGAGAAUAUCAUUCGGGGGUAUCUCAAGAGAGCCAAAUCCAGUCUCCCAUCCAUCGCCUAAUUCACUGCCUAGUGAUAUUUUCCAUUAACCAUAAAAACAUGGAGAUAAGGUCACAAGUCUCAAUUUAUUUUUCAUAUGGAGUAUAAUCAUGCAAGAAGUUUGCUAUAAUAUCCCCUAUUUUAUUGCAUNNNNNNNNNNNNNNAAGGCAGUCAGUUCAAGAGUUGGAAGUCCAAUAGCGGGUGGUCACUUUGUCACCCGAUUGGCAAGAUCCUAUGGUAUGUUUGUUCCACGGGUGACUCGUACAAUGACGUGUAUUGAGGGAAAUGAUCUUACGUUGAGUUUUUUUGGAGUCGAUGAGUGUCAUAGUGAAUAUUAGAACACAUUGGGGAAUCCCAGUCAACGAUGAAGUAGUGUCACUUCAGCAACUCGAAGAAUAGUCGAGGCCACGAGGAUGCCGAAAUGUGAGAGGACGAGGAGAGAAAAGCCAACCACAACAAUUCCAGGACAUGCCCGUUGGAGGUGUACCCACCGACCCUUUCUAAAAUCGGGUUGGGUAUUAUUUGGAUAACAUUCUAGGUGUCAUACAUUAUCAAAACCAAGCAACCAAUGGAAUUUAUAUGCAUUUUUGAGAUUGAGUGCCAACCCAACAUGCCACCACAAGCGCCAUAUAUUCUAUCUUGGGAAUAAAUUUGGGCAUCCCGCGACUUUGGGGUCGGGUCGAGUGGAGCGCAUGGAGACAGAGAUGAUGAAUGACUUAUUAUCCUUUUUUUUUUAGUUUUUAGUUUAUAUUUCUUAUUUAUUUUUGGUGUGUUUUUAUUUUUAUUUUGAUUAUUUGAAGUGAUGUAACCGAAUGUUGGUGUGUUUUCUUGCAACCAAAUGUUUGUUCGUAUUCGCAAAAUUAUUAUAAUAUUAAGAGAAAAAAGAGAGCCGAGAGAGUUAGAGUUUUAAAACUGAAGAGCACACUUUUUAAUAAGUGUAGGGUGACAAUUGUGUGCGAUUAGAUAAGAAAAGAGAGAGAGUUACAAAAAAAUAUGGGUCUUAAAAUAAGUCUUAAUGACUUAAGAGGGAAAUAGAGGUUUCCACCAUAAAGAAUUUAAAGAAGAACUGCAAUCUGCCAAGGUCUAGUUCUCACGACGUGAGAUUUAUCCUUCACAUCAUGAGCUUGAUAUAAUCACGAUUCAGAAGUCAUUUUUUCCAGACUCACGUCAUGAAUUUCUAUUCUCACGACGUGAGGUAUCAGAUAUAAAACGUGGCGUAUGCUUUCCCACACUAUGAUGCAUUACUUUGAAGAUUUUAUGUACCACACUUUUUGAAGAUACAAGUCUUUGGUUUACAUUUUAUUCGGCACAUUCACGAGUGGAAGCAAAAGUCCGGUUCCAAUAACAUAUUCAAGAUGUUCGAGCUUUCCCACAACAAUCAGAAUUCGAUAUCGCCACUACUACUCCAGGAGAGUCUAUUCCUUUUAUUGCAUUCAUAGCAUACAAUGAUGGAAUUGUAUGAAAUAAGUGUGGAGUAGGGGUCAAAAAAGCAUAUCAAGCAUAAGAAUAAUUAACUAGAAAAAUGCUAGAAAAUUUUGAAAAUUAAUAGGCUUGCAAAAAUAGUCUAAUAAAUCUAGUAAUUCUAAAAUUUUGAUAUUAUUGCAUAUGGGUAAGUUUUCUAUUAUUAUGUGGGAUGAUUCGAUAAGAACCCUCAGAUUUCGUUGAGCAAAAUAUGUUAUAGUGUAUUUGUGGCUUCACAAUCUCAGUGAAAUUGUGGAAUAAAAACGCAAACAUGUUUAGUUUGAGGGACAUAAAAAGUUUAGCACAUUGUACCAGAAAUUAUUCAGUAGAGUUUAUUUAGUCAUUGCACUUUAGACUAAUAUCUUUAACCAAUAAGGGUUGAAGCUAAGUUCCAUUGCUUAAACAUGUGUUUUUCUUUUUAGGAUUUCUAGUUUUGAGUGAAAAAAAAAGUGAGUUGUGAAAAAGAAAAAAAGUUGAAAAAGUUUGAGUGAAUAAGAGUCUCCAAAGCUACAAAUAUCAAGAAAUAUUAUGAAUAAAUAUUCAAAAAGUUCCAAAUAUUGAAGACUCAAGUUGAAUAAAGUUCAAGAAUAAGGCAAAAAUUGCCAAAAGACAAAGUUACUUUUAUUGUAAUUUUUCUUUCUAUAUUAUUUUUCCAUAUGUAUGCUUGGGAGGUUAACCAAAAAUAUUUCAAGGUUAAGAAAAAUUUUUGGGGAUGGAUUCAGAGGGAUGCAUAAAAUGAAUGUUGUUCAAAAUAAAUGGAAAGCGUUUAUGAGGAUCAUAAGUAUUUAGAGCUGGGAGGUAAUUAGGAUUUUGACACAAAGAUAUGCAUUGAAGUAAGGCAUAAUUAUUGGGUUCAAUUUGGAUUGACUUGUGUCAUAUUGGUGGACAUGGUUAUAUGUGAUGUAUUAAAAGAUAAGUUUUGCUUGAGGGCAAUCAAAAAGCAAGUGUGAGGUAUUUUGAUAUUGUCAUAUUUAUACACAGUUUUAUGCAUUAUUUUAAUACAUUUUAAGCUAUAAUUUGGUUAAAUGCAAACAUAUUUGGUACUAAUUGAUUUUAAUUAUAUUUUGCAUCCAAAAAGAACAUUCUUGAAGAAAAGGGUCAAAACUAAACAAUAGUUGGAAUUUAGAGGAUUGAACCUGAAAAUAGAGAAGAGAUCGUAGCCAUCCUAUGGGAACGUAUGAUUGGGUGUAACUAGCCACGAGUCGCUGUGAACAAAAAAUCUAUGUGAAUGGAGGCGAUCAUAUAUGAGUGUCGUUGCGACCAAACGAGAGGAUGUCGAAACCAAAGUGAAAGUCGAUGCGACUGGAUGUGAAAGUGAAAUCUGAUGUGAUUGGAUAUAGGAGGAUUAGAUGUGAAAGUAGAAUUAUGGCGAAAGGAUCAGAUGUGAACUAGUGUUCACUGCGAAAGGGUUAUCGACUGCGAUCACUUGCGAUUGGAAGCUUCCGAAAUUGGGGCAUUGUAAUAGAGCUCACAACGUAAGAACUAUAAGCUCACAGCGUGAGAAUUAUUAUUGCAGCUUUCACUGAAAAGAUAAAGUUGGUUCCUUAGCUGGUUCCUACUAAGCUUUCCGAUGUAAAUAAGUUUGCUAGUGGCCUACCGACAUAUUUUGGUCCGACAGUGAAGCUUGCAACUACUCUAAAAGCAAACAUCUAGGUAGCUAAGAAUGUGGACACCCAAAUAAAGGAAAAAGGUCUGGAAAAGCUGAAAUUUGGGAGAAAAUGAAGUUUGAGGGAUCUUCAAGACACGAUAAGAAAAGUAGGUUUCCAUAUCAAAAUACUUAUUGUUCUACUUACGGGGGUGAUGUCUAGGCUAGAUUUAGUGAGGUGUUUAAAGUGGGAUUUCCAAACAGUAUACUUUGUAUACCAAAUGGACCCUACCUCUGAUAUGAUCUUACCUAGUUACUCCUUAUCAAUUAUAGAUCAAUAGACAUUGGUGUUGUUGAUGAAUCUAGACUAUCACUAGUCAUAAUAAAUAUAAUACUAAGACUUAGUGAUAAUCAUAGCUAGUUCACAUCAAAGGAAAAGAUAAGGUGUUAGGCGGAGCGUUGCCAAAAUCACCAGUCAUCUACUUUUAACAAGGGAUUUCAUGGUUACUUUUAUCUUACACAUAAAUAUGAAGUAUUUAGAUAAUUGAAUGAUAUAUGUGCUUAUUAUCUGUGAUUAAGAUAUUUUGUGUUAGAUAAAACAAUAUGACAUAAUUUUUAUUUAACCAUAUAUGUAUUUUUAUACUUAUAAUAUAUAGGGUAAUGGGAGGUGAAGAUAGAUGAAAAUAA
rnacentral:lncRNA from 1 species